UUGUGUUCAGCAACAUCAUCCAUAAACCUACAAAUAAUUGUGGAAGCUUGAAUGAUCUUAGGGUCAUUGGCUGCCCAUUUAAAGGUUUCUGGUGUUACAAUAUCUCCCAUGCCAACGAAAGAUGUAAUAGCAAGCAUGGCAUAACCACAAGUUGGCAAUGCAUUAGCCUUAAACUCCUCGAAUGAUGGUUUGUAGUUUUGAAGAGUCCAUCUGGCCUCCACAAGAUAAGAUUGAGCAAGUCGUAUCAUCUGAGGCAACAAAAUCCCAACAAUUAUCACUAAUAUCAAUUCAAAUUCAAUAAUAAUAUUUAAAUGAUUAUAUAUUGUUAUUCGAGUUAGUUGUUUAUUCAAAUCUAGAAUUUAGCUAAGAUCUUAUCUCUUUUGUACAAAAUAAAUGUUUGUUGAUGUACAUACCGCAUUUUUCGCAUAUUCGACACGAUAUUGUCUCCCAUGCUCAGCCACCAGUUGUUCCAUUUCUUCAUAAACAUCUAAUAGUGCCUUGUAGCUCGGCUUCAUGUAUUCAGGAAGUUCAUCUAUGCAUUUGAUAUCCCACCUGAAUUCAACUUCAAUGUUAACUUCAACUAAAGAAACCUAACCUAUUACCAACAAAAUUUUAGAAAUCUAACCUCUCAAUUGCAUUUGUAUAGGGAAUAAGCUCUUCAUAUGUUGCAUAUGAGUCAUAUGUAUCAUCUACAAUAGAUGCCAUUGCUAUCACUUUUGUCAACAUCUUUCUACCAAGAGAAUAUUGGGGCUCAAAAUACACUCCUGAGAUCCAAAAAUAGCCUUCAACCACUCUAUCUCUUGCGUAUGGCAACUUUCUUUGAAAGUCUAAAUCCUUCCACCACCUAAAAAAAUCAUAUCAUAGAAAACCCCAUUAGCAAAAUGAAUAUUCAAAGUUUUAAUUUGUUUCACAUUCAUGUUGUCAAUAAGUAAAUUGUUAGAUUCUUAAGUAAAUUGGCAACCUGAAAUUUUAAAAUAUAUAUAUAACUUAUAUAAUAUAAGUAAAAUAAUGUAAGUGAAAAAGAUGAAUCCAUCACUUUUAACUUGUGCUAUAUAUUAAGAUUCAAAUAUUAGCAUUUGCAACUCGUCUCCUAUAUUGAGAAUGAUGCCGCGAUUAAAUUCAACCCUCCUUCCACCAAAAAAAAAAAAAAGACAAAAAAGAAAAAAAAAUGGGUGAAAGAGAUUCAAAAACAUACCUAGAAAUCUCACUUAGCUCUUUUCUAUGCAAAAGUUGUACCAUGUUGAAAUCGAUCUUAGCAAACUCCAACAAAACCUUAUUAUGGGACUCAAUAUCUUGGUAUACUGAAAGAUAGUGUCUUGCCUCAACCCUUGGCAAGCCUCUUCGAAUUGAUUGUUUCAAAGCAUGAGAAACCUCUUCGGAUAAAGGAUGGUCCAAAGAUGCUACUGCAAGGCUUAAAUGGUUGCUGGUGAAAGAAAUUGCUUCAUCCAAUAUAUCUUCCCCAUGAACCCUCAAAUAGGAAGCUUGGUAAAGUUCCAACAAUCCUCGAACAUCGCUUGUCACGGAUGACUUGAAAUUCCCUUGCUCGUCUUUAAACUUGUUGAAUACGUCUGAGAUGAAAUUACCCAAAAUGAAAUAUUGUUAUCAAACAUUCCAUGCUAUUAUAUACUCAAGAAACUUAAAAAUACCAUGUUGUUGUUCCAGUAAUUACCGCAUGAAACAUUGAAUCCAUGCUCUCGGAGUAGUCGGAAUCGAAGGGAUGUGGUGUAGAGGUCGUUCUCGGCAUCAUUGUUGUUAUGGUAGAUAUUCUCUAGUUCAUCUUCGAUCUCCUUGGUGAAAUGGUAACUCACACCCAGUCUUUGGACUGAAUCAAUGAAGGCUAACUUUUGGGUUGAAUUAGCCAUUGGUGCCACAAUCAUCUUCCUCACUUCUUCUUUCAAUUGUUGGUGGCGUUUUUGAGUUUCAGCAUCAAUAUUCUGCUCAAAAUAAUGAAAAUUUGCUUCAUAUUGAAUCACUAAAUAACUAAACAAAUAAUCUGUUAAGAUUAUAUAUAUACCAAUAUGGUGAUAUGUAUGUAUACCUUGUCGGGACAAUUGAGGAAGAAAUCUCCCCAAAUGCUAGGCUGAAAAUCGGCUUUGGGACGCAUUUCAUCCUUAUUGGAAGAAAGGGGUGAUGAAGAAGGCAUUUGAGAAACUUGUGAAGCCAUUUCGAUUGAUUAAAAGCAAAUAUUGAAAAGCUUAAUUUGCUGCCUUUUUUGGUUUGCUCUUGAAAUUUGGCACAGAAUCUGUGAGGAUAAGAGUGCAAUUGUUGCAUGUAUUUAUAGGUAAAAUAUACUGGGGAGUUUAAGUCAAAAAAGACAACCUAUAUGCAAGGAAACAAUUAUACAAUAAGAUUGGUGUAGGGCGGCCCAUUGCAUGAGAAUUGCAAAUAGAUUAAAAGAGAUGUUGAUUUGUCUUUUUGUUUGAUUCUCUUAUUCAAAGUUGAUGCCUGUAAAAUAUUAGAAGAUGAAAUGUGUAGAAAUGUGUUACAAAGUAAAUAUUUAUCCUCUGUUGAACUUUAGAAUUAUAGAAAUAUAUCAUUUCAGUCCUUCCCUCGGCCGGUCAGCCUCAAUUAAAAUAUAAAUUAAAUCAGUUGGACCAACUGAACUAAAUUAUUUAAUUAAAACAUAAUUAAAUGUUAAAUGUGAUUUCAUAUUAAAUAAGUCUAAAAAGUAGUAACUAGUUCCUUAAAAAAGAAGUAGUAAUUAGCUAAUAAAGAUAUGUAUUUUCUAUCUUGGGUAUGUACAAAAUUAGACAGACCACCAAUUUUCAAUUUAAUCAAUUAACCCAAUACUAUUUUCUUUUUAUAUAAAUAUAACUAUUUUUUAAAAUUAAUAAAAAUUAUAUAUAUUUAAAAUCGAUAAAAUUUUAUUAAUAAUAUAUUAAAUGCAAGAAACCUGUUUUCAAAUAAUAAAUAAUCUUUAACGAUCUUUUAAGUCCUAACCAUUGUUAAUCUUUAAGGCAUCUGAAAGUUAGAUCGGUGCAUGCAUUUGUUUCAGACGCAAAGACUUUUGUUUCUCAGUUCUUCCCACUAAUCUUUUUGAUUGAUUUUUAUAAUAGAGCACGUCAGGUUUCAUCAAGGACUAAGCAACGUCACUUGUUUACUAUUAUCCUAUUGACUAAUUGGCCAUGAACACAUAAACUAUGACGUAAUAUUUAUAAUAUUUAUAAUAUUUAUAAUAAUUUUUAAACCGAAAUAGCAUGUAAUUUUGAAAAUUAAUCAAGUCAAAUUAAAUAGUUCUAAUCCUACGAUUUAAGGCCAACAUAAAUGAUAAUUACAAUCCCACAAUUAAACUGAGUAAAGAGAAGUUAAUGUUUACUAUUAUAAUAGAGCAUGUCAGGUUUGAUCAAGGACUAGGCAACGUAACUUGUUUACUAUUAUACUAUUGACUAAUUUACCAUAAACACAUUAAACUAUGACGUAAUGUUCUCAAAUUAUGCAGAUUUUAAAUUCAAUUUUAAAUUUUAAAAAUAUUUUAAUUCAAUCCGCAAAGUAUUAGUAUCAUAUCAAUCAAGCCUUUCCAUUAGCUUAACAAUUAGUUUAGGCAUUAAAUGUCAACUCAAGCUUGAGUUAAAGUGUAUAUGAAAUACGUAGAUCAAAUUGUAAAGAUGUAUCUAUCUGUAACAUAGAUAAUAUUUUAUUGACAUUAAUUUUUUAAUACGUUAAAAUUUAUUGCAUAGAUACAAUGCUAAUAUUUUAAAGAUUUAAUUAACCUAUUUUGAAGUUUAGAACUAAUUAAGAAUAGGCAUAACCUUAAAUUUAGUUCUCAACAUUUACAUUCUUUUUUGUUAAUUUGACUUUUAUUUUUUUAGCUAAAAUUGAUCCUCACCCUUUUAAAAAAAAUCAUAUUUAACCUUAAACCUUUCAAAAAUAGUUGAAAUGCUAUUUUUUUAAUGAAAAUAAACCGUUAAAUUUUUAAACAUGGCAGCUCACAUACUAAUCCACAUGUACUCCAUAUUAUUAUUAUUAUUUAUUUUUUUUAUUUUUUUGUAAUUUUUAAAUUACUUGUUGGUGUGGCAUAUAAUAAAUAGAGUUAUGUCUACAUGAAGUACAUGUGGACUGUAACACAAGUUUCCAUGCCAACUUUGUUGAAAAAUUAAUGUUUUAGUUAGGAUUUUUGUUUAAACAAAUUUUUUGACUCUUUUUUAAAAGACUAAGGGCAAAUUUAGCUAAAAAGAAUAAGAAAAAGAGUUAAAUUGACAAAAUAUAUAAAUAUGGUGGCUAAAUUUGACAUUAUGCUAUAAGACUAUUGGCAAUAAAUUAGAGAUGACUGAUAGAAUUAAUCAAAAUAAUAUGGGCUUAUUAAGAAUUUUAACUUUAAAAAAAAUAAUUAAAUCCCUCGGAACCUCUUCUACUCAAUUGAAUCCUUGAAUUGACAAUUUUGACCAACAAAGCCCUUUGACCAACAUUGAUCGUUAGAAACUAACAGCAGCGCUAACGUGAUUGUCAACAGAUGCCACAUCAGACAACAAAGGCUAACUUGGCAGUGCCACAUUAGUAAAAAUAACAAAAAAGUAAAAAAAUAUUUUUAAUUUAUUUAAAAAUAUAUAUACAAUGAUGCUGGAUAAAUGAUUGUCCAAAUUCAUUUCAAUCUGAGCACUCAUUUAUUUAAGUUCCUUUGAAACUAGAGACACAUUUCUCAAGAUUCAUUUCGAAAUUAAUAAACAUAAAAAUUAUAAAAAAAUCAUUCAAAUUAUAAAAAAAAUUAUAAACUAAUUAAAAACUAUUGUAACACCACCAAUCAAGCGUAAAAGUUUCGACUAAGUCGAAGAAAUCACAUUUGAUCAUUUGAUGAUUGAAGUGACCGUUGAAACCACUAGUCUAUUUUGUAGGGAAGUUGUUCCUUUUGAUCUUAGGAAAUCAUUUAUUAUUUUUAAGCCGGUUUUAUUUAAAGAUUCAGUUUCGCUAUUAUUCUGGUGGUGUUUUGAAAGCGGCUGAUGUUUUUGGAAAAGGAAAUUAUAAAACCAUUGAAACAAACAGCGAAAAAUAUUUAUAAUAAUUUUCUAAAUCAAAAUAGCAUGUAAUUAUGAAAAUUAAUCAGUUGUAAAUAAAUGAUAAUUACAAUCCCACAAUUAAACUGAGUAAAGAGAAGUUAAUGUUUACUAUUAUAAUAAAGCAUGUCAGGUUUACCAUUCACUAAUUUACCAUAAACACUUUAAACUAUGACGUAAUGUUCUCAAAUUAUGCAUAUUUUAAAUUCAAUUCCAAAUUUUAAAAAUGUUUUAAUUCAGUCCUCAAAGUAUUAGUAUCAUAUCAAUCAAGUCUUUCUAUUAUGUUAACAAUUAGUUGAGGCAUUAAAUGCUAACUCAAGUUUGAGUUGAAGUGUAUUUGAAAUACGUAGAUCAAAUUGUAAAGACGUAUAUAUCUACAACAUAGAUAACAUUUUAUUGACAUCGAUUUUUAAAUACGUCAAAACUAAAUUUUUUAUGUGGUAGAUACACAUGAGUUUACAGUUUAUUCCGUUUGCUUUUAAGCAUGCCGCAUAUCAUAUCUUGAUUCACAUUUAACAAUUAGAUUAACUACGACAUUGAUAGAAAACCUAUUUGAUACAAUGUUGAUAUUUUAAAGAUUCAAUUAACAUGUUUUGAAGUUUUAAACUAAUUAAGAAUGGGCAUAACACAAAUUUAGUCCUUACAUUUACAAUUUUUUUUGUCAAUUUGAUCCCUUUUUUUUAGCUAAAUUUGGUCAUCAACCUUUCAAAAAAAUGUCAUAUUUAAAUUAAACCUUUCAAAAAUUGUUGAAUUGCUAUUUUUUAAUGAAAAUUAACCGUUAAAUUUUUAAACACGGUAGCUCACAUACCAAUCCACAUGUACUUCAUACUUUGUUUUUUGAAUUUUUAUAAUUUUUUUUUAUUUUUUAAUUUUUAAAUUAUAUUUUGGUGUGGCAUAUAAUAAAUAGUGUUAUGUCAAAAUGAAGUACACGUGGAUUGCCACAUGAGUUGCCAUGCCAUCUUCAUUAAAAAAAAUUUAAUGUUUUAGUCAGGAUUUUCUAUAAAAAAUAAUUUAACUCUUUUUUAAAAGAUUAAGGGCCAAAUUUAACUAAAAUAGAAACAAAAAAAACCAAAUUGAUGAAAGAUGUAAAUGUUGCGGUUAAAUUUGACAUUAUGAUAUUGGCAAUAGUUUAGAGACGAUUGAUAGAAUUAAUGGAUUGAAAAUAAUAUAGGCUUAUUAAGCAUUCAAACUUCUUUCAAAAAUCAAGUAAACCCCUCCAAAUCUUUUCUACUUAAUUGAAUCAUUGAAUUGAUAAUUUUGACCAACAAGGCCAUUUGACCAAUAUUGAUAGUUAGAAACUAACAGCAACUCUAAUAUGAUUGUUAACAAAUGCCACAUUAACCAACAAAUGCUAACUUGACAGUGCCACAUCAGUAAAAAUAAAAAAAUAAAAAAAAUAUUUUAAAAUUAUUUUUAAAAAAUGUACAAUGAUGCUGGACAAAAGAUUGUCCAUGCUCAUUUGAACAUGGACCCACAUUUUUCAAUAUUCAUUUCGAAAUUAUAAAAAAAAUAAAAAAUUAUAAAAUAUAAUUAAAAUUUAUAAAAUUAUUAUAAAAUUAUUAAAAUUAUUUUUUAAAAGUUUUUUUUAAAAUUAUUAAAAAUUAUUAAAACGUAUAAAAUUAAAAACCAAAUUAUAUUUAUAUAAAAGUUUUUUUUGUAAUUGUUUAUGUAUUAUUAAAACCAAAUGGAUUUUAAAUAAAAAUAUUUUUAGAAACUAUAAUAAUUUUAAUGUUUUUAAAUAAAAUCUUUAGAAACUUUUAAAAAAGUCCAAAUGGAUUUUUAAUUAAAAGCUUCUAUUCAACCUAAUGGACUUUAUAAAAAUUUAUAAUAAAAAGCUGUGUUUUAAUUUAUUUUAUAAAAUUUUAUGAUUUUUAAUUAAUUUAUAAUAAUUUUAUUAUUUUUUAUAAUUUUAAUUAUUCUUUAUAAUUUUUUUCUUUUUAUAAUUCCAUGAUGAAUAUGGACAUAUGAAUAUCUACAUUCAAAUGAACCUGGACAACUAUUUGUUUAAGUUUAUUGUGUACAUUUUUUUACAAUAAUUUUAAAAUAUUUUUAAUUUUUAUUGAUGCGGAUCACCCCAUCAGCAUUUGUUGAUUAAUGUGAUAUCCAUUAAUGACCACAUCAAUGUUGGUGUUGGUUUCUAAUGAUCAACGUUGGUAAAAAAAUCUCGUUGGUCGAAAUUGUCAGUUUAAAGACUCAAGUGGAUAUAAAAAGUUCAAAUGGAUUUAGUCGAUCAUUUAAAAAUAAUUCAAAAAUUUAUUGUACCAAUAAGCCAAUAAUAAUAGCUAAUAUAAAUGUAUAGAACUUGAGUUCAAUGGAUUUAUAUAUGAUGCAUUGACACUAUCAGUAAAUCAUAUAAUACUAUAAAAUUUAAAAAAAUUUCAUUUAAUUUUUAAUAAUAUAUUCACUAGGAACACGUAAAAUUAUUAUACCUUUCAAAAUUACUAUAUAUAUUUUUUAAAAUUGUAAGGAAGAACAUUUUUUUCAAAAUUACUUAAUUUCCAUAUUCAAAGUUAAGGCAAACCUAGCAAUCAAACAAGAUUCUUUUCAAGGAUUUCGUAUUAGAUAUUGCCGCCAAGCUUAAGAAAUUAUAUAUUUAUUCCUUUCCAAACAAAAGAAUUUAAACAAUUAUAUUCAUAUUUUAUAUUUAUGCGAAUUAAGUGUAAAUAUUCUAAAGGAGACGUACGAAGACCAAUGUUUAUCGAUAAUAAAUAUACAACAAAUAGAUUUUAUUAAAUUUCAUCUUGGAUCAGUCAAAAAAAAAAUAUGUAUAAUAUUCGUAUUUUUAUUUAGUUUCAAUGCACGUGUAAAGGAAUAAUUUAAUAAUAACAGCUUAAAAAGACUGGUAAGGAUAUUAUUAAUUAUAAAAAUCAUAAUCGAUUAUUUAUUGUUUUGAUUAAAUUAAUAAAAAUUGAAAGAUUAUAAAUAGAAUAAACAAUGUUAAUAUACUGUAUUCACUUGACUUUAGUGAAAGCAAUGUAUUAUUGUAAAAACUUCUUGUUAACUGCACAUCUAUAUAUUAUUUAUUAUGAAAUUAAAAAUUAUUUUUUUCCAAAGCAUUAUAGUUGUCUAUAACAUGCUAAAAUCAUUGCAACCUUUUAGCCUCUAUUGUUUUUUUUUAAGUCAAAAGGAUACAACCUUAAAAUAAAAAUAUAAAUGGAGGGCAUAUCGGUUUUUGAGUUGUUCUUUUGGUAAAUUAUAGGUAAAUCUUCGUUUUGAUCACUUAACUAAAAAAAUUAUAAUUUGAUCAUUGAAUCAUUAGAAAAUUUUUAUUUAAGUCAAUGAAGUAUUCAAAAAAUUUUAUUAAGUUACUACGCUAUUAUUUUUUUUAGAAGUUUCGCAAGAAAGCUCAAAGCAAUGAUUCGACAAUCGGUACACUGAAUCAAUAACUAUUGACGAGUAGAAGAACAUAUCUUAGAUACAAGUUGAUUUGAUGGUCAAUGUCGGAGAUUAGAGAAAAAAGCUUUUUGAAUUUUGAAUUGCAAAUUUAUGACGUUCAAAGCUAUUUCAUAAAAAAAUGAACUGUAGAAAAGAAAGGAAAGAGAGGUUUCAAUUGGUGCAGGCAGCGAGAUCUAUUCAUUGAUAAGAGAAAGAAAAAACGUGAGCGGUGAUUGGAUUGAUGAGAAAAUAGAAUCCUGGGUCGCGAACAGUGAUUCGAUUGAUGAUAAAGAAAGAGAAUUCUUGGUUCAAUUCUCCACCUUAACAGCAGAAAAAAGGAUUGAUCAAAUUCUAUUGAGUCUGACUCAUAGUGAUCAUUUAUCAAAGAAUGACUCUGGUUAUCAAAUGAUUGAACAACCUGGACCAAUUUACUUACGAUACUUAGUUGACAUUCAUAAAAAGUAUCUAAUGAAUUACGAGUUCAAUACAUCCUGUUUAGCCAUAUAACAUUGAUUUUAAUAGCUCACUGACUUAAAUGAAAACUUUUGAAUAGUUUAGUAAUCAAAUUGUAACUUUUUUAGUUAAGCGACUAAAAUGAAAACUUACUUAUAGUUUAGGGACUAAUGAUGUAAUUUAUCCUUUUAUUUUUUAUUGUUCGUCAUUUAAUGCCCUCGAUAGUCUAUCUGGUGCAUAUAGCCUUUUCGAUAUCAUAUAUAGUUUCUUUUUUUUUUAGAAAAUUUGGGACACCAAUGACAAAUUUGUUUAUUUAAGGGUAAAUUACACUUAUAGUAAUCCAACUAUAAAAAGUUACAAGAUGGUCACUUAAUUAUUUAGAUUUUUUUUCUUAGUCACCUGCUGUUAAAGGGCUAAUGGGAAGAUGACGUGACAACUUUUAAAAUUGGUUAAACAACUUUUAACCAUCAACAUUUAUAUAUUGGUUCAAUUUAGUUUUGAUUCUAACAAAUUUAACUCUCAACAUUUUCACAUUGUGUAAUAUGCUUUUUUUCCAAUUUUGCUUUUCGUUGUGACCCUUUCACCUAAAAAGCUAAAAAAAAAACAAUCUAUCAACUAAAUUUGAUCAGAAAUAUACAAAAAAUAGAAACACCAAAAAAUCCAAGAUAAUAAUAUGCAUCUUAUGUAAUUCUUUUAAAAUUAACCCUCAAUGUCACAAAUAAAAGUAAAACUGUAAAAAGAGAGAGAGAGAGAGAGAGAGACCAAAUUAUAUAAUGUGUAAAUGUUGAUAUUUUUUUUUGAAAUCAAGACUAAAUUAACACAAUGCAUAAAUGUUGAGCGUUAAAGUUGUUAUUAUGCCAAUUUUAAAAAUUGUCAAGUUAUCUUUUUAUUAGCAAAUUAAUGGUCGGAGACCAAAAAAGAAAAAUUCAUAUAGUUGUGUGACAAAAAAGAAAAAGGGUGAAUAGUUGGAUGGUCAUUUUUUGUAAAGUUCCAUAGUUGGGUGACUCAAAAAAUACUAAAAGUUGGAUGACUACUUUCAAUGCCAUUUUUAUGAACAAAGCUAGCUUGAGAAAUUUUGAGAAAAAUAUGAAAAAUUUAAAAUAUUAAAACAUUGGGUUUUUAUUUAGAACAUAAGAUUUGUCACAAAUCUUUUAACUAGGUGUGAUCAAGUACCUAUAAAAUCGCCUUUUAAAAAUAUAAUUAGUUGGUUUGUUAUUUGAAAAUCAAAGAAAAUUCGAGUUCAGGAAUCAAUUACAUGCGAUGAAGGUAUUAACACCUUCACAAUGCCCAAAAAAAAUAUCUUAUUAAUUAUGUGUUGAUUUUAAAUUCAAAAAUUACAAGUUCAAAUUCAGUAUUCAGUCAUCAUCUGUAAUAUUCUGUUUGUUAAUUAUAUGUUUGUCUGCAUGUUGUGUGCAUUUUUACAUUUGCAUAAAUAAUUUGGGGUUUUGGUUGUGAAGAGAAGAAAGUUUGAUUUGAUCAGUUUAUCUGUAAUAUUCUGUACAACAAUUUUACUGCAUUAUUAUAUAUAUGUCAGCUUAGUUGCAUAUUUUCUUUUGAGUGGCUUAUACCCACUAUCGUGGUGUGUAGGGUGGAUCGGCCUACCAUAGCCCAAUUGUGGUGUGCAGGGUGGUCGGAGUGGUGUUCCGGUUGGUUGGGUGGGUUUUAAUAUUUAUUGCUUUCUUUUAUUAUUAUUAUUUUUAACUUUGUUGAAAACCUUUAUAUGAAUAUGUUUAUGUAACAUCUUUAACCAGACCUAGACGUUAGAUCUGAAUUCAAAAGAUUAUAUUAUCCACUAAAGUGGCUCAAUAAGCUAUCAAAGUUUUGAAAACGAUCAUUUUAAAACAUUUGUUUAUUUUGGUAGGAAAUUUAGAUACAACUCAAAAUUUUAAUUAUGAUUUAGCAACGGAAAAGUACUGUCUAUUUAUUUUUAAUAAAAAUCGGGGUUCAUGCAUACUAGUUAAUAAUCGUAACAUGAUGUCCUAAAAAUUUAAAUCAAGUGUUAUGCAAAAUAAAAACAAACUCAAAUCAUAAACCCCAUGCCACAAUUCGAAUAAAAUAAUAAUACAAUCUCUAAAUAAUGAAAUAUCAAAUAAUAUAUCUAAAAAUAUUUUAACAAAAUUGAGCCGAGACCCUCUGGAUCUAUAAGGAUGAAAAUUAAAGGGGGACUGAGCUAUGACGCUCACUUUGAGUUCCAUCACAAUAAAAUUAGCGUAACAGUCAGUAAGGCAUAUUAAAUAAUAAUGCAUAAAAUAAUCGCAAUUAAGUAGCAGUUCAAAAUAUCCAUUUUCAAUUUAGCCAUCAUUAGCAUAUAUAAUUUACAAUAGCAAUAUCAAAAUAUUGAUUUCACAGAUCACUCAUUCAUAUAUUUAGAUAUAAAUAUAUCUUACCAGAAAUUCUAGGUUUGCAUGCAGAUGCUUUCAUAGAUGCCAUACGGUAUCAGUUUUAACAGAAAAGAUCCUACUCCACCGCUACACACUACGAUUAGAGUUAUCCAAAACUCCAACCGCUAACACACCAAAUUAUGGAUUAACUACCAAUAGAUUACAGUUUUACUGCCAAUGGUUGUGGACACAAAAUAGUGCAGGUAAAAUCUGCCAAUGGCCAUGGAUGCAAAACAUGCUUGCAGAUGAUUACUGUCAAAGGGUUAUGGAUGCACAACAAAAACAUCACAGAUGGAAUCUGCCUAUGGUUGUGGGUACACAAUAAGCCGUCGUAGAUGGAAUUUGCCAAUGGCUGUGGGUUCACAGCAAAAUAAAUGCAGAUAUACUGCAAAUACUUCCUCUAUUCAUAACAUCCUAUCCCAUGUAAAGCAAUAUGACAUGUUCGGCAGAUUAAUAAAAUAACAUUAAAUUAUGCUUUUAACAAACAAUACAAUAGCAAUCAGUAUUCUUAUAAUGGUUUGGUUCAGUAGCAAUGAACAUGCUUGUGACAGAUUAAUUUAUUAGUAAAAAUCAUGCUUUUUUGUGUGCUUGGUUUGACACUUACAUAAGGCAUACCAUACAUACGAUUACAACCCCUAAAAUAAUAGACAUAUAUAUAAUGUUCACAAUUCAUGUGUAUAUAUAUAAAUAUCAUACUAAAUCAAUUCAUCAAAUCAUGGAUUCUAACAUAAUUCAUAUCAUCAGGGCUUAAUUGAAUAAUUUGAAGCACUAUAAAUAGUUCAAAAAUCAUUCAGGGACUAAACUAAACAAAACAUAAAAUUCUUGGUCAAAAUCGUAAAAUCUAAGGUACAGGGGACACACGACAAUGUGGAAAGCCCUAGACUGUGUGGAAGGAGUGCACGGCAAUGUGGCUAGGUCGUGUGACAGACUAUGGCCUUGUGGCAUUUGAAAAAUCAACCUAUAAGGGAGACAUGACCGUGUGGAGGGUCCUAGGCCGUGUGAGGGUCGAAAUAACCUAGGGUUUCAGGGGGACAUGGUCAUGUGAGGGGGCCGUGUGGUCCACACGGGUGGCCCACGCGCCUGUGUGGCACUAUCUUAGGCAUGAUUUUGCAUUGUUUCACUUGUAAAAGAACAUACACUUGACUUCGGGAUCUCAAACGAUGUUCCUUGCGCCUAAAUCUGAUUCGAGGUACCUAGAUCAAGUCCUUCAAAUGACAUUUAAGCAAGAAUUAAUAAUGAUAUUCAAGAUUUAUCAAGAUUACUGGGAAAUAUUGACAAGAUUCGUAAAAGAUCAUUUGAUCAAUCUUAAAAUUAACAUGAAUAAAAAGUCUACAGGAAUUUAAGAUCUAAACUUUAGGAUUAGAAUGUUCUUACUGAUUCUUGGCAACGAGCGGAGAAUGUUUCGAAUUGCGAUUACGAAUCUAGUUGAAAAGUGAGUUAAAAUCAAGAAUAGAUUUCAAUUUUGGGUAAUCAAGAACGAUUUUCAACAAUGGAACAAAAUUUUGAUGAAAAGAAAAGCAAAGAAAAGAAAUAGGGAAGAAAUAGAAAAGAUGGAAGUAAAGUUCUAGGAGAAUUGGAAAAGGAAACAAAAUCCUAGCCUAGUUAGGAUAAUGGUUUAAAUAGCUAGGGUUUUCAAAUUUUUAGGGACUGUUUGGAUGGGUGAUUAACCAUUCUUGCCGAAAAUAAAAAAGGAAAUAGGGUGAGUGGUGUGACUUAAACUUGGGAUUCAAGGGAGAAAUGAAUGAUGCUUAACCAUUGAGCUACUACCCACACUUGAUCAUUUUUUACUCCAUUCAAUAUAUAUUCUAUGGAGAUUUUCAUUCUAGUUUGCUGAAAAUGAAAAGAAAAAUAUGGGUGAGAUGUAACACCCCAAACCCAGCCUAGACGUUAUGGUCGUAUCUGGUAAUGUCACACGAUAGUGUUUUUCAAACCUCGUUGUUACGAUGAAAACAUUCCAUGUUAUUAUCUUUAGUAAACCUUUGUUAGAACUUAGGAAUUCACCUUUAUUCAUUUAAAACAUUUGUUUUGAAACAUCCCUCGUUACAAAAGCUUUAAUAAAACAGUCUAAGUGAUCAUACGUGUAGAAAAUACUUUAACUUUUUGAAAACCAAAUUUCCUAUUACCAACAGGUAUAAAUCCAUAAAGUAAAAUAAAUAAAUAAAAAUCCAAAAUUUAAAACCAAAGUCCCAGAGGGUCCUUAAAUUACAACCCAAAUAAUCAAUACUAAUUAAUCAUAAAACGUAAAUUGAAAACCAUGAAGUCCAAAAAUUUCUGUGGUCACCGCUGAGUCCUCCGUCGCACCGAUCCAUCUAAGUUUGGGGAUUACCUGUGCACAUUAAACAAAAAGUGUGAGUUUACGUAAACUCAGUGUGUAAUCCCGCAGAAACAAACAAGCAAUCAGUAUUCAUAGUGCACAGUUGAACAGUCUUGGGCCUAAGCCCUUUUCAGUAUCAGUGACAAUUUGGGCCUUAGCCCAUCUCAGUAUAGUGUCAAAAAUGCAGUAGGGCCUUAGCCCAUCACAGUAUCAGUAGCAGUAACAAUUAUGCAGUAGCAAAAUCCUACCCAUCCAGCCUUUACAUACCAUCUCCGUCCAACCCUGCACUCCAUGUGGGGAUAUAAUCAACCGAUCCAUCCUUACACUCCAAUUAGUAUCGAAUGCAGCACAAAACAGUAGUUUGCAGCUGAGCUACUAGUAAAUUAGGCUUAAAGCCUUUUAGUCAACUUCCUCCGAAUAACAACCUCUAACCCAAUGCAAUGCAACAUACCAUGGAUGAUAUGCUAUUAUGCAAUUUCAGUACAUAUAUUCAGUUAAGAUAUUAACAUGCUCAGUAUAAAUAUCAUUCAGUCAAUUUCACACAUUUAGGGGUCUAAGUAGCGCUUACCGACCUUACAGUAGGUUCACAGUCGACUUGGGCGACCCAUGCAACCUUAGAAACAUUCCAGUAAGAAUGAGCCCACAAGCCCGUGUGUGCCCGUGUAGCCCACUCUGCCCAAAUUGGCCUUGGUCGUGUGAUCCAUUUUUAAUGUAACCCAUGCUAGCUAAAUAUUCAUAUAUGUUUUCACUAUUUACUUAUAUGUUCAUUCAAAGCUGUCUACUUGAGUCAUUGUCACUAAAUUAUUUAUAUCUUGAGCUACAGAAUUAUAAAUUAAAAUCCACUUGAUGUUUUCAAAACUAGACUCAAAUACUUUUCUACCAUAAAAUUUUUAGAUUUUAUAGUUUAUCAAAUAAGUACAGUAAAAUCUUCAAAUCUAUCCCGAUUCUACUAUUUGACAGCUUCAAUCUUUCCUUACUAAAAUUAUUUAUCUCUUAGUACGGAAUUUGGAUGAUAUUUCUGUUUGUUUCUCUUGAAAAUAGACUUGUUAAGGACUUAAAAAUAUAAAUUUAAGCGCCUAAUUAUUUUUUACAAUUUUUGAUGAUUUUUCCAAAGUCAGAAUAGGGGAACCCGAAACCAUUGUUUCUUCCAUUGCUUACAUUGUUUCUUCCAUGAAAAACUAGAGUCAACAAAAUUUAAUUUCAUAUUUUAUUCAACCUCUAACUCUAUUUCCACUAUUUUAGAUGAUUUUUUCAAAGUUAGACUACUGCUGCAGUCCAAAACUAUUUUAGUGCAAAAUGUCGAUUUCCAAGAUUAUAACACCCUUAUUUCCUUUCUCUACAAUUUUUCACAUCAUUUUCUCUUAUUUCUCGACAGUAAGCAAUUUUGGCUUUUCGCUGAAUCUCAUUUUCUUCCUUUCGGGUACACACCUGUAUCGUUUUCGUUGCUUACGCAAUCCCGAGAUCACCAAAAACCUUCUAACUUUGCACAAUUCCACGACUACUCAACACGAGGGAAAUAGCAACCGAAAUGAUUCGUUGCUGUAAAAAUAACCAUUCCUCAUUAAAGAAGAGUUCAACAAAGUUAAGAACGAAUUCAAAGCCAAAACCACUCGCCCAAACAACACAAGAAAACACAUGCCCUAUACGCAUACCAAACGAUCACCCCUUCGAGUCAAAUCGAUGAAUGUUAAUUCCAGAUGCACGAUCGACUCCUAAACAAUCAACAAAACACCCCUUAAUCCCUUAUCCAGAGUAACAUUCGAGUUUAAUAAAAUGGAAACUUACCGUACAACACAAUUGCACGCUUGCACAAAGGGUAAAAGAUGAAGAAAGACAACGAAAACGAAAGGGGAAUUCAAAGGAAAUUCAACAACAAUGAUUUAUUAUUUAGAAAAAAAGAGGAAAACUGAAAAUUGAGAGUGAGGGAGAAGAGAGAAAAUGUUAGAAAGGUGGAAAAGAGUUCUAAAUUUGAAAAAAAAACUAAACAAAAAGAUAAUGCCUAAAAAAUCUGGUAACUCAUCUCCUUAGUUCUCUCCCUAACCUCCCACAACAACUCCACUACUCGAAAUUUCAAUUUGACUAGGACUCCACUACGCCACACGGCCAAGCAACAAAAAAAAUAAUUCCCUAGCUCAUGCAAGGACUUGAACUCUAGAUCUCCCACCUCCCAACACAUAGCUUAGCCACCAAACCAGCAAGCCCAUUCUAAUAAUAUUUGCCAACUUUUACUUAAAAGCCUACUGACCAAAGAUAGGGCUUAUUCAUAAAAAUACCAAAAUUUUCCCAAGUCCUGGCUUGAACUUAAAACCUCACACACACACAGAAUACUUAACCACUGAAGCAAAUACACAAUUAUGUCACACUUUCGCAAGAACAAAAAUAAAAAUUCUGGGGCGUUACAUGAGAUGUGGAUAAAACCUAGGACCAUUAGGAAAGUGCUAACUUUUUAACCAUCAAACCAAGGACAUUUCUUGAUUAAUUAACCCUAUAUAUUUUGUGGUGUUACAAUUUCUUAAUAGCUAAAUUUCCCAUUUAGCUUUAAGGUGAUAGUCAAUUCGGGAGAAAACCAUGAGAUUUAAAAUCGUACUUAAAAAACAUUUAUUCUGGUAUUUAUUAUUUCUCUUGUUUAAGGAAUAGACAUUGCCGUCUCAUAAAGUUAUAGUGACACCAGGUAAAAAAUAGUUCGUUGAUAUGGUGUUGAUAGACAUACAAUUUGAAGAAUCGAUAUAAUCUGUUAUCGUAUUCGAUCUAUGGAAAAACUCAUUGGCGUGUCCAUUUAAGUGGUUGGUUGGAUCUGUCAAGAGAAAUAACAAUCGAAUUUAAAUGACCCACACGUUUAAGGUUGUUGAUUCUUUUUGGGCUCUUCUAGUUCACAAGGCUAUCGAAGAGCUAAAUCGUGGACUCGUGUUUUGUGGUUAUUCGUUCGGUAAGGGUUAGUUUUUGGGUGUUCCCGUAAUUAAUUUACACACGGAAAGAUUGGUGGUAUUAGGUGCCCUCGAUUACUAUAACAGAUUUAUUGAUUGAAGGAGAAGAUGUUUUAUCAAAGAUCAGCUUGAAACUAGAGCCGAAAUUGAGCCUGAAGCUAGAAUAUUUUCACAUUGGUAUAUUCAAUCUAUUUUUUUUUACUUUUAUUUUGAUUUUAAGUAUUUCUAUUAAUUUUAUUUUAAUCAGAUUUAAUUCCCUUUUUUAUUUUUGUACGGAUCAUCACAUGUCGUGCUUGACACUCAACUUAGCUAAAUCGAAAAAUAAUUUUAGAUAUUCAAUCUCUGUGGGAUCGACCCUACUCCUUAUACUGAUGUUUAUAUAUAGUUUAGGCGUAGGAAUAUUAUUUUUGGUGGAUAUGGCACCAAUCAAUUAUCAAAUAAUUAUUUUCAAAAAUAUAUUUUAAAUUUUUUGACUAAACUACACAUUUAGUCAUCCAACUUUCAUAAAUUUUUAUUUUGUGCACUGAAACAGUGCCCAUAUUGUAGUCUUUUUAUUUUCAGUGCCCCAAAAUAAAAAGAUUGCAAUAUGGGCACUAUUGUUACAUACUUUUAUCAUUUUAGUCACUGUCGGGAGUGACGAUGAUAAAAGUAUGCCGAUAAAAUUUUUUAUGUUUGAAAUUAUCGAAAAUUUAAUUUUAAGGGAUAAAUCCCAAAACUAUACAUGAACUAUGGUUUAAUAUGCAAUUGUAUACAUGAACUUUGAUUUUGUGUAAUUUUAUACAUGAAAUUUUGAUUGGAUCCAAUUCUUUUAAAUUAUUAACACAAUUAUUGAUAUUACAUCAUUUUAUGUUUAUAUAUUGCAUGCAUAAAUAAUUACAUUUAUCCAAUAUAAAAAUAAACUGAUGUAUUUAUUUCUUUAAAUGUGUAUGAUUAAAUCAAAAUUAAAGUUUCAAGUAUAUAUUUGAACCACAAUUAGAGUUUCACGCGUAUAAUUCCACCAAAUUAAUGUUCAUGUAUACAAUUACACAUUAAAUCAAAGUUCAUGUAUAAUUUUUAGAUUUAUCCCUAUUUUUAAUUACUAAAAUUAUCAAAUGCGAGACGAAGUUUAACUUAGAACAUUUAAAUUAAAUAUGCAUUUAAUUCAUGAAUCAUCAAAUAAGAUAUAUUUAUAUUUUCUAUUUCAUUGAAUUGAUAUCAUAAAUUAAUCAAACAUCAAUUCAAUUCAAUUGAAUAGUAAUUAAAAAAUUAUUAUUUAUACUAUUAUAACUUAUUUUUAUUCAGGCUAAGCUCGAUUUUAAACUCACUAUCGCAGGUAAUCAGGUUUCUAGUGUUAAGUUUAAUUUUGAAAAAUCCAAGUUGAAUCUUGCUACACUUUCAUAGCUCGAUUUUAAUUUUUGACCUUAACUUGGGUUAACUUGGGUUUUGACUAUAAAUUUUUAAUGUUGGCUUUUAUGUUAUUUGUCAAUGUUAUUAACAUUUAAGGGUGGCCUCUUUUUCCAAAGGAAGAGAAGAAAAAAGAGAGCGGCGAAGAGAACAGUGAAGCAUUUUAAGAAAAGAAGCUUACAAGAGAGGAGGUGGAAGAAGCAGAAGAAGAAGAAGAGAAUAGAGCGAGAGGAUCUGCUGGUAUAGUAUAUACCUUGUAUUGUAACUCUCUUGUUUGCAUACGGUGAAAUCUCACUUUAAAUAAACAUGAAUAAAAGGUAUAUCUUUUUCAUGCAUAAUACUACUUUCUAAUAAACUUUUAAUUUCCCAAACCAAAAAUUGUUUUGAUGAAUUUUAAUUGAUUUCUAAUUUGCAAAAUUGGUAGCACUCCAUUUGUUGUUCAAAAUUCAUCUAGCAGUACAGAAUCAAUAAAUUUCAUAUGUGACGAAGAAUUGAAUCUAAUAUAUUAUGAUUUUAAAUAUUCAAUAUUAUCAUUUUAAUCAAAUUUUUAUUUGGUAAAUAUAUUUUUUAAUAAAUUUUUUUUCAUCCACAAAGUGGAUGUACUAUAAUUUAGUAAUAAUCAAUAGUCUUCAUUGAAUUCUUAAAAAUUUUGAGAUUUCUAAUUCGAAUAUCGUCUCAUUUAAAUGUGUAAAUUCUUUUUUAAAGUUUUUCAGAUCAUAGUUGAUAUAGUUAUUUAAUUUAAUUCAAAGUUUUCCUAGUUAUAUGUAAAUGAAAAAAUUGCUUCUAAGGUACCUUCACUCAUGCUUCUAAUUAUUAAUUAUUUCAAAUUAUCAAUAUAUUUGUUUUAAAAUAAAUAAUGAAAACCGAAUAGAGAAACAAAGAGAAAACUAGAUGCCUCUACCUAAUUUUACAUCAAAUCAUAGUCAUUAUAUCUUGAGAUUUUCGAUUAUUUAUGUUUGAAGUUUGGAAUUUUCGUGUCGAUUUAUUUAAAAUUUAAUUUUUAUGAACAGUUUAAUUUCUAUAUAAUUUUACAUAUUAUUUAUGAGUUAACAAAAGUAUUGAAAUAAUUUUUUUAAAUUUAAAUUUAAAUAAUUUGUUUAAAAAGUUUUACAUGACAACUUUUUAAAAUCCGAACCCAAUUGUUUAGAUUUUUUAUAAAUGUUGUAUUUAUACAAGUCGAUUCAUAAAAUCACUCUCAAGUCAAUUCAGUUUCUUAUUUUUAUUAUAGCAUUAAAUGAUCUAUCCAAAAUAAUUGAUCCAAAAUAAUGGUGCGAUAGACAUCGGAGCUGUAUCCGGUAGAAGCUUAAUGUCGAACUCAACUUCUCGAUUCAGAGGUAAACCCGGUAACUCCUCAGAAAAACAUUCGAAAAUUCCCUCACUGUUCUCAUAUCCUCAACAGAAAGUCCCAAGAAAAACUAAAACACUAACAUAAGCCAAAUACACCUCACACCCUUUUUGAACCAAUUUCUCAACCACUAGAGCGGAGAUUACAUUAGACUAGUAAUCUCGACGCUCGACAAUUACGACAACCUCCUUAUCAUCCUCAGUCGUUAGAACGAAUUAGUCGCACAAUCCAAGCUAACUCGAUGCUCAACUAACCAGUCCAUACCUAGAAUUAAGUCGAACUCCCCAAACGGUAGCUCCAUCAAAUUUGCCGGAACACACAGCCCCUUGUACCCCUAUAUAGUCUACUAACCCGAACAGAUUGCCCUAACGGACUCAGUACAAUAAUCUCAGUAGAAGUACAAUCAACAGAAAUCCCCAAGUUCUCAAAAACAGAACUAGCUACAUAAGAGUGUGUAGAACCUACGUCUAUCAAAGUAGUAUAUGGAGCAUCAAAAUAAAGAACGUACCCGUGAUCACAUCAGGGGCAUCUCUGUCCUCUCAGUGUCGAGCAGCAUAAACCAGUGCAGGCUGCCUCGCCUCAAUCUGAUUAGCAUCUCUACCCGGUGCUCUGUCCUUAGCCCAUACCAUUACCAUCCCUAGCCAGUCCACGGCCUUUAGGUGGCUGCUGCAUUGCUCACUAAGGCUGAGUAGAACCCGGUCCCGAAGCUUGCAUCUGAUCCACACGAUGUGGACAUUCUCUGAUCCAGUGCUCUAAUGAUCCACAUUUUAGAAAAGCCCCUAAUCUCCUCCAACACUCGCUCGGAUGGCGCCUACCACAAUCACCACAAGGUUGAAUCCAAGUAGGAGCAACAGGAACUCCCACUCUAACAGGCCCAUCAGGUCUAGCUUGUUUCUUAGGCCUUUGAACAGAACUAGAGGGCUCCGAAUCCCUCUUAUUCUUGCCCCUCUCUCUGUCUUUGCUCUGGCGCUCCACGCACUUAACAUCUUCGGCAAUCUUUGUAUUAUCUACCAAAACAACAAACUCACGCUCCCUCUGCGAAGUAAUUAGACGCUCAGACUAUCCCUCAAACCAUCCUCAAAACGGACACAUUUGUCAUACUCGGAUGCCACCAUGCCUCGAGCGUAGCAGCUUAAUCUCAAAAAUUCAGCCUCAUACUCAACCACAGACUUAUUACCUUACGUGAGAUUCAUAAACUCAUGCCUAUGAGCAUCAACAUAGCUCGCGCCCACAUAUUUUCCCUGGAAGGCAGUCUUAAAGUAGUUUCAGUUCAGAUGAUCCAGUUGAGUACCCUCCUCUACCGGUAACCACCACUGAUACGCCUCAUUGUGACGUAAAGAAACUGCACCCUUCAAUUUCUUCUUAGGAGUGUUGUCAAUGUCAUUCAUAAUCCUCUCAGUAGCCACCAACCAAUACUCGGCCACAGUAGGGGCGACUCCAGUGACACUCCUAAACAACUCAGCUCCAUUGAACCGGGGUCGUUCAGUUACUGACCCACGGCCCUCAAAUCCAGAAUAGGGUCCAACGACCCUCUCCAACACCCUUAACAUGGCUUGGGACAAUGCGUCGUCCCCAACUGAGCGGCUUUGAGGCCCAGUCUCAGUAACAUGUGAAACUGAUAUCUUACUCGUAUCUAAAUUCGGUAUACUACCCAGAGAGGAAGACUCAGCUUGAGCCCCCUACGGCGCCUGCCGCACCCACGAAUAUUACGAUCGCGAGUUCCACGAGUGCUCAUCGUAUUUUUAGUUUUAUCUACAUUAUAAAAUUUUAUGCAUCAGUUCCAGUAUUUAUUAAUAGAUAUUUUAUGCUCAAGUUAUCAGAAGUUCCAAAGGAUUUCAGAGGUUUUAAUCUCUAACUAACUUAGUGCAGUUUCAGAAAGUACUAACCACAGUAUUUUCAGAAAAUUCUAUCUAAGUUUAGAAAUACUUACAGGAUCGGCGCCGAAGACUUGAUGUACCACAUACGUACUGAAAAUUAUUCAAAUCAAUUAAAAGCCAGUCCUUUGUCAAAACAUAAUUUUGGAACCCAAAAUUCACAGCCCGAGUUUUGUAACUUGGCUCUGAUACCACUAAAUGUAACACCCCAAACACGACCUAGACGUUAUGGCCGAAUUUGAUAGUGUUACGAAGAAGGGUUUUGAAAUUGAUGAUUUUUCAAUAAACCAUGUUUAACUAUUUGAUAAAACGUCCAAGUAUUAUAAAACAUAUUCAUUACUGAAACCGUUAUAAGUUGUUCCUUAAAAUUAAUCGUUUAUUUUGCAGCGGAAGUUUGGAAAUCGUUUAAAACAAAAACCAAGCUCAUGUUUUCGAAAACCCAUUUGUUGCGUAAAGUGUUUUUGUUGACGUUACGAAAAAAUAGCAAAACAAAAUCCAAAUGCAAAAGUUAAAACCAAAUUGUUUGAAGAGUCCCAAAAAUUACAAACUAUCAAGAAAAACCAAACUUUAAAAUUAAACCACUAAUUACUAAAUAAAAACAGUUCUUGGUCGAGUGGUCACCGCUAAGCCUCCGUCGCACCGACCCGCCUAAGUCUGUGGAUUAAUUGAACAGAACAGACAAACAAUUGUGUAUUUUCGUAAACUCAGUGUGUGACCCAAUAGAAAUAGCCAUGCAACAUGCACAGUGUUUCAUAUAAAGUCAGAUACAGAUUCGACCUUAAGUCCAUAACAAACACAAAUAUCAGAAUCAGAUAAACAAAACAAAUAUACAGAAUCCUACCCCCAUCCUCUACACACCGUCUUCGACCAUCCCAUCACACCACGUAGGGUUAAAAACACCCACCCAUCCCUACACAUUAUAUAAUGUCGAUGCGACACAUAAUAGAUAAUAUGCAGUCAAGCUGCCAAAAUAUAGGCGAAGAGUCGCUACACAGAUCACUUCCUCCACAUAUACAAUUUCCACUCCAUUCACAGAUACAAAGUACAGAUGCAGAAAUAUCAUAUUAAACAUGCUUAACAUGCUCGUAUACAGAUAGAUACAUAAUUAAAUAGUACAAUCAUACAUACAUAUCAGUAUCCUACUCAGAUCAGUCUAUCAAAAUAUCAAAUCACAUGAAAUAAGGUUUGGUUAGCCCUUACUGACCCUACGAUAGGCCCACAAUCGAUCGGAACGACUUGUGCAACUUUAGGGAAAGGUUCAGAAUUCUGGGCCCACAUGCCCGUGUGGCCCCACACGCCCGUGUGGCCUACUAGCUUAGCCCAAAACCCACACACCCGUGUAGUAUGCCCGUGUGGCCCAUACGCCUAACUUGGCCUAGCCCGUGUAGCCCAUACGGCCACACUCACACCGUCACAAUACCGUGUCUUGCGCAGGACCACUCCUUCAUCACUCACACGGCCGUGUCUCGCACAUGGCCAUCUACACGGUCAGCCACAUGCCCAUGUAGCGUCGACAGGCUUCAUUUUUAGCUUUUAUCGAAACUCGAUUUUUCGUGUUAGGAGUACACACCUGGUUCAAUUUUGAUGCGAAAUCACUCUUGAGACCACUAAAACCUAAAAUUUAUCAUUAAAAAGUCAAAUUUAGCUGCAUAAAAUGAUGUUAAACUGAAACUAUAUCGAAUUAACAAUCUCUUGUUCAACCAAAACCCUUACCUUCGAAUGAACAACAGUGAUUUCCUGCAGUUAUAACACUGAUGGAAAGCCUUGAGCCCCUUGAUCUUCUCCUAAACGACAAUAAUGAAACCCCAUCAACCAAAAAUUCACUAGCCAAAAACAAGAACCAAACUUACCAAACCGAAAUUGGGUACCAAGACCGAAAUACAAUGAAUUGCACCAACAAAUUUAAUUAUCGAAACAAAAGAGGAAAGGAGAGCAAAAAUUGACAGAAGUCGAAAAGAAGAAGAAAACAAAACGUCAAAACAAAAAAAAAGAUUUUGGGAAAAAAAUAAAAGAAGAUAAAAUAAAAAUAAAUUAAUCUCAAAAUAAAAGUCCCACUAUAUCCACUCCUAACCAACUGAUAACUACCCAUUUAAACAGACUUUCGAUUCCAUCCAAACUUAGUCAACCGAAGCAAAAAUUAUCACCCUCGCUCACGUAGAGAUUCAAACGUAAGACCUCCAGCAAGCUAACUCAUUACCACUCGAACCAACAGGCUCAUUUUGAUAUAGAUUAACAGACAAUUUAUAUAAACCCACCCAAUAGGGAUAAGGCCUGGAUAAAAAAUAACAAAAUUUUUCCAAAUGUAGGACUUGAACCCUAGACCUCACACACACACACUCAAAACACUUAACCACUAAAACAAACUUAAAUUAUUCAAGGCGUUACAAAGUGGAUUGAAUUUUAGCUUGAUUGGUAUAGGUAUUAUUGUCAAUGUAAGAGGAUCUAGUUUCGAGUGCACUUAAACGCUUUAUCCUCCUAUUUAUGGGUUGGAGAGGGGUUAUGGGUUGAUGAGGGGUUAUGGGUAGUUCUUGGCAUUGUGUUAAAAAAAAUAGAUAUCAUCAAAACUUAUAAUGAGAUUAUUAAAAAAAUGUAUAAACAUAAAACAAAUUUUUUUUCAUCAUUUUCAGAUUUAAAUAAGCUUUAGAUUAAAAUAAAUUUGUGUUGCUUGAGGUUUUCGGAUCUAUUUACUCUCAUUUAAGUUGUAAAGUUUUUAUGAGAGGUAAAAUGCCAUCUCACCAUUUUAAUAGCUUACAUCUUUAUAAUUAUUUAAGGACUAAAUCAAAAUUUUAUUAUUUUUAAAAGUCAAAGUAUAAUUUUUACCAUAUACUAAUUUAUAAAAUUUAUAAAAUUUAAAACGCUAAAACAUAAACUUGCCAUUUUAGGGUGCAGAGCCAACCCCUAUAUUUCGAAUUUGAAUCAAUUUAAGUUUGAAUUUUUAUAUGAUUAAAGAAAAAUAAAAUAAGCUUUAUUUUAAAUUCAUCAAGUUAAAUUUAUCAAGUCAAAUUUUUAGUUAGAAAUCAAAAUUGCAAGGUUUACCUAUAUUAAGAAAAAUUAGCUACUCAAAAAUUGUUAAUAUAUGAACCUGUGUAUUGGCCUGAUGGUUAGGAUAUUUAUCGCCCCAAGUGUGACCUGGGUUCAAGUCGCAUUGCUAUUAGGGCUUUGCCCUCCUCUUAUAAUUCACCAAAAAAUUUGUUGAUAUAUAUUAUAUAGAGAUAGUAAACUAUUCGAAAUUUUUGAGUUGAUUUAUUUAAAUUUGAAUUUCUAUGAAUUUUUAUGUAUUAAUAGUUUAACUUAUAUAUAAUUUUACAUAUUAUUUAUGAGUUAACAAAAUUUUUGAAAUAAUUUUUAUUUAAAUUUAAAUUUAAAUAAUUUAUUUUAAAAGGUCUACAUGACAACUUUUUAAAAUCCGAACCGAAUUGUUUAGAUUUUUUUAAAAUGUUAUAAUUAUACAAGUUGGUUCAUAAAAUCACUCUCAAGUCAAUUUAGUUUUUUUUAUAGCAUUAAAUGAUGUAUCCAAAAUAAUUGAUCAGAUUAACUUAUAUGUCAGUCUAAAAUCAGCACUAAAUGUUAAACAAUUAUGUUAAAUUUAAUUUUUAUGAUUAAAAAUAUAAAUAUCAAUAGUCAUAUUAUUAAAUUUUAGAAAUAAAAUUUUUAACAAAAAUAAUUACUUCAUCUUUAAAUUGUUUUUCACUAUCAAUUGACUAAAUUAUAAUAAAAUUUAUAGCAGCCUCAGUGAAAGGGGGUGCUCAUUCUAGUAAAAGGCAUAAUGUUUUCUUUUUCUUUUUUUAUCUUUUAAUGUUAUAAAAAAGUCAUUUUAGUUUUUCAUUUACUUUUUUAUCUUUUAAGUCUUUAAAUUUGUAUUUUUGUCAAAUCACUCCAAAAAUGAAUGGAAAAGUUAACAUUUUUAACUUUGUUGAUGUUGUAUACAUGUGGACUGCUAUAGGGAUGACAUGCCAACAUUUAAUUAAUUUUUUAAAAUUUAAAAAAUUUAAAAUAUUAUAAAUGUUGGCGCCAUUUUUUUUGAUGAAAACGGGGUCGACUUGGGUUUUGAAAAAUGAAACGGGAGUCGCCACCAAUCCUUUUUUAUGAGGUGUGAUUGGAUCACCUUGAAAAGUGGUUGUUUUUAAUAAACGGUUUAGUUUUAUUAAAACAACGAUUUUGGUCCACAAAAUUCAGAAAAAUGGGUUCGGGAGUCGGUUACGCACGAGGAAGGAUUAGCACCCUCGAUACGCCCAAAAUUGGUACCUAAUUGAUUACUUAAUGUCUUAAUGUCGAAAACUUUGAAGAACUUUAAAAAAUACGAUCCUUAUAUUAAAAUAAAAAUUUUUGGGAAAAGUAGCAUAUUUCACGUUAAUCGAGAAAGAGAAUCAUAUCCAGUAAGUUAGGAUACAAUGUCUCAAAUUCCCAACACGCAAAUGAAAAAUGCUUAUUUAAAAGAUAUUUUAGCCAUCUCGGAUUUAAAAAUGAGAUCACGACCCGUAAGUUAGGACGCAAUUUUUUAAUCCCGAGAUCAUUUAAAAUUUGAGUUUAAAAAGAUUCGUCAUUUAGAUUUAUCGUGAAAAUCGAAACCCAGUAAGUUAAGAUACGAUCCUCUCGAAUCUAAAGACGAAAUAUUAUUUAUUCAAAACAAAUUAUGUUAUGUCGAGUAAAAUAAAACACUAAAAUCGUAGUAAAAAAAUGUGAAAGCAAUUUGCAUUGUUGUUAUUCAUGGCAAAAUCAUAAUGAAUACAAAAGUAUAAAAUGAUAUGAGCAAUAGCAACAAUAAUAAAUAAACGUUAGUCCUACAAUCAUAUAAAAUAACAAUGUAUAUAAACAAAUAAAUCAAAACUUUCAUUCAAAAUAAUAAUAAAAUGAAAUAAAUAGUGAACACAAAUAAAACGUAAAGGAAUAUAUAUAUGUAUAGAAAUGUAAAUUAAAAUAUGUGUGUAUACGUAAGUUACAAAAUAUAUGAAAUAUAUAUAAAGUAUAUUUUAAAAUAUAAAGAAAAAAUAAAUAUGUAUGAAGUGUAUGUAAGUAUAUAAAUAUGUAUAUAUAAUAAAGGUGUAUGAAAAUAUAUUUUAUAUACAUGUAUUUAUAAAAAAAUGCAUAUAGAUAUAUAUAGAUGGUUUUAAGCUAUGAAGUAUGAAAAAUAUGUACAUGUAUGAAUUAUAAAAUAUAUAAAAUAUGUACAUAUAUAUAUGUAAAAAUAUGUAUUUAUAUAUUUAUAAAGGUUAGAAAUAUGUACGUGUAUUAUAAAUAUAUAUGCAUAUAUAAAUAAAUUAUAAAAUAGGUAUGUUUAUAUGUAUAUAUAUAUAUAUUACAAAAAAAUGUGUAUAAGUAUAUGUAAAAAUAUAUAAUAAUAUAUGUAUAUAUCUAUAAAAGCAAUUAUAAUAAUAAUAAUAAUGCAAUAACAAUAAUAAUAUAAAAUUUGUAAAGAAAAUAAACAAAAUCACUAAAGGAUUAGAUUAAACAUUAAACAAGAUUCGGGGGGUUCAAAGCGCAAAUAAACGAAAGGGGAGGGAUUGCUCUGAACACGCAUGUAACAUGGAGGGACCAUCAAAGAAAAUUACCCUUCCUUUAAAACGGCGUAGUUCGAGUAAGGACGAAGUUGAAAAUACGAAAAAAUUUUGGGUAAAUUUAAAAGAUCAAAAGAACCUAAUUUAAAAAGCAUUAAAAAAGCGGAAGGGCUAAAGGUGCAAUUAGCCCUUCCGUCAAAAACACGCGGAUCCCUAGAUCAGACGGGUCGGGUCGCGGGUCGGAUCUCGGUUUAGACGCAAAACGGCGUCGUUUGAGGCCGAAUGAAACAGGCCAAAACGACGCCGUUUCAUUUAGGUAUUUAAACCAAUUUUUGUUUAAAAAAAUCAUUCAGCCCCAUUCCCCUUUUUUAAAAAAACUAAAAACUUCUCAGUUCUCUCUCCCUCUUCCCCUUUCUUGAUCUCGGGUCCGGCCGAGGGCCACCUUGUCGGCCGUCGGAUCGCCGGUGCCAGUGACGCCGUACACGGUGGCCGGCGAGUGGAGAAAGGCGUGCCCUUAGAGAUGCCUAUCUCCUAAACCCGAAUCCGGCCUCAAAAUGACCAAAAACGAAUGGGAAAAGGCUGUUAGGCUUCUCUACAGUCGGUUUCCUCACCGGAGAAGGAGUUUCCGACGAGGAGGAAACAGCGACCCGCGGUGAGUCUCUUUUUUCUUUAUUUUAUGUUUUUUAUUUCGUUUAAAAAAUCAAAAUAAAAUAAAAUAAAUACAACGAAAAAAAGAAAAAGUAAAUAUUGCAAUCGAAAACCCAGGGAAUCACCUUGAAGCUUGAUAUUUUUUAUUAUUCUGUUGAAAUUUGUUUUCUUGGUUACAAAUCGAAAAAAGAAAAAGAAGCCCUUUUGAUUUUUUCAAUCGGCCUUAUAUAGCCAAACUACAAAAUAAAAAAUCUCCUUUUGCUAUCCGUAUUUGCUGUUGCUUGUUGGUGUUUGUUGCAGGUACUGGCGGAGCAGUUGGAGCAGGUGAGUCGGUGGCAAGUGGGCGUGGUGACGGCUGUGAACAGAGGGCAGGUGAGGAGGCCAGGAGCAGGUGCGGCACAACAAGGGGCUAGGGUUUCUGCUAGGUGUUUAUGUUUUGGGCUGAUUGGGUUAGGCUAGUUGGGCCUGGGUAGUUUUUAGGUUAAAAUUUGUUAUUGGGCCCUGGGUCAAAAAUUGGGCUUGUACAGCUGCCCCUCUUUGCUCGUUGUCGUGUAACGAUAACAGAGCAAAGACUAAGAAAGACCAAUUUUUGUCCAGUCUUUGCCGAGUAUUGACUUCUCUUGACGCUUCUUUUCAAGUAACUUUAUUCUAGUCCACUGUGUCUUGUUGCGUCGACCCACUCCACUGUAACUUCCAAAAGACAAAACUUGUAGCUUCAAUCCACUCUAUUGUAGCUUCAGGGGGUAAGGUCCAUCAUUUUGACCCGCUCCACUGCAACUUCAGGGAGAUCGGACUCAUAUCUUCAACUUGCCCCACUACAACUUCAGGGGGAUAAGAUUCGUGACUUCAACCUGCUUUACUGCAACUUCAGAGAGACAAGGUUUGUGACUUCGCUUCCAUCUAUUCUACUACAACUUUAGGGGAAUAAGAUUAGACAUGAUAAGAAUCACUAUCUUCUGUCCGCUCCGCUACAACUUUAGGGAGACACGCCUUAUUGUUUUCAGUCUGUUCCACUGCAUCUUCAGGGAAAUAAGACUUGAUGCGAUCUACUCUGCUGUAACCUCAGAGAGAUAAGAUCUUUUAUUUUAAUCCGCUCCACUGUAACUUCAGGGAGAUAGGAUAGUGUCUUCGAUCUGCUCCGCUGUAAUCUCAGGGGGAUAAGAUCUGAAAUUCUUUGGUCUAUUCCACUGUAAUCUCAGGGAGAUAAGACCUGAUGUGAUCUUCUCUACUGUAACUUCAGAGAGAUAAGAUCUUUUAAUCCGCUCCAUUGUAAUCUCAAGGAGAUAGGAUUACUAUCCUUGAUCUGCUCCGCUGUAAUCUCAGUGAGAUAAGAUCUGAAAUUCUUUGGUCUGUUCCACUGUAAUCUCAGGGAGAUAAGACCUGUAUAAUAAACCUAAUUAUGCCUAAUGAUUAGGAUGACAUGAUCAAAAUGAAACAAAUGCUCCUAACUAGACAUAUGUGAAUGGUGUUUGCAUGAAUGCAGAAUUUUAUUUUUCCGAGAAUGAUCUCGCUUAGGUUAUCACUACUCGAAGUUUAUCAAGGUUUUGUGACUGAUGUGCUACAACGCCUUCUCGCUUGGCUGAUUUUUCUGAAGAAACAUUUAGCCAGACUGUCCCCAUUGUAAACCUCAAAGUUAUAUCCACUGGGAUGCCAAAAUUUGUACCAUCAUUCUCUCACAGUAAUCUAAGGGUAGAAAUAUGUGGCUUUUCCUCUGUCCUCUUUUAUCACAAUUUGGGGAUAUAGGAUCUGAACCGUUCUGGUUUCCUACACCAUUCUCAAGGUGUCGUACCAAAGUCUUAUGCGCAAGUGAAGGCUCUCUUCUCCGAGGUAACCUCUUCCUAUUGCCUGAUGAUCAUUGCUUGCUUGUUCAUUUAAGCUUUGUAAUUAACACGACAGCUUGUCAUUUUGUUCAAUCAAUGUUUAGACGACAAAAUCUGAAAGGAUAGUCUUUAACUUAGACUCUUCCUUCCUAGCUAUUUCACCCUUUAAACUUGGUAUUUUCUAAACAAUAGUCAUGUUUCAGGUCCCUAUAUUAUUUAGAAAUUUUCCAGAGUAAUGUGCAAAACUUCUUUCCUGAAAGUUUUAUUAGUUCGUUAAUCAUUAUUCCUAUGCAACAUGUUUGCAAAAAGAUCAUAACAAUGGAUAAGAAUAAAGCUAGCUCUGAUCAUAACUCAAAUAAAACAUCAAAGAUGGCGAAAGAAAGGUAACAAAGAAGUGGAUUGAGAAUGUGCGUUUUCACAAAAGGAAAGGAAGAAAUAAAGAAAAUAAAAAAAUGUAUUUUCAAGAAUACACAUAAGAACUAGGUGCCCCAGUUAUCACCGAUUGAGUUUCUCUGUACAAACUUUCCGAAGACCCUUCUAAGUUUGACAUGUGUUCAGGAGAUCUGUAAUACUCUGUCAAUGUUCCAAGACGUUGCAUAUCCUUUCUCAUUGGUUCAAGUAAAGGAAGAUCAUCAUAUCCCCCCGAUCAAAAUUUGAUCCGCUCAAGUCCUGAUGUUCCAAUCCUGCCCAAUACUUGAGUCGCCCUUUUCGGGUUUUCGACUCAAGCCCUCUUUGGUCUCAAAGUGCCCUUUACGGGUUUUCACCUUAGCCUCUCCAAAGUCUCCCCCUUUUUUUUUUUUUUAGGAAGCAAAGCGCCCUUUACGGGUUUUCACUUUGGUUCCCCUUUCUUUCAAGUGAAGUACUUCUUGACGGAGUCUGCGUUUACAGGAUUUGGUAAAUUUUUGCCAUCCAUCUCGCAUAGGAUCAAAGCUCCACCGGAAAAGGUCUUCUUUACAACAUAAGGGCCUUCCCAAUUUGGCAUCCAUUUUCCUCUAAAAUCUUUUUGCAUAGGAAGAAUCUUUUUUAGUACCAAGUCCCCUUCACGAAAUUCUCGGGGGCGAACCUUUUUAUUAUAGGCUCGCAUCAUUCGUUUCUGGUACAUUUGCCCAUGGUGAAUAGCUCUUAGCCUCUUUUCUUCUAUUAGGUUCAACUGAUCGUACCGAGAUUGGAUCCAAUCGGCUUCAUCCAACUGUAGCUCAGAUAACACCCGUAGAGAAGGGAUUUCAAUUUCAAUGGGUAAUACUGCCUCCAUUCCAUAAACCAGAGAAAAAGGCGUUGCCCCAGUAGAAGUUCUAACAGAUGUUCGAUAGGCAAGGAGAGCAAAUGAUAAUUUCUCAUGCCAAUCCUUGUAGGUUUCAGUCAUUUUCCCCACAAUCUUUUUAAUGUUUUUAUUGGCCGCCUCCACUGCACCAUUCAUUUUGGGACGAUACGGCGAUGAGUUAUGAUGCUUAAUUUUAAAUUUGCUACAAACUUCAGCUAUUGUGCUAUUAUUCAAGUUCAUCGCAUUGUCGGAUAUGAUCCUCUCAGGCAUUCCAUAUCGACAAAUGAUCUCCUUCUUCAAGAAUUUGCUGACUACUGCUUUCGUGACAUUUGCAUAUGAAGCAGCCUCCACCCACUUGGUAAAGUAAUCAAUUACUACGAAGAUGAAGCGAUGCCCAUUAGAAGCCUUUGGUGAUAUUGGCCCAAUAACAUCUAUACCCCACAUGGAAAACAGCCAAGGAGAGGUCAUGACGUGAAGAGGUGAAGGAGGCGCGUGUAUUUUGUCUCCGUAAAUUUGGCAUUUGUGGCACUUCCUGGCAUAAUCAAUACAAUCUCCUUCCAUUGUGGGCCAAUAGUACCCAAAUCUCAUGAUCUGUCUGGCCAUCGUGAAACCACUGGCGUGCGUCCCACAAAUACCCUCAUGGACUUCUUCCAAAAUUUUCUUGGCUUCUACAGCAUCCACACAUCUUAACAGUACUUGAUCCUUCCUUCUUUUAUAUAACACUUCUCCAUCUAAGACAUAUUCAAUGGCUAUCUUUCUCAGAGUUCUUUUGUCAUUCUCUGUCGCUUGAUCAGGGUAUUCCCGAUUCUUCACAUAUUGUAGGAUACUCUGAUACCAAGGACAAUCAUCUUUUCCCUCCUCCUCAAUAUUGCAGCAAUUAGCCGGGGUCUCAGAGAUACUCAUCUGGACAGGCCUCAUUGCCUCAAGUCUAUUCACCUGAAUCAUCGAAGCUAGAGUAGCUAAUGCAUCAGCCAUUUGGUUUUCCUCCCGUGGGAGGUAAUAGAAGGUGAUAUCGUCAAACUCCUCAGCCAAUUCAAGAACUAGUUUUCUAUAACCGAUUAGCUUAGGAUCUCUAGUCUCCCACUCCCCUUUAAGUUGGUAUAUCACCAACGCUGAAUCCCCGUAUACUCUCAAUACUUUGAUGUUCCAUUCAAUGGCUGCACGAAUGCCCAUAAUACAUGCUUCAUAUUCUGCCAUGUUAUUUGUACAAUCGAAGUCCAACUUGCUAGCAACAGGAUAAUGAUCUCCACUUGGGGAUACCAAGACUGCCCCAACUCCAUUACCCGUAGCAUUUGAAGCUCCAUCAAAAUUUAACUUCCAUACGUGAUCCAUUUGAGGAUUUUCUUCAGUAUUCGCCACAUACAUCAAGUCCUCGUUUGGAAAAUCGAAAUUCAAAGAUUCAUAGUCCUCCAAGGCUCUACUAGCUAGGAAAUCGGCUAUUGCACUUCCCUUUAUGGCCUUCUGACUGACAUAUACUAUAUCAAAUUCUGAGAGCAAGAUCUGCCAUCUAGCCAUUCUCCCGUUCAAAGCAGUCGAUUCCAUCAUAUAUUUUAAAGGAUCUAACUAUGAAAUCAGCCAAGUCGUGUGAUACAACAUAUACUGCCUCAGUCUUCGGGUUGCCCAGAUUAGAGCACAACACAACUUCUCAAUUGAUGAGUACCUCAUUUCGCAAUCGGUAAAUUUCUUACUGAGAUAGUAUAUUGCCCUUUCUUUCUUUCCCGCCUCAUCAUGUUGGCCCAAUACGCAUCCCAUGGAAUUCUCCAACACUGUUAGAUACAAUAUCAAUGGCCUAUCUGGACUUGGAGGUGAUAAGACUAGAGUAUUAGCCAAGUACUGCUUUAUCUUAUCGAAAGCCCUCUGACACUCUUCAUCCCAUUCGCCCGGAUUAUGUUUCUUUAAGAGCCGGAAUACUGGAUCACAUUUCUCUGUCAGUUGUGAGAUGAACCGAGCAAUGUAAUUCAGCCUCCCUAGGAAACCUCGAACCUCCUUCUGAGUGCGCGGGGGAGGUAAAUCUCGUAUUGCCUUUACUUUGUCUGGGUCAACCUCGAUCCCCUUUUUGCUAACUAUGAAGCCUAAUAACUUCCCUGAUCUGGCUCCAAACGUGCAUUUGGCCGGGUUAAGCUUGAGCUGAAAUUUUUUUAAUCUCAAAAAUAACCUUUUCAAGACCUGAACAUGCUCUUCUUCCGUUCUAGACUUCGCGAUCAUAUCGUCAACAUAGACUUCGAUCUCCUUGUGCAUCAUGUCAUGAAACAAAGUCACCAUAGCUCUUUGAUACGUUGCUCCCGCAUUCUUCAAUCCGAAGGGCAUUAUAUUGUAACAGAAUGUUCCCCAUAAGGUAAUGAAUGUGGGUUUCCUCAUGUCUCCAGGAUGCAUCUUUAUUUGAUUGUAUCCAGAGAAACCGUCCAUGAAAGAAAACAAUGAAUAGCCGGCCGUGUUAUCUACCAAAGUAUCAAUGUGAGGCAGUGGAAAGUUUUCCUUUGGACUAGCCUUGUUUAAAUCCCUAUAAUCCACACACAUUCGUACCUUUCCAUCUUUUUUGGGAACCGGGACGAUGUUGGCUACCCAAUCCGAAUACUUGACCUCUUGUAAGAAACCAGCGUCGAAUUGUCUUUUAACUUCUUCUCUUAUUUUCAACACAAUGUCAGGUCUCAUUCUCCUAAGCUUCUGUUGAACGGGUUUACAAUCCUCCUUUAUGGGCAGACGAUGCACCACAAUGUUAGUACUUAGCCCAGGCAUAUCUUGGUACGACCACGCGAAAACAUCCUUGAACUCUCAGAGCAAAUUAAUAAGGUCUUGCCUUGUCUUUGCGGUGAUUUCAGUUCCAAUUUUCACCUCCUUUUCGUCCUCUAGGCUCACUAUUUCUAACGAUUCCCUAUGAGGUAGGAUAUGCUUAUCCUCUUGUUCCAUCAUUCUUAACAAGUCCGGAGAUGCAUCAUAAUCUUCGUCAUUUUCAAAGUCGUGGGAUCCCUCUGAACACACUUCUUGCUCAAAAAUAGGCUCCAUGUUUGAGGCUCAUAAGGGCAGAUCUCCAACAAAGCCCUCCUUUCCGUUGCUUCUAUGGCGUUGGUAUAAACGUUUUCCAACAUUCCUCCCAUGCCGCUACCGGACACUCCACAUUCAGAAUGAAUAAAUCCUCCCGACACAAAAGAUGUAGAUAUGUGGGGAAAGGUUAAAGGCUCACACUUAGCUUCAUGUCCAUUCAAACGCGCCCUUCUUCUCUCUUGUCUCUUCUCUACUUCUUUCUUCUUCUGCUUCAUGUCUGGCUUGUACCCUAAACCAAAUCUAUCAAACUUUUCCUUCGGCAUUGGUGCCUCAAUCUUUCCCUGAAGAUAUUUUCCCAAUCCUUUCCCGGGUAAGGCUCCUCUUCCUACCAUCAAUCGCAAUCCCAUCUCAGUGGUUCUGGAUAUUUUCGGUACUGGAAUUCUAUUUCCCUCCGCAAUAAACAUCGCGUUCACAAAUUCUAACGACCGAAAAGAACAUUCUAGUGCCUCAUCGUUGAUGUCCACAUAAGGUGCAUCGCUAGUCAUCAUUGCGAUAAUAUCCUCCUCUGCAUCUAUUGUUACCAACCGAUCCUCCGAUACCAACUUCACCUUCUGAUGUAAUAAUGAAGGUACUGCCCCUGCUGAGUGUAUCCACGGUCUCCCCAAUAGACAGUUGUAGGAGGGUUUAAUAUCCAUUACCAAGAAAUCCACCUCAUAAGUGACUGGGCCAAUCCUUAAUGGUACCUCAAUUCUCCCCAUAACCUCCUUUUUUGUUCCAUCAAAUGCCCUUACUAUGCUCUGGCAUGCUUUCAUGUGCGAACUGUCUAUUGGUAAUCGACUAAGAGUGGACAAAGGCAAUACAUUUAGUGCAGAUCCAUUAUCAACCAAGGCCCCCGGGAGUGUGUACCCUUUGCAUCGGACAGUAACAUGCAGGGCUUUAGUAGAACCUCUUCCUCCGGAUGGUAUUUCAUCAUCACUGAAGAAGAUAAAAUUGUCAGCACCAAUAUUGUUGAUCAGCCGAUCCAGCUUGUUUACCGAAAUAUCGUCAGCCACAUAUGUUUCGUUUAGCACCUUUAAUAGUGCAUUCCGAUGUACUUCUGAGUUUAAGAGUAAAGCUAAUACAGAAAUGCGGGCUGGCUGUUUGUGCAGUUGCUCCGCAACACUGUAUUCACUGUGUUUCAAAAACUUCAAAAACUCCUUUGCCUCCUCUUCUUUUAUUGGUUCAUUUACCAAUGGUUCAACUUCUACUGCUUUCCCUUUCCUCUGUUCUUUCUUCCAAUUCUCUUCCCUGGACGACUCUGCUUGAGCAUCAUAUCUUUUUCCAUUGCGCGUGUAAGAACCUAUUUCCUGAUUUCUUUCUGCUUCUUUUCCCAAAAUGGUCACAUUGCACCCGUAAUUCCACGGCACCAUUUUGUUAUCCCUAUAAGAGAAAUUUGAUGGUUUCUGGAUUACAAUUUUUGGUGUUACCUGAGCCCUAACCUCAUUACCCUUAGGGCGUGAGAUAAUGACCACAGGAUGAUUUAUUUUUGGAGCCUUUGUUCCCAACUCUGUCGCGCAUAUGCUCCUCAUUUCUUUCGCAUCUUCGUAAAACCUCAUCUCCUUGUUAUCCAUCAUGCUUUGAACCAAAGCCUUAAAUCCUUCACAUUCUUGGAUUUCGUGCCCUGUUUUAUGGUGAAAUUCACAAUAAUUUCCCAUCUCAUGCCCUUCCUCAGAAUCUGAAAUAACCAAACCUCUUUUCGCCAUUUCUUUCCAGACCCGUUUCAAUGGAGUUUUUACUUCAGCAAUGUCAGUCUUGACUUCUUCUCCCGUACCUUCGCUAACCAUAUUCACCCCCUUAUCUGCGUGAUUAGGUAACGGAUUCUUUGCGUUAGGUGAGUCGUCAAGUUUGACAACACCUAAAUUGAUAAGUCCUUCUACUACCUUCUUGAAGGCCGUACAAUUUUCUAUCGAGUGCCCAGAAAUUCCCGCAUGAUAAUCACAUUGCGCGUUCGUAUCAUACCAUUUUGGAUACGGGGGUUGUAGAGGACUCAAGUAACGAGGAGCAACAACAUGUGCAUCGAAUAAAGUCUGAUACAACUCCUUGUAUGACAUCGGGAUUGGCGUGAAUUGGGGCUUUUCAGUAGUUUGCCUAGCUCCCGACUCUUGUCUUGAUGAUCCCUGUUGAUUAGCAACCACUUUCUUUGGUUGAUUCACGGUAAUUGACCUACCAUAAGCAUUCACAUUAUUCACUUCAUUUUCUCUUUUCCUCAGGGGUGCCCUCCUAUUAUUUUCUCCUCCAUCUAUUUUUCCACUUUUAAUGGCAUGCUCAAUCAUUUCACCGUUCAUGAUUAUAUCCGAGAAAUUUUUUGAAGCGCUUCCCAACAUGUGAGUGAUGAACGGGGCUUUCAAAGUAUUAAUAAAAAGCGUCGUCAUCUCUUUUUCCAAAAGCAGUGGUUGCACCUGAACCGCCACCUCUCGCCACCUCUGCGCAUAUUUUCUGAAGCUUUCGUUCGAUUUCUUCUCUAAAUUUUGCAGAGUUAUCCUGUCAGGUAUCAUUUCUGAGACAUGAUUGUAUUGUCUCAGGAAAGCCUGUGCUAAAUCCCUCCAAGUAGCAAUUUUAGCUCGGCUCAGCUGAUUGUACCACUUUGACGCCGCUCCCGUAAGACUUUCCUGAAAGCAAUGUAUUAAUAAUUGAUCAUUAUUAAUAUGCCCCGUCAUUCUUCUACAAAACAUAGUAAUAUGGGAUCCUGGGCAACUAGUCCCGUUGUAUUUCUCAAAUUCCGGCAUCUUAAAUUUGUAAGGGAGCACCAAGUCCGGAACCAAGCUCAGAUCCUUUGCAUCUAUUCCAUAGCUUUCGAUGCUUUCUAUUGCCCUAAACUUCUCUUCUAUCCAUUUCCAUUUCUCCUCAAAUUGUUUUGAAAAUUCCUCCUUCGCCUUGUCCUUUUCAACCAUCUCGUAAAGAUCUGGGACAGCAAUAUUAUUCGGGCUAUCACCGGGAUUAAAGCCCGCUCCGGGUUGAAAAUUCAUUGGGAUUGAAGCAUCGCCUUGGAACUGCUGGGGCCUAACCGACACAGAGGGUCUCCGCGGAUGCAGCUCAGUCUGUACUUGCGCAUGCGGAUGCGUGAAACCUAGAGGAUAAAGUGGUUCACCAUUGUUUUCUUCUUCACUAACAAUCACAGGACCUUUACCCUUAUCUACUCCCUUCAAUAAUUGCGUCAUCUUAGCCACCAGAUCAUUUUGGGACUCCUCCAUCUUUUGCACCAUGUCACGCUGAAUCUUUUCUAUUUGCUCUUUCAUUUGCGCCUGCAACUGGUCUUGCAUUUCUUUUUGAAGUCGCUCUAGCUUCUCCAACCUUUGGUCCAUAAUUUUUGUCUUAGCUCGGGUGCCGUAACUUUGUUGGUUUUCCAGGUUAACUGAAAUGAUUUUAUUCGAUUAGGUUUUUAAUGGUCAUUAAUGCAUAUGAUGUGAUGCAAUGCAUGAAAAGAAUGCAAAGAAAAAGAGGCACUGAUUCUAAUUCAACUUCAUUAGAAAACUUUACUAGAUAAAGAGUUUCUUUACAUAAAAUAGACUACAUAUAUGGCUUUGCCCUUACACUCAAAGCCUUAACCUUUCUAAGAAGCCAAGCUAACUCUCGGCCCCUGUUCGACACUAACUCAUACUUCAAACUUAAUAGAUCAGCCUGAACCGCUAGAGUUUACAGAUGAUCAGCUACUUCGCGCACUUGAGUCACCGCCUCUCCCAUAAUAUAAUCUCUUUCUCCAAUCUGCUCUUGAGACCGACGGAAUUGUCUUUGCCACUGCUCAUUACUUUCUUCCAGAAGCUCUAUCUGGAUUUCACUAUUUUGCAAUGCAUUCUCUAGCCCUCCUAUUUGUCUUUUUAAUUCUUCAAUUUUGUCUAAGCUCGCCCUUAAUUCAACCGUAGCAUUACGAUUACAGUACUGGUGAAGCGACCUUUCUAGUUCAGUUAUCCGGACCUUCAACUCCGUCUUCUCGUCUUGGCAAACUAGUAGACUCUUUCCCAAGGCGACUUCUCGAGCCCGAGUAUCCUGAAAUUUCUUUUCCCAUUGAUUAGCUUUCAUCUUUUCCUCCUGAAUUUCUUGUCGCCAUUGUUCUGGCGUUUUACCCAAGCCAGCAGCUCUUACCGACCUACGCAACUUCUUGUAAUCUGUCUUCAGGCUGUCCAAAUCUUCUUCUGCUUUGUUCUUUCCUUUUCUCAAUUUAUCGGCCUCUAACCUUUGAAUGUCCACAUCCAGUCCUAACUGCAUUUUUUCUUCCUCUAGUUGUUCUAUUUUCUUCCCCAAUUCUAAACUCCUUUUUUCAAAUUCUUGUUUGAUGAUUUCUAUCUCAGAAGGCAAAACUUGUAAAUGUUCCUCCAAAGAUCGAGCAGUUUCUGGAUUUGACGCCGGGAUGUUGUCGUUGAUCCUUUGAUCACGCCACCGACCAUACUCGGGGGUAAUUGUCGGACCCACGGCUAAGAUCUUCAUUCGACGAGUCUGGUUCCAGGCACUAGAUAUUUCCCGAACCUUCUUCUUGUAAUUGUCCUCCCUAUAGGAAAAAUCAUAAUAGGCCAACCCCUGCGUUGCUGGUAUGAAUUAUCGUGAUCUAUACUGUCUUGAUACGAAUAGAGGAGCAUAUCCGAUAGCUCCCCAUAUCCCGAGCAGCGGAACCCAGUCAAAAUCUCCACAUUGGUACAAUAUCUCAUCAGGAAUUAACCAAGGAGCCCUCCAUUCAAUAUCUUCAUCCUGGAGAUUCUGGAGUAUCUCUAUCCAUUUUUCUUCUGAAAUAUCAUCCCGUCUUGGCGUGGCCACCAAUUCUCCUAGAGGGGAGUAGCUAUCAGAGAAUACCCGAUAAGAGACCUUUUCGACUUUCCAGAAGUGGCUAUGGAACCAUGCCAAUAAAAGCUGCGCGCAUCCAAUAAACCUUCUCUCCCCUGCUUUUCGACACGCAUUCAAGGAUCUAAAAGUUUCAGCGAGUAUUGCCGGAACCGGCGUAACCCCUUUACUAAGCCGAUCAAACAAAUCAGAUACAGCCUCGUCUAUGUGUCCUAAAGCUUUGGGGAAAACCACUAGUCCAUAGAUACCUAAAGCGAAGACAUCGACCCUUUUCUUUAAGUCAGGAUGUACAAGCACCAAAUCUCGCAAACUUUUCCAAGGAACACAAUUACUGUUGCCCUUCUGUUGGAUCCGGGCAGCGACCCACUGCUCGCUCAUCCCAGUGAUGUUCAUUAAUUUCUUUAACAACGGAGGGACACAAGCAGCUCUGGAAUAAGCCUUGUCGACUUGAAUCUUUGGGCACCGAAGCAAGGUCGUAUACUCCUCCACAGUAGGCGUCAAAUCUACCUUCCCAAAAGUGAAACAACUGUAGGCAGGAUUCCAAAACUGAGCAAGGGCUCGGAAUAAAUACUUGUCCACUUUGACACUAAGCAGAUAAGGUAGGUCACCGUAGUUACAAUAGAACAGCUGCUUGGCCUCGACAUCCCAUUGAUCCCAGACUUCUUUCAUUUCUCGAAGGUCAUUCUGGAUUACACUGAUACGGGUAAAAUCCCACAAUUCUGACACGUACCCUUCGGUAAGACUAUCGCCUUUCUCCCGUUGUGUCGUUUCAGCCCAUAUUCGCACAGCCGCAUUAUCCUCUACUUUAUCAACAAACCCCUUUUCCAUGAUAAGCUUUCUACCAAGAAACUGAACGUAAAUCGACACCUCUUUUAGAAUGAAGAUGCCAUGCAAUCACAAACAAAGUAAAUUAGCAUUAAACACAGAAUAAGAUUUAAAAUAAGCGACAAAUAAAUACAACAUUCAUUUAGGUAAGCACUAAAAAUUUGGAGUAGCUCUACCUAGGUCAGUUCCUAUGGCUCAUUACAUGUGGUUUGGUUCUAAAGUAGGGUACCUGAACCAGCAAAUUCCUCGAUCCUCACCCAUUAUAGGCUCAUACGGACCAAGUUCGAUUCAGGGGGAUACAUUUCCCUAUGGCCAUGCGGAGAUGAAAAUCUCACGAAGACAUAGGUACGGAUAUAUCCCGAAAGCGAUUCACUAUCCCAUGCGGAGGUGAAAACCUCACGAAGGCGUAGCUUCUCACUCCCACCUAAAAAGGUGUGACCAACGGUCAUGCAAUGCAAUGCGGAAAGAUACCAAAAUUUAAACAAAUAGAGCAAUUAUAAACCCCAAUGAUGAUGAUUAUGAUAAAGACAGAUAAAAUGCGAUGAAAGGAUCGUAAUUUUAAACCGAAUUUUCAAUUUUUGACAAAAGACAAAAAGUAAUCACCACGUGGCUUGACCCUCUUAUCGGUGUCCCCAGUGGAGUCGCCAAGCUGUUGGCGCCAUUUUUUUUGAUGAAAACGGGGUCGACUUGGGUUUUGAAAAAUGAAACGGGAGUCGCCACCAAUCCUUUUUUAUGAGGUGUGAUUGGAUCACCUUGAAAAGUGGUUGUUUUUAAUAAACGGUUUAGUUUUAUUAAAACAACGAUUUUGGUCCACAAAAUUCAAAAAAAUGGGUUCGGGAGUCGGUUACGCACGAGGAAGGAUUAGCACCCUCGAUACGCCCAAAAUUGGUACCUAAUUGAUUACUUAAUGUCUUAAUGUCGAAAACUUUGAAGAACUUUAAAAAAUACGAUCCUUAUAUUAAAAUAAAAAUUUUUGGGAAAAGUAGCAUAUUUCACGUUAAUCGAGAAAGAGAAUCAUAUCCAGUAAGUUAGGAUACAAUGUCUCAAAUUCCCAACACGCAAAUGAAAAAUGCUUAUUUAAAAGAUAUUUUAGCCAUCUCGGAUUUAAAAAUGAGAUCACGACCCGUAAGUUAGGACGCAAUUUUUUAAUCCCGAGAUCAUUUAAAAUUUGAGUUUAAAAAGAUUCGUCAUUUAGAUUUAUCGUGAAAAUCGAAACCCAGUAAGUUAAGAUACGAUCCUCUCGAAUCUAAAGACGAAAUAUUAUUUAUUCAAAACAAAUUAUGUUAUGUCGAGUAAAAUAAAACACUAAAAUCGUAGUAAAAAAAUGUGAAAGCAAUUUGCAUUGUUGUUAUUCAUGGCAAAAUCAUAAUGAAUACAAAAGUAUAAAAUGAUAUGAGCAAUAGCAACAAUAAUAAAUAAACGUUAGUCCUACAAUCAUAUAAAAUAACAAUGUAUAUAAACAAAUAAAUCAAAACUUUCAUUCAAAAUAAUAAUAAAAUGAAAUAAAUAGUGAACACAAAUAAAACGUAAAGGAAUAUAUAUAUGUAUAGAAAUGUAAAUUAAAAUAUGUGUGUAUACGUAAGUUACAAAAUAUAUGAAAUAUAUAUAAAGUAUAUUUUAAAAUAUAAAGAAAAAAUAAAUAUGUAUGAAGUGUAUGUAAGUAUAUAAAUAUGUAUAUAUAAUAAAGGUGUAUGAAAAUAUAUUUUAUAUACAUGUAUUUAUAAAAAAAUGCAUAUAGAUAUAUAUAGAUGGUUUUAAGCUAUGAAGUAUGAAAAAUAUGUACAUGUAUGAAUUAUAAAAUAUAUAAAAUAUGUACAUAUAUAUAUGUAAAAAUAUGUAUUUAUAUAUUUAUAAAGGUUAGAAAUAUGUACGUGUAUUAUAAAUAUAUAUGCAUAUAUAAAUAAAUUAUAAAAUAGGUAUGUUUAUAUGUAUAUAUAUAUAUAUUACAAAAAAAUGUGUAUAAGUAUAUGUAAAAAUAUAUAAUAAUAUAUGUAUAUAUCUAUAAAAGCAAUUAUAAUAAUAAUAAUAAUGCAAUAACAAUAAUAAUAUAAAAUUUGUAAAGAAAAUAAACAAAAUCACUAAAGGAUUAGAUUAAACAUUAAACAAGAUUCGGGGGGUUCAAAGCGCAAAUAAACGAAAGGGGAGGGAUUGCUCUGAACACGCAUGUAACAUGGAGGGACCAUCAAAGAAAAUUACCCUUCCUUUAAAACGGCGUAGUUCGAGUAAGGACGAAGUUGAAAAUACGAAAAAAUUUUGGGUAAAUUUAAAAGAUCAAAAGAACCUAAUUUAAAAAGCAUUAAAAAAGCGGAAGGGCUAAAGGUGCAAUUAGCCCUUCCGUCAAAAACACGCGGAUCCCUAGAUCAGACGGGUCGGGUCGCGGGUCGGAUCUCGGUUUAGACGCAAAACGGCGUCGUUUGAGGCCGAAUGAAACAGGCCAAAACGACGCCGUUUCAUUUAGGUAUUUAAACCAAUUUUUGUUUAAAAAAAUCAUUCAGCCCCAUUCCCCUUUUUAAAAAAACUAAAAACUUCUCAGUUCUCUCUCCCUCUUCCCCUUUCUUGAUCUCGGGUCCGGCCGAGGGCCACCUUGUCGGCCGUCGGAUCGCCGGUGCCAGUGACGCCGUACACGGUGGCCGGCGAGUGGAGAAAGGCGUGCCCUUAGAGAUGCCUAUCUCCUAAACCCGAAUCCGGCCUCAAAAUGACCAAAAACGAAUGGGAAAAGGCUGUUAGGCUUCUCUACAGUCGGUUUCCUCACCGGAGAAGGAGUUUCCGACGAGGAGGAAACAGCGACCCGCGGUGAGUCUCUUUUUUCUUUAUUUUAUGUUUUUUAUUUCGUUUAAAAAAUCAAAAUAAAAUAAAAUAAAUACAACGAAAAAAAGAAAAAGUAAAUAUUGCAAUCGAAAACCCAGGGAAUCACCUUGAAGCUUGAUAUUUUUUAUUAUUCUGUUGAAAUUUGUUUUCUUGGUUACAAAUCGAAAAAAGAAAAAGAAGCCCUUUUGAUUUUUUCAAUCGGCCUUAUAUAGCCAAACUACAAAAUAAAAAAUCUCCUUUUGCUAUCCGUAUUUGCUGUUGCUUGUUGGUGUUUGUUGCAGGUACUGGCGGAGCAGUUGGAGCAGGUGAGUCGGUGGCAAGUGGGCGUGGUGACGGCUGUGAACAGAGGGCAGGUGAGGAGGCCAGGAGCAGGUGCGGCACAACAGGGGGCUAGGGUUUCUGCUAGGUGUUUAUGUUUUGGGCUGAUUGGGUUAGGCUAGUUGGGCCUGGGUAGUUUUUAGGUUAAAAUUUGUUAUUGGGCCCUGGGUCAAAAAUUGGGCUUGUACAAUAAAAUUAUUUUUAAAAAAUAAAAAUUAUUAAAAAAUACAAAAACAAUAUUUUUAAUAGUUUAGAGAUGAAUUAAAUGCUAACAUGUCAUCUACUCAGCAAUCCACAUGUAUAACACGUCAUGAAAGUUAAUAAACAUUUAUUUUUUCAUCCACUCUGGAGUGGCUUGACAGAAAAUGUAAAUUCAAGUGUUAAAAGAAGCGAAAAUUUUAAUGGAGGGCUAAAAUGACUUGUUUUGUGAAGUUGGAGGGCCAAAAAAUAAUUAUGCCAAAACUAAAUGAUUAAUAGAAAACAAGGGGAAAUUUGCAUGCAUCUAUAUAAUUUUAUUUCAAACCAUUGUCAUUAUCUUGAGAUAUACAUUGGCAAACAUUCAUUGAAUAUACCUUGGGAAAAAAAAAUACUACAAGACAACGAAAUUAAAUAUCAUAAUCAAAUGUUGAAAAUGAAUGAUAAGAAAUUUAAAUUAAAAAUCAAACAUAGUAGGCUUGAUGUGCAAGCUAUCUGCAAUCUUUUUUUUUAAUUGUUUUAUUAUAUAGAUUUUAAUAUUUCUUACGUCUUUUAUCAGUCAAUUUGAACUGAUGCAUUCAUUUGUUUCAUUCAUAUGGUGUUGGAUCACAUUAAAAAAUAUAUACAAUUAAUUAAUCAUUUUUAGCUUAAUAAAAAAUAUAUAAUCUUGAUUGGUAUGAGUAUUAUUAUUAAUGUAAGAGGAUCUAGUUUUAAGUGUGCUUAAGCGCAUUAUCCUCCUAUUUAUGGGUUGAGGAGGGGUUAUGGGUAAUUUUAGGCAUUAUGUCAAAAAGAGCAUAUAUGAUCAGAACUUGUAAUGAAAUUAUUAAAAAAAAUGUAUAAACAUAAACAAUUUUGUUUACAUAAUUUUUAGAUAUAAAUGAGCUUUGGAUUCAAAUAAUUUUGUGUUGCUUGAGGUUUUCGGAUCUAUUUACUCUCAUUUAAGUUGUAAAGUUUUUACGAGAGGUAAAAUGUAAUUUCAUUAUUUUAAUAGCUUACGUCUUUAUAAUUAAUUAAAGGUUAAAUCAAAAUUUUAUUAUUUUUGAAAGCUAAUGUGUGAUUUUUACCAUGUAGUAAUUUUUAUAAUUUAUAAAAUUUAAAACACUAAAACAUAAACUUACCAUUUUAGGGUGCAGAGCCAGCCCCUAUAUUUUGAAUUUGAAGCAAUUUAAGUUUAAAUUUGUAAUUUUUUAUGAUUAAAUAAAAAUAAAAUAAGCUUUAUUUUAAAUUGAUCAAGUAAAAUUUAUCAAGUCAAAUUUUGAGUUAGAAAUCAAAAUUGUGAGGUUUACCUAUAUUAAGAAAAAUUAGCUACUAAAAAAUUGUUAAUAUAUAAAUUUGUGUGUUGGCUUGUUGGUCAGGGUAUUCAUCGCCCCAAAUGUGAUUUGGGUUCGAGUCGCGUUACUGUUAACGUUUUGUCAUCCUCUUGUAAUUUACUAAAAAAUUGUUAAUAUAUAUUAUAUAAAGAUAGUAAACUGUUGACUAACAUAAUGUCAUCAUUCAUAGAGGAAAAAAAAAGGCACAUUGAUCAUAUUUUCAGCCAUCCAUAAAAUAGCAGUAAAAUAAUUGACUUGAGAAAUAACACAUAAAAUCAUAUGAUAUAUUUGAUACACUGAGAGCAUUGAAGAGUCAUUUGAAUCAUCGUAAAAGACAAAGUAGACAAUUCAGUGACGAAAUUCUCAAUAUAUAUAACUACGAAAUUCCACACAAAAUUGUGAAAACAACGAAAAAUAUCUAAUAAAAAUAAACCAUUCAAACAAGACCGCUUGACUCUUUGAGUAAUGAAUUUUUUUUCACAAUUAAUUUAACAUGUUUUUCCAAUUUGAAUAGUAAACACUAUAGUUGCAAUUCAGUCAAUACUAGAAAUUUAUAUUUUAAACCCAUCGUUUAGAAUAUUCCAUUUUUUACAUUGGAAAUAACACAAAAGAUUCAAAGGAAAAAUAAGCAAAUUUCAUCAAAGGCGUCUAUUUGUAAUGGAAAAUUUAUAAUGUGGAUCCUUGUAUUAUAAACUAAAGAACAAAUUAACUCCUUAAGUAUAAAAGUGAGCAAUUUAGUCCUUUAGGUCUUUUCUCUUUUUUCUCCAAGCCGUUUGUUUCUUCUUUUUUGUUUUGCGUAGCAACGGUGGCAAUCUCCGGGCUGGCUACUGCCCACCUUUUGCUCCCUCCAUUCCAUAUGUUUUCUCUCUUUUCAAUUGAUACAUCUAUUUUGUAGGUAUCUUUGUUGCCUUCACAUGUUGUGAUGGACAGAUGAUGAUGCCUAUCGUCGCUGAAAUUACCCUGGCCAUCAACAGUUUCUCUAAGAAAGUGGGUGACUUUUAAUUGGCUCUUGAUCUAUUUUUGUUUGGAGAGUAUUUUAGAAUAAUAAAUAAUUUUACGAAUCAGUUUGGACCUCUAGUAUUUUAAGUCGUCACCAUUCAUUCCAUGAAUGGAAUCAUAUCAUUUAUGUAAAAGAUAAAACUUAAACAUGUCUUUAUAUUUGUAAAAACUUAACAAUAAGAAGGCUUGACUAUUUGAAUAAGUUAUUUUUCACAAUAUUUUCAAUUUGAAUUGUAAGUACUCCAUAGUUGUAUGAUUCAGUGAAUACUAGAAAUUUAUAUUCAAAACCCAUCAUUUAAAAUUUUCUGAUACAUUAGAAUUGAGAAGAAAAAUAUUUAGAGUAAGCAAAUUUCAGCAAUGGCGUCUAUAUUUAUAAUUGAAAGUUAUCAAUAAAAUUAAUAUCUUAUUUCUUUUUAAUAUUUUAUUGUGCAUGCGUAGUUUUACUAAUGGCAUUGAUAUCCCAGAAUUAAAAUAUUUCCAACAAGCAUGUGCUCUAUUGAUUGACUUUAAAGUCUCUAGAUUUUUAAAAUGAAUUUACUAAAAAAAUGAAAAAAAAUUAUUAGAAUUAAUUUUUAUUAAUUGAUAAUAAACUUAUGAAUAAUUAAGUAUUACAUUUUUAUUAAUUCCAAAUCAAACUUCUUUUUUUAUAUAAUACCUAAAACUACUUAUAAUCCCUUCCUAAUCCUUAAAUAAGAAAAUAAUGUGUUUCAACAUAUUCAAACCCACAUCUUCCUGCACUGACAGAUUAUAUAAAUUUAAAUAUUCAAUAUAUAUAUUUCUCUAAAACUGACAUGUUGAAAAAGGAAAUCACAACUAUAAAACAAUCAUCUUCAAAGUUUCAAUAAUAAAAUAAGUAUAAUACAAAUUUAAUGAUAAAUUCAUGAUGUGUUAGGAUAUAAAACUAAUAUUUUAAAAAAACGAUAUGAAAUUAUAAAUUCUAUUGUGAUUAUAGUAUAUUUAUAAAUGAAUGUUGGGAUAAUUAUAAAAUGGAAUUAAAUUAAUAUAAAAUACAUUAAAAAUUAAAAUAAUUAAAACUAAAAUUGAUUCAUUGGACAAAAAUAUACACUUAACAACGACGCAUUAUAAAAGUAAAGAUCUAGAUAUGAUAAUUGCAUAUAAUAAAAUUUAAAUAUAAAUAUAAAAUACUUAAAAAUUUCAACCAACAAUAUCUUCGUUAAAAUUAUAAAUUCGCUUGAUUAUUUUCCUUUGAUUUAACACAUCUUCUUUUGGUAGCCGUCUGUACCUGACUCGACCAGUUAACCCACAAAACAUUUUACAUGUACAAUAAUGACACAAUUUCGCUCAGGCCUAAUUUACAUAUAAAUACAAAAUUACAAAUCCAAAUAAAAAUAUUACAAGCCCAAAUGUAAAAAGGAAGCCCAGUGGCCCAAAAAACUUAAACAUUUUCAGAAGGACAGAAACCUUAGCCAGCGCGCCGCCCUCUCUGCUUUGCCAGCGGUUUCGUUGCCUGAGGUUUGACGCCUCAUCUGCCAGUUGUCGCCAUCGACUAGGGACACUUGCAAAAAAGGAAGAACAAGGACAGAAGCACAACACCCAAGAAAAAACAGUAGAAACAGUAGAAAAACAGUAAAAAAGAGAGUGUAAUUCGACUAUAAAAGCCAUGACUUUUAUGUAUUUCUUUACAAGAAAAAAAGGAAUAAAAAACAGAACACAAAGAAAACAUUUUUAAAGGUGAUUUUCUUCAUUUUUUUAUCUGUUAUUUUUAGAAAAAAAACAUAAAACAUAAAAUCAAAAAAACUUACUGAGCCGUUUCAUGUUCCACCGCCGCGAGUAGACGAGGACACCGUCCGCGAUGACGGACGGCUCCCUUCGGUGAGACCUCCGAGUCACUUCUGUUUUGUCUAAGGACCACGGCGGAGAAAACCAAGGGGUUGUUCAGAUUUUUUUUAAUUUUUUGUUGGGUUUUGGAAAGUACUGACCCCGGAUUCGGGCUCAAGAAGCCGUAACGGCCAAAAAAUGGUUGCUUGUAGAUUCUAGCCACCGGGAACAGUGAAAUCAUCGCCGGCGCCAGGGGCAAACGUGGAAAACCGAGAGAGAAAAAAAGACUCAGUUUUUUUAAGAAAAACUAAACAUAAUGAUUUUUUUUUUUAAUUUGGCUUAUAUAGGCGAGGCUAAACGACGUCGUUUAAAGCUGGCUUCAAUAGCCCCAAAACGACGUCAUUUUGAAACAUGACCCGAAUACAAACAGGAUCCGCAUGUUUUCUUAAGAAAGGGUCUAAUUUUUACUUCAGUCCUUCUGCUUUUUAAUUGAUUUUCAAUCUAGUCCUAUUUCUUUUUUUUUAAUUUUUGCCCAGUGAUUUUGUUUCUUUUUAGUCCCUCAUGGAACGGUGUGUUUGCGGGCCUGGGAAUAAUUUCCUAGUUGGUCCGUCCUUGUAAUACCCCAAAAAUUACUACAGGAAUAAAGUAAUAUAGUAUCCUUGAUAUAGUAAAAUCAGGAAAUAAAGUGACAAAAAGGGAAAUUUUGAGUUAUGUCAACAUUGGGAAGUAUAUUAUGACAUAUUAAUGCAAAAAAAGAUUAAAUCGCAAAAGUGAGAAAAGUUUUGUUGCCCAAGAGUAAAUACUCAAAAAUUGAGGGGUUAAAGUGUAAAUAUAAAAAAGUUCAAAGACCAAUAGUGAAAAUAUUUUAAGGGUGGAAUGAUAUAGAAAAUAAGGAAAAUGGAUGAAUUAUGACCAAAUUGAAUAGGUGAAGAAUUAUGAUGGACUAAAUCAUAAUUUUACCAAAUUAAGUGAUGACUCAAUGAUGGAAUUUUAAAAGAUCAUGAAGGGCAAAAUGGUCAAUUAGAAAGAGAGAGAACUCUAAAAGGUAAUGAUGAUGUUGGUGAUAUUUUUAAUUAAUUAAUUAGAUAAAUGUUAUUUAAUUAAUAUUUUAUUUAGAUUUUUAGUAUUAUUUUCUUUAUAAUUUGGUUAUUUUACCAAAAAUUCACCAUUUUCACUUAGAAAUCAAAAGAAUUUCUAUAGCUACCAAGANNNNNNNNNNNNNNNNNNNNNNNNNNNNNNNNNNNNNNNNNNNNNNNNNNNNNNNNNNNNNNNNNNNNNNNNNNNNNNNNNNNNNNNNNNNNNNNNNNNNNNNNNNNNNNNNNNNNNNNNNNNNNNNNNNNNNNNNNNNNNNNNNNNNNNNNNNNNNNNNNNNNNNNNNNNNNNNNNNNNNNNNNNNNNNNNNNNNNNNNNNNNNNNNNNNNNNNNNNNNNNNNNNNNNNNNNNNNNNNNNNNNNNNNNNNNNNNNNNNNNNNNNNNNNNNNNNNNNNNNNNNNNNNNNNNNNNNNNNNNNNNNNNNNNNNNNNNNNNNNNNNNNNNNNNNNNNNNNNNNNNNNNNNNNNNNNNNNNNNNNNNNNNNNNNNNNNNNNNNNNNNNNNNNNNNNNNNNNNNNNNNNNNNNNNNNNNNNNNNNNNNNNNNNNNNNNNNNNNNNNNNNNNNNNNNNNNNNNNNNNNNNNNNNNNNNNNNNNNNNNNNNNNNNNNNNNNNNNNNNGGCUUUAGUAGAACCUCUUCCUCCGGAUGGUAUUUCAUCAUCACUGAAGAAGAUAAAAUUGUCAGCACCAAUAUUGUUGAUCAGCCGAUCCAGCUUGUUUACCGAAAUAUCGUCAGCCACAUAUGUUUCGUUUAGCACCUUUAAUAGUGCAUUCCGAUGUACUUCUGAGUUUAAGAGUAAAGCUAAUACAGAAAUGCGGGCUGGCUGUUUGUGCAGUUGCUCCGCAACACUGUAUUCACUGUGUUUCAAAACUUCAAAAACUCCUUUGCCUCCUCUUCUUUUAUUGGUUCAUUUACCAAUGGUUCAACUUCUACUGCUUUCCCUUUCCUCUGUUCUUUCUUCCAAUUCUCUUCCCUGGACGACUCUGCUUGAGCAUCAUAUCUUUUUCCAUUGCGCGUGUAAGAACCUAUUUCCUGAUUUCUUUCUGCUUCUUUUCCCAAAAUGGUCACAUUGCACCGUAAUUCCACGGCACCAUUUUGUUAUCCCUAUAAGAGAAAUUUGAUGGUUUCUGGAUUACAAUUUUUGGUGUUACCUGAGCCCUAACCUCAUUACCCUUAGGGCGUGAGAUAAUGACCACAGGAUGAUUUAUUUUUGGAGCCUUUGUUCCCAACUCUGUCGCGCAUAUGCUCCUCAUUUCUUUCGCAUCUUCGUAAAACCUCAUCUCCUUGUUAUCCAUCAUGCUUUGAACCAAAGCCUUAAAUCCUUCACAUUCUUGGAUUUCGUGCCCUGUUUUAUGGUGAAAUUCACAAUAAUUUCCCAUCUCAUGCCCUUCCUCAGAAUCUGAAAUAACCAAACCUCUUUUCGCCAUUUCUUUCCAGACCCGUUUCAAUGGAGUUUUUACUUCAGCAAUGUCAGUCUUGACUUCUUCUCCCGUACCUUCGCUAACCAUAUUCACCCCCUUAUCUGCGUGAUUAGGUAACGGAUUCUUUGCGUUAGGUGAGUCGUCAAGUUUGACAACACCUAAAUUGAUAAGUCCUUCUACUACCUUCUUGAAGGCCGUACAAUUUUCUAUCGAGUGCCCAGAAAUUCCCGCAUGAUAAUCACAUUGCGCGUUCGUAUCAUACCAUUUUGGAUACGACUCAAGUAACGCAACAACAUGUGCAUCGAAUAAAGUCUGAUACAACUCCUUGUAUGACAUCGGGAUUGGCGUGAAUUGGGGCUUUUCAGUAGUUUGCCUAGCUCCCGACUCUUGUCUUGAUGAUCCCUGUUGAUUAGCAACCACUUUCUUUGGUUGAUUCACGGUAAUUGACCUACCAUAAGCAUUCACAUUAUUCACUUCAUUUUCUCUUUUCCUCAGGGGUGCCCUCCUAUUAUUUCUCUCCAUCUUAUUUUUCCACUUUUAAUGGCCUAUGCUCAAUCCUUUCAACGUUCAUGAUUAUAUCCGAGAAAUUUUUUGAAGCGCUUCCCAACAUGUGAGUGAUGAACGGGGCUUUCAAAGUAUUAAUAAAAAGCGUCGUCAUCUCUUUUUCCAAAAGCAGUGGUUGCACCUGAACCGCCACCCUCUCGCCACCUCUGCGCAUAUUUCUGAAGCUUUCGUUCGAUUUCUUCUCUAAAUUUUGCAGAGUUAUCCUGUCAGGUAUCAUUCUGAGGACAUGAUUGUAUUGUCUCAGGAAAGCCUGUGCUAAAUCCCUCCAAGUAGCAAUUUUAGCUCGGCUCAGCUGAUUGUACCACUUUGACGCCGCUCCCGUAAGACUUUCCUGAAAGCAAUGUAUUAAUAAUUGAUCAUUAUUAAUAUGCCCCGUCAUUCUUCUACAAAACAUAGUAAUAUGGGAUCCUGGGCAACUAGUCCCGUUGUAUUUCUCAAAUUCCGGCAUCUUAAAUUUGUAAGGGAGCACCAAGUCCGGAACCAAGCUCAGAUCCUUUGCAUCUAUUCCAUAGCUUCGAUGCUUUCUAUUGCCCUAAACUUCUCUUCUAUCCAUUUCCAUUUCUCCUCAAAUUGUUUUGAAAAUUCCUCCUUCGCCUUGUCCUUUUCAACCAUCUCGUAAAGAUCUGGGACAGCAAUAUUAUUCGGGCUAUCACCGGGAUUAAAGCCCGCUCCGGGUUGAAAAUUCAUUGGGAUUGAAGCAUCGCCUUGGAACUGCUGGGGCCUAACCGACACAGAGGGUCUCCGCGGAUGCAGCUCAGUCUGUACUUGCGCAUGCGGAUGCGUGAAACCUAGAGGAUAAAGUGGUUCACCAUUGUUUUCUUCUUCACUAACAAUCACAGGACCUUUACCCUUAUCUACUCCCUUCAAUAAUUGCGUCAUCUUAGCCACCAGAUCAUUUUGGGACUCCUCCAUCUUUUGCACCAUGUCACGCUGAAUCUUUUCUAUUUGCUCUUUCAUUUGCGCCUGCAACUGGUCUUGCAUUUCUUUUUGAAGUCGCUCUAGCUUCUCCAACCUUUGGUCCAUAAUUUUUGUCUUAGCUCGGGUGCCGUAACUUUGUUGGUUUUCCAGGUUAACUGAAAUGAUUUUAUUCGAUUAGGUUUUUAAUGGUCAUUAAUGCAUAUGAUGUGAUGCAAUGCAUGAAAAGAAUGCAAAGAAAAAGAGGCACUGAUUCUAAUUCAACUUCAUUAGAAAACUUUACUAGAUAAAGAGUUUCUUUACAUAAAAUAGACUACAUAUAUGGCUUUGCCCUUACACUCAAAGCCUUAACCUUUCUAAGAAGCCAAGCUAACUCUCGGCCCCUGUUCGACACUAACUCAUACUUCAAACUUAAUAGAUCAGCCUGAACCGCUAGAGUUUACAGAUGAUCAGCUACUUCGCGCACUUGAGUCACCGCCUCUCCCAUAAUAUAAUCUCUUUCUCCAAUCUGCUCUUGAGACCGACGGAAUUGUCUUUGCCACUGCUCAUUACUUUCUUCCAGAAGCUCUAUCUGGAUUUCACUAUUUUGCAAUGCAUUCUCUAGCCCUCCUAUUUGUCUUUUUAAUCUUCAAUUUUGUCUAAGCUCGCCCUUAAUUCAACCGUAGCAUUACGAUUACAGUACUGGUGAAGCGACCUUUCUAGUUCAGUUAUCCGGACCUUCAACUCCGUCUUCUCGUCUUGGCAAACUAGUAGACUCUUUCCCAAGGCGACUUCUCGAGCCCGAGUAUCCUGAAAUUUCUUUUCCCAUUGAUUAGCUUUCAUCUUUUCCUCCUGAAUUUCUUGUCGCCAUUGUUCUGGCGUUUUACCCAAGCCAGCAGCUCUUACCGACCUACGCAACUUCUUGUAAUCUGUCUUCAGGCUGUCCAAAUCUUCUUCUGCUUUGUUCUUUCCUUUUCUCAAUUUAUCGGCCUCUAACCUUUGAAUGUCCACAUCCAGUCCUAACUGCAUUUUUUCUUCCUCUAGUUGUUCUAUUUUCUUCCCCAAUUCUAAACUCCUUUUUUCAAAUUCUUGUUUGAUGAUUUCUAUCUCAGAAGGCAAAACUUGUAAAUGUUCCUCCAAAGAUCGAGCAGUUUCUGGAUUUGACGCCGGGAUGUUGUCGUUGAUCCUUUGAUCACGCCACCGACCAUACUCGGGGGUAAUUGUCGGACCCACGGCUAAGAUCUUCAUUCGACGAGUCUGGUUCCAGGCACUAGAUAUUUCCCGAACCUUCUUCUUGUAAUUGUCCUCCCUAUAGGAAAAAUCAUAAUAGGCCAACCCCUGCGUUGCUGGUAUGAAUUAUCGUGAUCUAUACUGUCUUGAUACGAAUAGAGGAGCAUAUCCGAUAGCUCCCCAUAUCCCGAGCAGCGGAACCCAGUCAAAAUCUCCACAUUGGUACAAUAUCUCAUCAGGAAUUAACCAAGGAGCCCUCCAUUCAAUAUCUUCAUCCUGGAGAUUCUGGAGUAUCUCUAUCCAUUUUUCUUCUGAAAUAUCAUCCCGUCUUGGCGUGGCCACCAAUUCUCCUAGAGGGGAGUAGCUAUCAGAGAAUACCCGAUAAGAGACCUUUUCGACUUUCCAGAAGUGGCUAUGGAACCAUGCCAAUAAAAGCUGCGCGCAUCCAAUAAACCUUCUCUCCCCUGCUUUUCGACACGCAUUCAAGGAUCUAAAAGUUUCAGCGAGUAUUGCCGGAACCGGCGUAACCCCUUUACUAAGCCGAUCAAACAAAUCAGAUACAGCCUCGUCUAUGUGUCCUAAAGCUUUGGGGAAAACCACUAGUCCAUAGAUACCUAAAGCGAAGACAUCGACCCUUUUCUUUAAGUCAGGAUGUACAAGCACCAAAUCUCGCAAACUUUUCCAAGGAACACAAUUACUGUUGCCCUUCUGUUGGAUCCGGGCAGCGACCCACUGCUCGCUCAUCCCAGUGAUGUUCAUUAAUUUCUUUAACAACGGAGGGACACAAGCAGCUCUGGAAUAAGCCUUGUCGACUUGAAUCUUUGGGCACCGAAGCAAGGUCGUAUACUCCUCCACAGUAGGCGUCAAAUCUACCUUCCCAAAAGUGAAACAACUGUAGGCAGGAUUCCAAAACUGAGCAAGGGCUCGGAAUAAAUACUUGUCCACUUUGACACUAAGCAGAUAAGGUAGGUCACCGUAGUUACAAUAGAACAGCUGCUUGGCCUCGACAUCCCAUUGAUCCCAGACUUCUUUCAUUUCUCGAAGGUCAUUCUGGAUUACACUGAUACGGGUAAAAUCCCACAAUUCUGACACGUACCCUUCGGUAAGACUAUCGCCUUUCUCCCGUUGUGUCGUUUCAGCCCAUAUUCGCACAGCCGCAUUAUCCUCUACUUUAUCAACAAACCCCUUUUCCAUGAUAAGCUUUCUACCAAGAAACUGAACGUAAAUCGACACCUCUUUUAGAAUGAAGAUGCCAUGCAAUCACAAACAAAGUAAAUUAGCAUUAAACACAGAAUAAGAUUUAAAAUAAGCGACAAAUAAAUACAACAUUCAUUUAGGUAAGCACUAAAAAUUUGGAGUAGCUCUACCUAGGUCAGUUCCUAUGGCUCAUUACAUGUGGUUUGGUUCUAAAGUAGGGUACCUGAACCAGCAAAUUCCUCGAUCCUCACCCAUUAUAGGCUCAUACGGACCAAGUUCGAUUCAGGGGGAUACAUUUCCCUAUGGCCAUGCGGAGAUGAAAAUCUCACGAAGACAUAGGUACGGAUAUAUCCCGAAAGCGAUUCACUAUCCCAUGCGGAGGUGAAAACCUCACGAAGGCGUAGCUUCUCACUCCCACCUAAAAAGGUGUGACCAACGGUCAUGCAAUGCAAUGCGGAAAGAUACCAAAAUUUAAACAAAUAGAGCAAUUAUAAACCCCAAUGAUGAUGAUUAUGAUAAAGACAGAUAAAAUGCGAUGAAAGGAUCGUAAUUUUAAACCGAAUUUUCAAUUUUUGACAAAAGACAAAAAGUAAUCACCACGUGGCUUGACCCUCUUAUCGGUGUCCCCAGUGGAGUCGCCAAGCUGUUGGCGCCAUUUUUUUUGAUGAAAACGGGGUCGACUUGGGUUUUGAAAAAUGAAACGGGAGUCGCCACCAAUCCUUUUUUAUGAGGUGUGAUUGGAUCACCUUGAAAAGUGGUUGUUUUUAAUAAACGGUUUAGUUUUAUUAAAACAACGAUUUUGGUCCACAAAAUUCAAAAAAAUGGGUUCGGGAGUCGGUUACGCACGAGGAAGGAUUAGCACCCUCGAUACGCCCAAAAUUGGUACCUAAUUGAUUACUUAAUGUCUUAAUGUCGAAAACUUUGAAGAACUUUAAAAAAUACGAUCCUUAUAUUAAAAUAAAAAUUUUUGGGAAAAGUAGCAUAUUUCACGUUAAUCGAGAAAGAGAAUCAUAUCCAGUAAGUUAGGAUACAAUGUCUCAAAUUCCCAACACGCAAAUGAAAAAUGCUUAUUUAAAAGAUAUUUUAGCCAUCUCGGAUUUAAAAAUGAGAUCACGACCCGUAAGUUAGGACGCAAUUUUUUAAUCCCGAGAUCAUUUAAAAUUUGAGUUUAAAAAGAUUCGUCAUUUAGAUUUAUCGUGAAAAUCGAAACCCAGUAAGUUAAGAUACGAUCCUCUCGAAUCUAAAGACGAAAUAUUAUUUAUUCAAAACAAAUUAUGUUAUGUCGAGUAAAAUAAAACACUAAAAUCGUAGUAAAAAAAUGUGAAAGCAAUUUGCAUUGUUGUUAUUCAUGGCAAAAUCAUAAUGAAUACAAAAGUAUAAAAUGAUAUGAGCAAUAGCAACAAUAAUAAAUAAACGUUAGUCCUACAAUCAUAUAAAAUAACAAUGUAUAUAAACAAAUAAAUCAAAACUUUCAUUCAAAAUAAUAAUAAAAUGAAAUAAAUAGUGAACACAAAUAAAACGUAAAGGAAUAUAUAUAUGUAUAGAAAUGUAAAUUAAAAUAUGUGUGUAUACGUAAGUUACAAAAUAUAUGAAAUAUAUAUAAAGUAUAUUUUAAAAUAUAAAGAAAAAAUAAAUAUGUAUGAAGUGUAUGUAAGUAUAUAAAUAUGUAUAUAUAAUAAAGGUGUAUGAAAAUAUAUUUUAUAUACAUGUAUUUAUAAAAAAAUGCAUAUAGAUAUAUAUAGAUGGUUUUAAGCUAUGAAGUAUGAAAAAUAUGUACAUGUAUGAAUUAUAAAAUAUAUAAAUAUGUACAUAUAUAUAUGUAAAAAUAUGUAUUUAUAUAUUUAUAAAGGUUAGAAAUAUGUACGUGUAUUAUAAAUAUAUAUGCAUAUAUAAAUAAAUUAUAAAAUAGGUAUGUUUAUAUGUAUAUAUAUAUAUAUUACAAAAAAAUGUGUAUAAGUAUAUGUAAAAAUAUAUAAUAAUAUAUGUAUAUAUCUAUAAAAGCAAUUAUAAUAAUAAUAAUAAUGCAAUAACAAUAAUAAUAUAAAAUUUGUAAAGAAAAUAAACAAAUCACUAAAGGAUUAGAUUAAACAUUAAACAAGAUUCGGGGGGUUCAAAGCGCAAAUAAACGAAAGGGGAGGGAUUGCUCUGAACACGCAUGUAACAUGGAGGGACCAUCAAAGAAAUUACCCUUCCUUUAAAACGGCGUAGUUCGAGUAAGGACGAAGUUGAAAAUACGAAAAAAUUUUGGGUAAAUUUAAAAGAUCAAAAGAACCUAAUUUAAAAAGCAUUAAAAAAGCGGAAGGGCUAAAGGUGCAAUUAGCCCUUCCGUCAAAAACACGCGGAUCCCUAGAUCAGACGGGUCGGGUCGCGGGUCGGAUCUCGGUUUAGACGCAAAACGGCGUCGUUUGAGGCCGAAUGAAACAGGCCAAAACGACGCCGUUUCAUUUAGGUAUUUAAACCAAUUUUUGUUUAAAAAAAUCAUUCAGCCCCAUUCCCCUUUUUUAAAAAAACUAAAAACUUCUCAGUUCUCUCUCCCUCUUCCCCUUUCUUGAUCUCGGGUCCGGCCGAGGGCCACCUUGUCGGCCGUCGGAUCGCCGGUGCCAGUGACGCCGUACACGGUGGCCGGCGAGUGGAGAAAGGCGUUGCCCUUAGAGAUGCCUAUCUCCUAAACCCGAAUCCGGCCUCAAAAUGACCAAAAACGAAUGGGAAAAGGCUGUUAGGCUUCUCUACAGUCGGUUUCCUCACCGGAGAAGGAGUUUCCGACGAGGAGGAAACAGCGACCCGCGGUGAGUCUCUUUUUUCUUUAUUUUAUGUUUUUUAUUUCGUUUAAAAAAUCAAAAUAAAAUAAAAUAAAUACAACGAAAAAAAGAAAAAGUAAAUAUUGCAAUCGAAAACCCAGGGAAUCACCUUGAAGCUUGAUAUUUUUUAUUAUUCUGUUGAAAUUUGUUUUCUUGGUUACAAAUCGAAAAAAGAAAAAGAAGCCCUUUUGAUUUUUUCAAUCGGCCUUAUAUAGCCAAACUACAAAAUAAAAAAUCUCCUUUUGCUAUCCGUAUUUGCUGUUGCUUGUUGGUGUUUGUUGCAGGUACUGGCGGAGCAGUUGGAGCAGGUGAGUCGGUGGCAAGUGGGCGUGGUGACGGCUGUGAACAGAGGGCAGGUGAGGAGGCCAGGAGCAGGUGCGGCACAACAGGGGGCUAGGGUUUCUGCUAGGUGUUUAUGUUUUGGGCUGAUUGGGUUAGGCUAGUUGGGCCUGGGUAGUUUUUAGGUUAAAAUUUGUUAUUGGGCCCUGGGUCAAAAAUUGGGCUUGUACAAUAAAAUUAUUUUUAAAAAAUAAAAAUUAUUAAAAAAUACAAAAACAAUAUUUUUAAUAGUUUAGAGAUGAAUUAAAUGCUAACAUGUCAUCUACUCAGCAAUCCACAUGUAUAACACGUCAUGAAAGUUAAUAAACAUUUAUUUUUUCAUCCACUCUGGAGUGGCUUGACAGAAAAUGUAAAUUCAAGUGUUAAAAGAAGCGAAAAUUUUAAUGGAGGGCUAAAAUGACUUGUUUUGUGAAGUUGGAGGGCCAAAAAAUAAUUAUGCCAAAACUAAAUGAUUAAUAGAAAACAAGGGGAAAUUUGCAUGCAUCUAUAUAAUUUUAUUUCAAACCAUUGUCAUUAUCUUGAGAUAUACAUUGGCAAACAUUCAUUGAAUAUACCUUGGGAAAAAAAAAUACUACAAGACAACGAAAUUAAAUAUCAUAAUCAAAUGUUGAAAAUGAAUGAUAAGAAAUUUAAAUUAAAAAUCAAACAUAGUAGGCUUGAUGUGCAAGCUAUCUGCAAUCUUUUUUUUUAAUUGUUUUAUUAUAUAGAUUUUAAUAUUUCUUACGUCUUUUAUCAGUCAAUUUGAACUGAUGCAUUCAUUUGUUUCAUUCAUAUGGUGUUGGAUCACAUUAAAAAAUAUAUACAAUUAAUUAAUCAUUUUUAGCUUAAUAAAAAAUAUAUAAUCUUGAUUGGUAUGAGUAUUAUUAUUAAUGUAAGAGGAUCUAGUUUUAAGUGUGCUUAAGCGCAUUAUCCUCCUAUUUAUGGGUUGAGGAGGGGUUAUGGGUAAUUUUAGGCAUUAUGUCAAAAAGAGCAUAUAUGAUCAGAACUUGUAAUGAAAUUAUUAAAAAAAAUGUAUAAACAUAAACAAUUUUGUUUACAUAAUUUUUAGAUAUAAAUGAGCUUUGGAUUCAAAUAAUUUUGUGUUGCUUGAGGUUUUCGGAUCUAUUUACUCUCAUUUAAGUUGUAAAGUUUUUACGAGAGGUAAAAUGUAAUUUCAUUAUUUUAAUAGCUUACGUCUUUAUAAUUAAUUAAAGGUUAAAUCAAAAUUUUAUUAUUUUUGAAAGCUAAUGUGUGAUUUUUACCAUGUAGUAAUUUUUAUAAUUUAUAAAAUUUAAAACACUAAAACAUAAACUUACCAUUUUAGGGUGCAGAGCCAGCCCCUAUAUUUUGAAUUUGAAGCAAUUUAAGUUUAAAUUUGUAAUUUUUUAUGAUUAAAUAAAAAUAAAAUAAGCUUUAUUUUAAAUUGAUCAAGUAAAAUUUAUCAAGUCAAAUUUUGAGUUAGAAAUCAAAAUUGUGAGGUUUACCUAUAUUAAGAAAAAUUAGCUACUAAAAAAUUGUUAAUAUAUAAAUUUGUGUGUUGGCUUGUUGGUCAGGGUAUUCAUCGCCCCAAAUGUGAUUUGGGUUCGAGUCGCGUUACUGUUAACGUUUUGUCAUCCUCUUGUAAUUUACUAAAAAAUUGUUAAUAUAUAUUAUAUAAAGAUAGUAAACUGUUGACUAACAUAAUGUCAUCAUUCAUAGAGGAAAAAAAAAGGCACAUUGAUCAUAUUUUCAGCCAUCCAUAAAAUAGCAGUAAAAUAAUUGACUUGAGAAAUAACACAUAAAAUCAUAUGAUAUAUUUGAUACACUGAGAGCAUUGAAGAGUCAUUUGAAUCAUCGUAAAAGACAAAGUAGACAAUUCAGUGACGAAAUUCUCAAUAUAUAUAACUACGAAAUUCCACACAAAAUUGUGAAAACAACGAAAAAUAUCUAAUAAAAAUAAACCAUUCAAACAAGACCGCUUGACUCUUUGAGUAAUGAAUUUUUUUUCACAAUUAAUUUAACAUGUUUUUCCAAUUUGAAUAGUAAACACUAUAGUUGCAAUUCAGUCAAUACUAGAAAUUUAUAUUUUAAACCCAUCGUUUAGAAUAUUCCAUUUUUUACAUUGGAAAUAACACAAAAGAUUCAAAGGAAAAAUAAGCAAAUUUCAUCAAAGGCGUCUAUUUGUAAUGGAAAAUUUAUAAUGUGGAUCCUUGUAUUAUAAACUAAAGAACAAAUUAACUCCUUAAGUAUAAAAGUGAGCAAUUUAGUCCUUUAGGUCUUUUCUCUUUUUUCUCCAAGCCGUUUGUUUCUUCUUUUUUGUUUUGCGUAGCAACGGUGGCAAUCUCCGGGCUGGCUACUGCCCACCUUUUGCUCCCUCCAUUCCAUAUGUUUUCUCUCUUUUCAAUUGAUACAUCUAUUUUGUAGGUAUCUUUGUUGCCUUCACAUGUUGUGAUGGACAGAUGAUGAUGCCUAUCGUCGCUGAAAUUACCCUGGCCAUCAACAGUUUCUCUAAGAAAGUGGGUGACUUUUAAUUGGCUCUUGAUCUAUUUUUGUUUGGAGAGUAUUUUAGAAUAAUAAAUAAUUUUACGAAUCAGUUUGGACCUCUAGUAUUUUAAGUCGUCACCAUUCAUUCCAUGAAUGGAAUCAUAUCAUUUAUGUAAAAGAUAAAACUUAAACAUGUCUUUAUAUUUGUAAAAACUUAACAAUAAGAAGGCUUGACUAUUUGAAUAAGUUAUUUUUCACAAUAUUUUCAAUUUGAAUUGUAAGUACUCCAUAGUUGUAUGAUUCAGUGAAUACUAGAAAUUUAUAUUCAAAACCCAUCAUUUAAAAUUUUCUGAUACAUUAGAAUUGAGAAGAAAAAUAUUUAGAGUAAGCAAAUUUCAGCAAUGGCGUCUAUAUUUAUAAUUGAAAGUUAUCAAUAAAAUUAAUAUCUUAUUUCUUUUUAAUAUUUUAUUGUGCAUGCGUAGUUUUACUAAUGGCAUUGAUAUCCCAGAAUUAAAAUAUUUCCAACAAGCAUGUGCUCUAUUGAUUGACUUUAAAGUCUCUAGAUUUUUAAAAUGAAUUUACUAAAAAAAUGAAAAAAAAUUAUUAGAAUUAAUUUUUAUUAAUUGAUAAUAAACUUAUGAAUAAUUAAGUAUUACAUUUUUAUUAAUUCCAAAUCAAACUUCUUUUUUUUAUAUAAUACCUAAAACUACUUAUAAUCCCUUCCUAAUCCUUAAAUAAGAAAAUAAUGUGUUUCAACAUAUUCAAACCCACAUCUUCCUGCACUGACAGAUUAUAUAAAUUUAAAUAUUCAAUAUAUAUAUUUCUCUAAAACUGACAUGUUGAAAAAGGAAAUCACAACUAUAAAACAAUCAUCUUCAAAGUUUCAAUAAUAAAAUAAGUAUAAUACAAAUUUAAUGAUAAAUUCAUGAUGUGUUAGGAUAUAAAACUAAUAUUUUAAAAAAACGAUAUGAAAUUAUAAAUUCUAUUGUGAUUAUAGUAUAUUUAUAAAUGAAUGUUGGGAUAAUUAUAAAAUGGAAUUAAAUUAAUAUAAAAUACAUUAAAAAUUAAAAUAAUUAAAACUAAAAUUGAUUCAUUGGACAAAAAUAUACACUUAACAACGACGCAUUAUAAAAGUAAAGAUCUAGAUAUGAUAAUUGCAUAUAAUAAAAUUUAAAUAUAAAUAUAAAAUACUUAAAAAUUUCAACCAACAAUAUCUUCGUUAAAAUUAUAAAUUCGCUUGAUUAUUUUCCUUUGAUUUAACACAUCUUCUUUUGGUAGCCGUCUGUACCUGACUCGACCAGUUAACCCACAAAACAUUUUACAUGUACAAUAAUGACACAAUUUCGCUCAGGCCUAAUUUACAUAUAAAUACAAAAUUACAAAUCCAAAUAAAAAUAUUACAAGCCCAAAUGUAAAAAGGAAGCCCAGUGGCCCAAAAAACUUAAACAUUUUCAGAAGGACAGAAACCUUAGCCAGCGCGCCGCCCUCUCUGCUUUGCCAGCGGUUUCGUUGCCUGAGGUUUGACGCCUCAUCUGCCAGUUGUCGCCAUCGACUAGGGACACUUGCAAAAAAGGAAGAACAAGGACAGAAGCACAACACCCAAGAAAAAACAGUAGAAACAGUAGAAAAACAGUAAAAAAGAGAGUGUAAUUCGACUAUAAAAGCCAUGACUUUUAUGUAUUUCUUUACAAGAAAAAAAGGAAUAAAAAACAGAACACAAAGAAAACAUUUUUAAAGGUGAUUUUCUUCAUUUUUUUAUCUGUUAUUUUUAGAAAAAAAACAUAAAACAUAAAAUCAAAAAAACUUACUGAGCCGUUUCAUGUUCCACCGCCGCGAGUAGACGAGGACACCGUCCGCGAUGACGGACGGCUCCCUUCGGUGAGACCUCCGAGUCACUUCUGUUUUGUCUAAGGACCACGGCGGAGAAAACCAAGGGGUUGUUCAGAUUUUUUUUAAUUUUUUGUUGGGUUUUGGAAAGUACUGACCCCGGAUUCGGGCUCAAGAAGCCGUAACGGCCAAAAAAUGGUUGCUUGUAGAUUCUAGCCACCGGGAACAGUGAAAUCAUCGCCGGCGCCAGGGGCAAACGUGGAAAACCGAGAGAGAAAAAAAGACUCAGUUUUUUUAAGAAAAACUAAACAUAAUGAUUUUUUUUUUUUAAUUUGGCUUAUAUAGGCGAGGCUAAACGACGUCGUUUAAAGCUGGCUUCAAUAGCCCCAAAACGACGUCAUUUUGAAACAUGACCCGAAUACAAACAGGAUCCGCAUGUUUUCUUAAGAAAGGGUCUAAUUUUUACUUCAGUCCUUCUGCUUUUUAAUUGAUUUUCAAUCUAGUCCUAUUUCUUUUUUUUUAAUUUUUGCCCAGUGAUUUUGUUUCUUUUUAGUCCCUCAUGGAACGGUGUGUUUGCGGGCCUGGGAAUAAUUUCCUAGUUGGUCCGUCCUUGUAAUACCCCAAAAAUUACUACAGGAAUAAAGUAAUAUAGUAUCCUUGAUAUAGUAAAAUCAGGAAAUAAAGUGACAAAAAGGGAAAUUUUGAGUUAUGUCAACAUUGGGAAGUAUAUUAUGACAUAUUAAUGCAAAAAAAGAUUAAAUCGCAAAAGUGAGAAAAGUUUUGUUGCCCAAGAGUAAAUACUCAAAAAUUGAGGGGUUAAAGUGUAAAUAUAAAAAAGUUCAAAGACCAAUAGUGAAAAUAUUUUAAGGGUGGAAUGAUAUAGAAAAUAAGGAAAAUGGAUGAAUUAUGACCAAAUUGAAUAGGUGAAGAAUUAUGAUGGACUAAAUCAUAAUUUUACCAAAUUAAGUGAUGACUCAAUGAUGGAAUUUUAAAAGAUCAUGAAGGGCAAAAUGGUCAAUUAGAAAGAGAGAGAACUCUAAAAGGUAAUGAUGAUGUUGGUGAUAUUUUUAAUUAAUUAAUUAGAUAAAUGUUAUUUAAUUAAUAUUUUAUUUAGAUUUUUAGUAUUAUUUUCUUUAUAAUUUGGUUAUUUUACCAAAAAUUCACCAUUUUCACUUAGAAAUCAAAAGAAUUUCUAUAGCUACCAAGAGAGAAAAAUAAUAAGGAGACAAUGGGGAACUAGAAUAUCAAGUUAGAUUCAAGAAAUAGAAGCUGGAGGAGAGAGAAAAUUAAGUUAAAGAUUGAAAUCAAUAGGACAAGGUAAGAACCUCAAAUUUCAAUAUAUUUUUUAGUUUGAUAUUAUUGAAAAAGUAUGAAAUUGAUGGCAAAGUAGAGUUUUAUUAUAUAAGAUUCUAUGUUCUUGAUAUUCUAGUGAAGGGAAAUAAGAGGAAGUGAUGGGAAAUAUUGUAGAGAAAGGAAAGAAGGGUGUUAUAAAUUUGGUUAUCAACAUUUUACACUAAAACAGUUUUGGACAACAGCAGUAGUCUGACUUUGAAAAUUCACCAAAAAACGUAGAAAUUGAAUUAGAGGUUAAUUAAAGUAUUAAAAUAAAUCCUAUUAAGUCUAGUUUUACAUGGAAGAAAUGAUGUAAGCAAAAGAAUUUCAUAUUAAGAGAUAUAUGAAUUUUUGUGAGACAGGGUCAGAUUGAUUUCGGGUUCCCCUGUUCUGACUUUGGAAAAUCAUCAAAAAAUUUUAAAAAAUAAUUAGGGGUUUAAAUUUAUUUUUUUAAAUUCUUGAUGAGUCUAUUUUCAAGAGAAACAAACAGAAACAUCAUCCAGACACCGUACUAAAAGAUAAUUAAUUUUUAGCAAGAAAAGGUCAAAGCUAUCAAACAGCAGAAUAUGGAUAAAUUUGAAGCAUUUACUGUACUUAUAGACUAAACUGUAAAUUCUAAAAAUUUUAUGGUGGAAAGAUAUUUGAGUCUAGUUUCAAAAACAUCAAUCAAAUCUUAAUUUAGAAUUCUGUAGCUCGAGAUAUAAAUAAAUUAUUGACCGUGAUUCAAGUGGACAGCUUUGAUAUGAACAUAAGUAAAUAGUAGAAUUAUAGAUAAUAUUACAUAUAAGCAUAAUAUAUACAUUAAGGAUGUGGAAUGGAGAGGAGGAGGAGGAGGAGGAGGAGGAGGAAAAUAUAUGAAUAUUCAACUAGCAUGAGUUUUCAUUAAAAAUGGCUAAUUUGCAUGUUUUAGGUUCAGAGACUAAAUUGAAUAAAAGUAAAAUUUUAAGGGUAAUUUUGUAAAAAUGUCAAAAAUGACCAAAUUGUAUGAAAUAAAUUUUUUUAUUAUUUAAAUUAAUAAAUUGAAUGAAAUAUUAAUUUAGAUCAAGAUUGAGUGGAAAAUCGAGGGAAAUGGAAAAUUACUAAAAUGCCUCUGUAUAUUGGUAUUUAUGCAAUUUGGGCUGGUAAGUUCGUAUGAACUAUAUUCUGUAUAAUUUUGAUUAAAGUGAAUGAUAUUUGGUGAUGGAUAUUAUAUAUAUGUGUGUUCAAUUGUUGGAAUUGAAUUUAAUACUCAGUUUGGAUUGAAUGCGGGAUUGACUACAAUCGUUCUGUGGCAAAGGAUGAAUUGACGGAUAAGACCAUAACUAGGUUAUGACACUAUGAACGUAAGACCAUGGUUGGACCAUGGCAGUGUUUUUAUGUAAGACCAUAGCUGGGCUAUAGCUUUCUAAUGAGACCAUAACUGGGUUAUGGCACCUUGAACGUAAGACCAUGGUUGGACCAUGGCAGUAUAGAUACAUGUGUAAGACCAUAGCUGGGUUAUGGCAUUCUAAUGAUAAGACCAUAAAUGGGUUAUGGCACUACAAAUGUAAGACCAUGGUAGGGCCAUGGCAAUGCAUGUGUAAGACCAUAGUUGGACUAUGGCACAAAAAGUAUAGCUAGACAAAAGAUUUUUUUUUUUUUUUUGCAUUUAAACUUCUGAAGUAUCUUUGAUGAAAGAGGUGGUGGAAAUAACGAUAGCUCCAAUGAAGAAGAAGACAAUGUCUUAUAUGACUCAAAAAUGGAAGUACCUAGGGAUGUUAAUACUAAAGUACUGAGAGCCAUUAAAGGAGAUUGGGUUUACAGUGAGUGUAAUUCACACCAACAUGCUAAGAACCACUAGAGGAAGUAAAUAGGUUUGGAGAUAUCUAGAGUUAUGAAUGAACUUAGACAAGGCUAUUAUGGAAAAUGAAUAUACCUCUUCUUAGAGAAAAAGGUAACUUUAUAUAGAGAUUUGUGUACAUCUUAUUGUGAUGGUGGUCUACCUCAGGCUCAGUUGUAAGGCCAAAAAAGCCCUGUUAGGCAAUGACAUGUGAUAGUGUAUGGAGUUUGUACUAAAGUUAUGGAGGGUCCUACUAGGAUGUGGUAGAAAGGACCUCUGAGUAGGCCCUAAUGAGACUCAGCACUGGGACUUGAUUUGACAAUGGCGCAUGUAAGGAGAUAAUUGAAAGCUUGAAUUUGGCAAGCCCUUUCAUGGGCGAGCCCUUCUAGAUAAAAUUGGUUGACUUAGGGCCAGAUUUUCAUUGCUUUUGAGAAGUGCUUCUGAGAAGUGCUUUUGAGAAGUGCUUUUUAGAAGUGCUUUUGAAAAAUUUGAGUGUUUGGCAUUGCUGUCAAAAAGUGCUUUUGAAGAAUAAAAUGUCCAUUUUAGACAUAAGAUUAUAAAGUAAUAAAUAUGUAUUUAAAUAAUGUUCAAAUUAGUUAAUAUUAUGGUAUUUUAGCAAAAAUAUAAAAAAAUAAUUUAUUAUAACUUAUUGUUAAUAUUUUAAUAUAUAAUAUCAAUUUUAAAUAUUUCUAAGUAAUUAAUAUUAAUUAUUUAGAAAUAUUUAAUUAGAAUAUAUAAACUAUAUUUAAAUAUUUAAAUAUAAAAAUUAAAUAUUUGUAAUUAGAUAUUUGAUGGGCUACUUUAACACUAAAAUUAAUCAAACAUAAUACUAUCUAACUAAAAUCUAAAAUCUAAUCACUAAAACCCAAUAUUAAACUUAGUAAUUCACUUAAAAAGAGCCUAAAACUAAGUGUGAAUUUAACUCUAAAACAUAUAUUAAUUAAACACCUAUCAAUUUCGUUCCAACUGUCAUUGUAAUGUAAUGUUAUAAUGUUUUUGUUCUAAUAUAUGACAAUGCACAUUGUUUAUCAUAUUUUUGUUCCGAUUUAAUGCACACUACCAUUUUAGUGUAAUGUUUGCCAAUAAUUGUUUCAAAAUGGUAUGAACUUUGGACCAAAAGAAUAAAAAAAGUUAUAUAAACAACAAUUCAAUAGAAAGCCGACAAAAUUAAUUGAAGUUGGUUCGAUUCGGUUAAUUAUUUUAACAGAAAAAAGGUCAAUUCAACUAACGGUUUAGUUAAUUAUAAUUCAAUUAACAAUGGAUCGAACUAACUAUUUCAUCACCCUUUAGAUUAAAUGUUUGAGAAUAUAAAACAAAAUACUUAGAAUUAUAAAAGAAAACAUAGUUUCAAUUGAACAAUUUAGCGUGCAAUGGAUACUAAGAUUCUAAUUUGAGGGUAAAAUAUGGAAUGCCCAUAUUGUAAUCUGUGGUGCUUUAUUAACUGCUGAUAUCUUUAACAACAUAAAGCUACAAUCCAGGGUCAAGGCGAGGCUUUCAAGGCAGCUUCUCCUAGUUUACCUCUGAGCAAGUGAUGGAUUGUAGGGUGCUCCCCAAACUGAGCUACGGACAGUUUGACUACCGGUUGCAACAAUAAACGUGAGGGAAGGUUAGAGCACAACUAGAUGGUUCUACUUUGGUUCUUAGUAUGAAUUUUCUGACAAAACUGCAAAUAAGCGGGAAAGGUUGCAUUAUUUCACAGGACAAGCUAGCCCAGCCUGAUGAUAAUACGUAAGUCGUGAAGAAGGUAGCCUGCAGACAAGAACAAUUUCAGUUAGAUGUAAUCCUGAAGAUACACAAUCACAUGCCAUAAAAAAGUGAGAAAAGCAAUCUGUCCUAUGUGAGUGCCUACAAAAGAGAGCGCUUAAUAGUGUAUUUCAUGCAUCUCAAUAGACCAAGGUAAAAUCUAAAUCUAAAUGCAUAUAACAACUUGCCAUGAAUGGAGGUGUUGAGGUUUUAUUAAACCAACAAUUGAGGACGCAUGGAAAGGUUACGUGGGUUGGCACUGCUCUGGCAAGUUGUUUAGGUGCAUCUUUAAAACUUGAGAAAACAGUCAAUUGCCUGAUGAUGGAUCCAGAAAGGACAUUAACAAAGAAAACAUUCCAAAUUGUGAAGUACAGAACUUUGAUGCAAGCACCCCAUUUCCUCUGACUACGUGAAAUAUUCCCCUCCAUUGUAGAAAACAACAUCAUGGUUGGUGGAACAGCAUACAGAAAUAAGAUUAGAAUCACACUUGGUAAGUAACCUGUUACCACCCGGUGUAUGAACUCCCUACAUAGCAGAAUAAACAAGAUAGAUUCACAAUGAGUGCCUGGUUCCUUCUCUUUUAAUUCCUUCAAGUUUCCACUUAAAAACAAUGAUAUUUGUCCUAUCUACAUGUAUUAAUACACACCAAGAGCUUGGGUGAGUUUAAUGCAGUUAAAUAGCAAUGACAUCACUAUAAUAAGUUGUAUCUGGCUAUUUAUGUACUCUAGAUUGUCUUUCAGAGCCUUCAAUCUAGACCUGUUCUCAGUAUGCGCCACAAGCAAUAGCAGAUAUAGGAGUAUUAACAGGGUUCACGAUUAUGGAUCUUUUCAUGCAGGUUUCUAUAUAGAGUUUGUUGCAUCAGGCAUCAGUCAUGACUGCAAUGUGAUAUGAAAGCAGCAUAAUUGAAAAAAAAAUAACAAGCUUAUACUGGUUUUGCAAUAGAGUUUGGGGAAUGAUACUCACUGUUUUUAAAUUCCUUUAAGAAAUGGAACUCUACGUGAUAGCUGGUCUAAGUGCUCUAGUUGAGUCAAGCCUUGCACAAAUGUAACAGGAAGAAGAAACAGGAAUUGAAAUGUUGAACCACUUCAAGAUGUUUUGAACUUAAAUUUGAGACUUAAUUACCUGAAAACAACUAUUCUCAUGAAAGCUACAGCAUCGUAACAUAAAUAGACUUAAUUACUCGGUUACUAACAUGAAAUUAAUUAAACAAAACAGCAACAGCAACAGACCCUUUAUGCUAACCGCAUUUCUUAAGAAAAAAGAAAUACCAAACAUAAAUAGAAAAAAGAAAGAAAAAAGAAGAAGAAGCAACAAAACAGCAACAACAACAGACAAGCUUUUUCUCUUAUCAGGGUACACAACAAACAUUCCCACAUUUCUUAAGAAAAAAGAAGAAGCAACAAAUGGAAUUGAUUGGGGAAGUUCAACAAACAGAAGGAGAGCAAAAUAAGACAAUGAGCAAAAUACCAAACAUAAAUAGAGUGUGUGCUUGGCUGCAUCUCUUUGAUCCCAGCUACUGUAAGCCUUUAUAUGUAACCAAAGCAAAGCACCGCCCCCACUUAUCUGACUCACCCACCCACCAGAACCUUCAGACCAUUUUGCAGACUUAUGAUAACACAGAUAAAAUAAAUCCUAAAGCCAAACAUGUGUAUGCCUUGUGAAAGUUACGGCACAAAAGAACAGAGUAUUUUAUAACAAUGAAGCAUGGCAAUCAAAUUCCAGCGAAAGAAAAUAUUAAACAGAAGAGGAACUAAUUAAACAGAAGAAGAAUUAUAAAAGAAACUCUCACCAGCGGAAGAGGAACAAAGAACAGAAAAUAGCUUUGAAAGCCGAAAAUGGGGAAAAGAAAUUGGGUAUAAAGCUCCAAUUUCACCAGCAGAGGGGAAAGAAAAUUUGGGGAACCAGCAGAGGGGAAAAAAACGUUUGGGGGAGAAUUUGGUCAAUAAUCAUCCAAAAGCAGUUAACGCUGAAGAAAAGGAGAAAAUUUUAGCUUCUCCAUCUAGAGAGAAGCACUUUUCUGAUGGAGAAUUUGUAAGAGAAAAGGAGGUUGUUCUUGGUUCCUUUUAAGAGAAAAGUGCUUUUUAGUGAAAAAGUGCUUUUCAAACGGGAAAAAGAACGGGCCCUUAGCGAGGUGUUUAAGUAUAAUAAUUUUCCUUUAAAAGUUGAGGAAGAGGUUAUAAAGUGGCUUUUCCCGAGAACUUUUUUUGGCGAGGUGCUCUCCUUUCGAUGAUGAUGUGAUGUGUUGUCUUUGGCAUGCCUAAAAAGGAGAUGUUGGACGGGUAGGUAUUUUGUUGGUGUACCUUUUUCAUGAUCUUAACAAGAUUAAAAAGGUGAGCUUAAGAGUCAAUUCUAAAGGGUGGGCUAGUAAUGGAAAGGCUUGAAUAGACAAAGGUAUGCUUGGCUAGGUGAGCUCGUUGAGGCAAGGCCUGAAAGUCUAUUUGAAAGGUGAACCUUUAUUGUAUGCAAUCUCGAAAGAUAAAGUUACGUUAAAGAAGAAAACAUCGUUGAAAGUGGAAACAACGGUGGUAGAUAGGCCAACAAAGAGGAAGAGCACGACAAGAUCACACUCCAAAGUUAUAGCGACAAAUUAGAGUAGAUUAUAUUUUCUAUUGCUAUAUAGUUAUUUCCUUUUGGGGGUUAAUAUUUUUCACAAAUAUUAUCUUUUUUUUCUUUUUAUUUUUUAUGGUUACUUCAUGUCGGGGAUAUAAUGUUUGAACGAGAAAUUUAUUACUUUCUUCAUUAUGUUAAUUAAUUUAUGAGUGGGGAAUUAAACGAAACGAUUUUUUCAAUUGAGUAUUUGAUUUCACAUUCUUCUCCAAUAAUAUCAUUCAAACAACUACUACAUUGAAAUAGACUAUUUAUUCUUUACAAUUACCUACAAAUUAGAUGAGUGUUAAUUCAUGUGGGCAUUUCAUAUUUGAUAUUAGUAAAUUGUAAAUUUGAAUAAAGGAAAACCUAUCUCUUAAGUGGUAAUUUUACUGGAUUCUUUUUACUAUUUUGAUCCCAUUUAUGAUAUUUGUUACUCUUCCUAUUCUCAUACUCUAUAUAUAUUCAUGAAUGCCAUUAAAUAAAUAAACAAUUAAAAGAAAAGAAAAUAUGAAACAGAAGAAAGCUUUUCUUGAAAAAAGAGCAGGACUUUGAUGGUAAAAAGGUAGAAAAAACUUCAUUGGAUUAAUAUAAGGUAGUGAGUACAAAUCUAAUCAAUUUGGACUUUUUCUUUAUAUGAUAUGUAUGAAUAUUAUAAAACAUUAUUACUUAAAAUUUAAUAUUUAUUCCUUAAGGAAAAAGCUUGAAGAGGAAAUUUUAAUAUAAUUUCAAACUGCGAUUGGUUCAAUCAGCAAUGAAGUAAUCCCACCCUUAGCUGCUUUUCCAACAUAUGUAUAGCCAUCUCCUUCACUGUAAAGCACAUCCAUCACCCUUGCAAGGUUUAGACUACGAUUUAAAACUUCUGUUGGCAUUUCUGUUGGUUUCAAAAACUCUUGAUUUACAUCCUUCCACGCACUCUCAACAUGCUUGUUGAAUACAUCAUAUGCCUCUUCUGCUGUUACGCCAUAUUCUUCCAUAUAACACUCGAUUGCUGAGCAAUCGUCUUCUCUCCUAUGCUUGAACUGCAACCAUAAUAAAAUCAAAAUUAUUCUAUCACUAUAUACCCUAAAACCUUUCAUAUUAUUAAACUAUAUUUGUUUAAAAUGAAACUAGAUUUAUUUUCUUAUUUUUCGAUUUAAGACUAAACAUUUGAUAUGUCAACAUUAAACUUUAAUUGUUUCAGAUCAUGAUAAAAACCAUCAUUUAAUUUUGUUACAAAGACAUUCAAUUAUUGAGCUAAGAGUUCAGUUUCUUGUGAUCAUAUAAAUAUAUUAUUAUACCUUGUGUUCAGCAACAUCAUCCAUAAACCUACAAAUUAUUGUGGAAGCUUGAAUGAUCUUAGGGUUAUUAGUUGCCCAUUUAAAGGUCUCUGGUGUUACGAUAUCUCCCAUGCCGACGAAAGAUGUAAUAGCAAGCAUUUCAUAACCACAAGUUGGCAAUGCAUUAGCCUUAAACUCCUCGAAUGAUGGUUUGUAGUUUUGAAGAGUCCAUUUGAACUCCACAAGGUAAGAUUGAGCAAGUCGUAUCAUCUAAGACAACAAAGUCUCAACAAUUAUCACUAAUAUCAAUUAAAAUUCAAUAAUAAUAUUUAAAUGAUUAUAUAUUGUUAUUCAAGUUAGUUGUUUAUUCAAAUCUAGAAUUUAGCUAAGAUCUUAUCUCUUUUGUAUAAAAUAAAUGUUUGCAAAUGUACAUACCGCAUUCUUCGCAUACUCGACACGAUAUUGUCUCCCAUUCUCAGCCACCAAUUGUAUCAUUUCUUCAUAAACAUCUAAUAGUGCCUUGUAGCUUGGUUUCAUAUAUUCAGGAAGUUCAUCUAUGCAUUUGAUAUCCCACCUGAAUCAAACCUCAACAUUAUAUUUGAUCAUUCCUCGUAAUAUAUACUUGAAUGUUCACUUGAACAAAAAAAACCUAACCUAUUACCAGCAAAAUUAAAGAAAUCUAACCUCUCAAUUGCAUUUGUAUAGGGAAUGAGCUCUUCAUAUGUUGCAUAUGAGUCAUAUGUAUCAUCUACAAUAGAUGUCAUUGCUAUCACUUUUGUCAACAUCUUUCUACCAAGUGAAUAUUGGGGCUCAAAGUACACUCCCGAGAUCCAAAAAUAACCUUCAACCACUCUAUCUCUUGCAUAUGGCAACUUUCUUUGAAAGUCUAAAUCCUUCCACCACCUAAAAAAUCAUAUUAUAAAAAACACCAUUAACGCAAUGACCAUACAAAGUUUUAAUUAGUUCCACACUCAUGUUGUCAAUGAGUAAAUUGUUAAACUCUUAAGUCAAUCGGGAACCUCAAAUUUUAAAAAUUAUAUAAGUAAAAUGAAAUAGGUGAAAAAGAUGAAUCUAAAGUUAAAAUGAAAAUGGUGAAAAAGAUGAAUCUAAGGUUCAUGCCAUCACUUUUAACUUGUGCUAUUUAAUAAGAUUCAAAUAUUAGCAUUUGCAACUCGUAUCCUAUACUGAGAAUGAUGCCUCCUAUAAAUUCAACCCCCCCUUCCACCAAAAAAUUAAAAAAAGAUGAAAAAGAAAAAAAAAUGGGUGAAAGAGAUUAACAAAACAUACCUACAAAUCUCACUUAGUUCUUUCCUAUGCAAAAAUUGUAACAUGUUGAAAUCGAUCUUAGCAAACUCCAACAAAGCCUUAUUAUGGGACUCAAUAUCUUGGUAUACUGAAAGAUAGUGCCUUGCCUCAACCCUUGGCAAGCCUCUUCGAAUUGAUUGUUUCAAAGCAUGAGAAACCUCUUCGGACAAAGGAUGGUCCAAAGAUGCUACUGCAAGGCUUAAAUGGUUGGUGGUGAAAGAAAUUGCUUCAUCCAAUAUAUCUUCCCCAUGAACCCUCAAAUAGGAAGCUUGGUAAAGUUCCAACAAUCCUCGAACAUCGCUUGUCACGGAUGACUUGAAAUUCCCUUGCUCGUCUCUAAACUUGUUGAAUACGUCUGAGAUGAAAUUACCCAAAAUGAAAUAUCGUUAUCAAACAUUCCAUGCUAUUAUAUUCUCAAGAAACUUAAAAACAGUAUGUUGUUGUUCCAAUAAUUACCGCAUGAAACAUUGUAUCCAUGCUCUCGGAGUAGUCGGAAUCUAAGAGAUGUAGUGUAGAGGUCGUUCUCGGCAUCAUUGUUGUUAUGGUAGAUAUUCUCUAGUUCAUCUUCGAUCUCCUUGGUGAAAUGGUAACUCACACCCAGUCUUUGCACUGAAUCAAUGAAGGCUAACUUUUGGGUUGAAUUAGCCAUUGGUGCCACAAUCAUCUUCCUCACUUCUUCUUUCAAUUGUUGGUGGCGUUUUUCAGUUCCAGCAUCAAUAUUCUGCUCAAAAUAAUGAAAAUUUUCUUCACAUUGAAUCACUAAAUAAUUAAACAAAUAACAUGUUAAGAUUAUAUCAAUAUGGUGAUAUGUAUGUAUACCUUGUCGGGACAAUUGAGGAAGAAAUCUCCCCAAAUGCUAGGCUGAAAAUCGGCUUUGGGACGCAUUUCAUCCUUAUUGGAAGAAAGGGGUGAUGAAGAAGGCAUUUGAGAAUCUUGUGAAGUCAUUUCGAUUGAUCAAAAGCAAAUAUUGAAAAGCUGAAUUUGCAGCCUUUUUGUGGUUUGCUCUUGAAAUUUGGCACAGAAUUUGUGUGAGGAUAAGAGUGCAAUUGUUGCAUGUAUUUAUAGGUAAGAAAAAUAGUGGUGAUAUUUGAAGUCAAAAAAGAACUUAAAUUCAAGAAAACAAAUAUGGAAAACAAAGUGAAUGUAGGACCCAUUGCAUGAGAAUUGGAAAUAGAUUAAAAGAAAUGUUAUGUCUGUAAAUUAUUAAUUGAUAAAUGUUUAGAAAUGUAUAAUAUCUUAUGUAAUGUAUAAAUUAAAUCUUAACUAUUACUUUAAUAUGAAAUGUGUUUAAAAAGAAAUAAUUACAGUAUUUAAUAAAAAAUGUACUUGAUUUAAUGUUAUCUUAUGUAAUGUAUAUAGAAAAGGUUAAAAUUGAGUUUAUACUUCUGGUUUAUUCUUCAUUGAUUGAAAUGUAAGGAUGAAAAUGAUUGAUGCCUAAUGUUUGAGGGCAUGAGUGAUAUUAAAUCUUUUCUUUGCUUUUGACAUACUCUUGACAGAAUUUUAAGUCCUCAAUCCCCCUGCAGUCUCUAUGACGACCAAUCUUUUUAUCACCGAAAUUAUUUUCUUAGGAAAUAACAGUGUAAAGUAAGACUGCUAUGACUCUAUAUUAUUUAAAAAUACUAACUUAUUUAGAUAUAAAAUUUUACUUAAUAAAAAAAUGUUUGUCAUGCUACUUUUAAUCCUACUCAGUAAUCAAUUCUUUUUGUUACUUAUUUGAGCCGCUCUCUUUUGGAUUUUUUUUAAUGGAAUUUUGCCCUGUUUAGGAUUUUAGGAAAUCUUUAAGGAAUCAAUUUAAAAACUAUGAAAAAUAUUAUUAAUUUUGGGUAAAUAAAAAUUGAAAAAUGGCAUGUUUCAUCCAUAGUGAUGUACCAAAUAUUCUUAUAUAUAAAUAUAAUAAAAACAUUUUUGAAAAUUUUAAUAAACAAAAUAUUUUUUGCUAAACAGAUCAAAAUUAUUAGUAGUGAAUUUUGAGGAUCUUAAGUCUCAUUUUUUUGAAUAAUUUUAUUAUAAAUUUUGAUCAUAUAUAUAUUUUUUAAGAUAAUACUUAAAAUUACCUAUGGUCCCUCUCCAUCCAUAAAUAGAAGAAUAAUGCGUUUUAACAUACUCGGAUUCACAUUCUCCUGCAUUGCCAAUAAUACCCAUAUCAAUUAAAUUAAGACUCAACUGGUUAAAGAUAUUAAAUCUUAAAUCUUUAACUAAGGUUAUAAAUACUCAUUGAGUUUUUUUUAUAUAUAUAUAUAUAAAGAAUUUACUUGGGUACAACGGACUAAUAAGAUUGAACUAUAUAUAUAUAUGUGAAGAUAAAUUUAAAAUCAAAUGAAGUCAAUUUAUGCAUAUAAAGUUAAACCGAUUUGACUCUUUUUUUUCAAUUGAUUUUUUCACGGAUUUCUUUUAUCAAGGAACAUUAUUUAACUCAUGCAUUAAAUUCUGACACAAUAUUCAACCUUGUCAUUACUUUUACUGUAGUUUUAGUUUUUUUUUUCCAAGUAGAUACAAUAGUCAACCUUGUCAUUUUCAACCUUGUCAUUUUAAACUUCUAUUUAAAACAUUCAAUAGAUUUUGUUCUUGUUAGUUUUCAAAAAAAAAUCAUAUUUGGUUGUAGAUUUAUCAUCUUUCUUGUUGUCAUCAUUUUCAUCAAAGGAUCCUUCAAGAGUCACUAAACAUUUCUAAAACUUAUCUUUUUGUGGUUAUUUGACCAAUCAUUUUAGCUUGAAAUUGGUUGGUCUUUGUCUUAGUGAUGAUGAGUAGUAACUAAGUUUUAUGGUGGUUGGUUGAUUGAAAUAUUGCAUGGUUAAUUUUUUGGGUCAAAGAGUAAAUCAUAAAAAUCGGAUUAAAUUGAAUAGAUUUCAAAACCUAGAAUUGACGCCUCUACGUGAACAUUUGGAUAGGUGAGACCGAAAGGAGAUCCUAUUGUGAGCCAAUUUGAUUGACCCGACUUAGUUUAGUGAGGUCGGGAGAUAAACCAGACUAAAUCGUAUAAUUAGGUAAAAUGGUAAUCGAGAGGUAAAAUUGGACUAAUUAGGAGUUUGAGCAAUUUAUAUCCCUAAUCCAAGAAUUAAUUAGAAAUAUGGAUAUCAACCGACCACUUUAUCUCAUUGAAUUAUAUUUGUAUACUUUUUAUUGUUAUUCAAUUUAGUCCUCCUUAGGGUAGUUUAGCGUAAUUAACUUUGACCUCUCUUGAGUUUGAUCCUUGGAAAGGUCAAAGUGUUCCAUUAUAACACUUACAAAUAUUACAAUUGACCUAUCACACUUGCAGUCAAGUCACUUUUAAUUUCUUAUAUUUUGCGCUAAUUCUUUGCUAGGAGUUCGUACGCUGUGGCGCAAUCAAUUUUUUGGCAUCAUUGCAUGGGAAAUGUGUGUGUGAUGAGUUGAUUUGUUGUGAUUUUCUCAUGUUUUGCUAGGAAGACAAUUGGUGAAAUCUAGGUUUAUAAAUACGGCGCUUUACUUCUUUGUGUAUUUCUAUUUUUAUUUGUUUAGUUAAUUUCAUGACUAAUUCUUGUGGUUGCAUUUCUCAAUGUAUGAUUUGGAGCAACAAAGAUUUAAUCUCAUUUGAUCUCGAGUCGAAAAAGAUAAUAUCCAACGCAAGAUGAGGACAACCCUCAAGAGAGGGUCACCUAUCGAUAGAAUCAUUGAUUGUUGAUCCACCAAUUGACAAUCUUUUAUUUGAAUAUCCACCUAUAGGCCCUCUGAACAUAGAGAAACACGAACCCCUAUCUGAUCGAGACGAAUGGCGAACCGUACAUCGAAAGAUUAUAUCACGCCAAACUUGGAUGUUGUGCGAGGAGUAUCAACCAAACUGCCGUUAAUGCCAACAAUUUUGAGAUCAAGUCGGCUAGGAUAAGUAACCUCUAAUUCUGGGGCUCAAUGCAUGAGGAUUCCAACAACACCUUUAACAUUUUCUAACCAUUUGUGAUACCUUUAAGUAUAACAGGGUAUCCAAUGACGUUAUACGCCUUUGGUUAUUCCCUUUCUCUUUGUGUGAUGACGCUUUUAUAUGGUUGGAUUCGCAGCUAAUAAAUUCUAUCGCUAUGUGGGAUGAGCUAGCCAACCAAUUCCUUACCAAAUAUUUCCCACUGAGUAAACAGAUGAAGUUGCGAAUGAAUAUCACCAACUUCUGGAAAUUGGAGGUAGAAUUGUUGUAUGAGGCAUGUGAGUGCUUCAAAGUAACACUAGAUAAGUGUCAUCACCAUGGUCUACAAGAUUGGUUGUAAUUACAAACUUUCUAUAAUGGUUUGGAUAGGAAUUUGAGGUCAAGCUUAGAAGGAGCAUCUGCGGGGCCGUUCAUGUCUAAAACUUACGCUAAAGGUUGCCAACCCAUUAAACAUUUAGCAAUGAAAUCCUAGAUGUGGUCGAUUAAGCGAUUCACAUGUACAGCUAAAUCACUGACUGUGAAUGCAGUCAAUGGCAAGGACAAAUUUCUACAAAUCCUCUAGAGGUUUAAUAACCUCGAAAUUAGCUCUAAUAUGCCUCCAUCCUAACAAACACCAUCUUAUGGGAGCUCAUGUAGGGGGCAAAAAUGAAAAGCUACUUAGAGAAAUCACCAAGAGGGUAGUUAGGUUGAGGGGAACUAUAUGGGAACUAGGGGUGGUAACCCAUAGUCAAAUACCUAUAAUCUAAGGUGGUGUGAUCAUCCCAACCUUAGGUGGGGAGGAAACCAAGGUGUGGGAAACUUCAACCACCAUAGACCAACCCCUCCUUACCAACCUCUACAAGCCUAUAAACCCCAAGACCUUAAGAGGAAGCCUACUUUUAACAAUGACCCCCUAUGACCGUUAAGGUUAGUAAACUUGAAGAAGGGAUACGUUUGUUGCACACUACAGUGCGUCAAAUGCAAGGCCAGCUAGACCAAAUUCUCCACAUGUUGCAAACCAAUGUUGGCACUAGUAUCCCUAGCAAAACGAAAACUAUCCUAAACCGUGUCGACCGAGAUGAUAGUUUAUCGUAGUAAAAAACUAUCAAAAUCAGACAACCAGGAUAGUAAGUUAUUGUAGUAAAAUUUAUCGUCACAAAUGACAUGUAAAUGACCAUCUUCAUCGGGAAAUCAGGGAUGGCUAGUCUUUGAUAUGUGUUUUAGGUGUGGCGAGCAAUGCUUGAGGGCGGAUAAAAUAAACGGGUGGGAAAUUUGGAUUUGCAUUGCAUCAUACAUAAACUGUAUAUACAUUGAUUUACUAUAUACUCCAAAUGUUAUACUUAACUCGCUAUUAUUUCUAUGUUUUUCUAUUUGUGCAAUUAUAAAUAAUGAUUUAUAAGCUAGUUUCAUAUUGAGUUGUUGUAAGCUCAUUCCCCCUUUCUUUUCCUCUUAGGUAACAUAAGAAACUACGACUCGAUAUGGCAUCGAAGGAACCUCAAAAUAACAACUCAUUUUUUGUUAUUAUUAUUAUUAUAAAGUUUUUAUUAAAGUUUUCUUCAAAUCGUUUUAUUUUUGGGUUGUAAUUAUUAGUUAUUUCUUGCUUUUAUAUCUAGGGUAAAGUUGUUUAGCUUAUUUAUUUUAAAGCAUGACACUUAGUUAAUACUCUGAAAUUUGCAUGCUUUUCAGUUUAGAAAACCACUACUUUAAAUGUUUUCCAUCGUUUUACAAAAUACUAAAAGCUUUUGAUAAGUCCUUUAUUAAAAAAUUUACCUCAUUUUCCUAAAUCUUCACAUUAAUAAUAUUAUAAUUGAAUUGUUAAGUAAAACCAAUUUAAAUUAAUGAAUGUUCUUCCUAAAAACAAAAGAGAGUUUUCCAUAUAAAUCAACGCUUCAAAAAGAAUGGCUUUACAUGAUCACCUCGGUGAUCAAAUGUACGCCUCCAACUUAGUUGAAACUCCUAAACCGGGUCGAGAGUGUUACAAACUGGCAUCGAAGUGCAUCAUCGAAUAAACUGAAGUAAGGGAAAUUGAUGCAUGGGUUAGCUAAAUCAAGCUCCCAUUAUUCAAUUUCCAUAAAAAUUAAAGAAAAAAUGGCUAGAGACUUACUUGAAAUAGGUGGCUGAGUAUCAAUCAAGUUAGGCUUUAAAGCUUUCUUUUCUCUUCUAAAAUUGGACGAUAGCUCUGGGGAAGGAGAUGAUGACUUUGUCAUCUUUUUCCACUUUCAAUUCACUUAUAGAGUAUGGUUUAGUUGUAAUUAAACCGUUUUUUAUAAAAAUAAUAUAAAAAUUAAUUAAUCACAGAAUUGAGUUGGAUAAAAUUAUUUACGAAAAUGAGUUAUUUGUUACAAUACAAACUGGUGCCGCCUGACACACCGGCAACACCACCUAACUUUUGGUCAAUCAUCAGCCAAUCAUUAUGUUUUUUUUAAAAAAAAAAUCUUUUAUUGGUGCUGCAACACCAAUAUAUUUUUAAAAAAAUAGUUGUAUUCUCACAAAUAUACUUGAUGCAAGAAAAAGUGAAAAACAUUAUUUUUUAAGUAGGUACCGUAAAUGUGUCAGACAGUAUCCUUUUGAAUUUAAAAAAAUUCUAUCAUGAAAACAAACAGCUGAAGUUAAAAAAAAAAAACUGAUUAAAAAAAAAAACCCUUGACCAAUAACUCUUAGCAAAUCCUUGAAGGCAGGAAAGGGAGCGUUAUCCCCCACUAGUAAGUGUAAAAAAUCAUCAUGUACGUAAAUGGCACCGUAUGAUGUCAAAAAAGAAAGAAAGUAAAUGGCAAUGUCAAGAGAAAGUGACAGAGUUUUUUAAAAAAAAAAAUUGAAAGGGUGACGUUUGAGCCAUUGGUGGCAUUCAGAUUUUUUUUUAUUUUUUCUCUCACCGUUUACAUAUGUGAAAAUAUGAGUAUUUUUAAAAAAUAUAUAAAUUGGUGUGGCUUAAUAUAGUGAUGAAACCAAUCAAAAAUCUUUUUUUUUUAAAAUGUAAUGAUUGAAUGAUGAUUGACCUAAUUUUUUUGGUGGUGUUGCAGAUACCAGUUUGUACUGUAGCGAACAACUUAUUUUUGUAAGUAAUUUUCCUCAAACUCAUUCUUGUAAUUAACUAUUUUUUAAUAUUAUUUUUGUAAAAAAUCCUAAUUAAACAUAAUUAGUUAGUUUAGUCUUAAUUAAUUAAACUCUAAUAUUUAAUUAACUUAUCUAAUGGCAUCCACCAUCCAAUCCCAUUAUCAUCUAUUUUAUUUUUUUUAUUUACCAUUUGAUCCUUUGGAUAAUCUCUAUUUAAGUCCCCAAGCCUUUUUUUAAUUAAAAAUCUAUAGUAAUUUUUUUUUACAAUUUAGUCUUCAAGCCUUAACUAACCACAUUUUCUGCAAAAUUCCUUAACUAAAUUUUGCUAUAUCAACAUAAUUACUCCACAAAAACCCUGUUUACUAUUUAUGGACUCAAUUUAUGAAAAUGAUGUCCAAAAAUUGGAUUUCCCAACACCAUUGGAAACUAUGUCAUUACAUAGUGAGUAACACUUAGCAAUAUAUCACCACUACCCAAGUUACAAGAAGUCGUGGUUCGGCAAAACAUUUCCGUGAUAAUGUCAUUUUGUAGUAUCAGUCAAUUUCUAACAUGAAACUACAAAAUCACAUAAAUCGACAAAAACAAAUUUUUGAUUUUCAAAAUUAAAAUCCCAAAAAGAAAUCAGUUUUCAAUGCGUUGGUGUAACUCGUCCAAGUUUGGCUUAAACUUUCAGACCGAAUUUGGGGUGUUGCAGUUAUUAUGAUCAAAUCGUACCUUUCAUUGUUUAUUUUAUGUUACUUUUAAACACACAUAUGUGUUCUAAAUAAAUAGAGAAUUAAAAUGUAUAAGAAAUAUUAAAAUAAAGCUUUAGUUGGGUGGUAAAUUAAAGGUUUUACUAAUGCAAAAUUUGCCUAGGUUCAAAUCUCACCGUAUGUAUAUUUUUAUUCCUUGUUUUAUGUGACAAAACUAAAAUACUCUCAAAUAAUAUUACUUAUUUUAAUUACAGAAGGGCAUUCUUGUAAUUUUUUAACCAAGUUGGUGACCCAAUUGAGAGUGACACCAACUCAGUAUGGAGUUUAAAUAAUAGUAUGUAUAGAUAUACAACUUAUGAAGGUAAUAGAGUGUGCAUAAUAAAACUAAAGUGUAUAAAAAUAUUAAAAUAAAAUUUUAAUUGAGUGGUAAAUUAAAAGUUUUAUUAAUGCAAUUGAUGUGGGUUCGAAUCCUACCAUAUACUUAUUCUUAAUGUUUUUUAAAGUUAAAAGACUAAACUACCCUCGAAUAACAUUACUUAUUUUAAUUACAAAAGGGUAUUCUCAUAACUUCCUAACCAAGUUGGUGUCCGGUUUACUCAUGACACCAACUUAGUCAAGAAUUUAAAUAAUAAUAUAGAUGAAUUUCUAUCACAAGUUAACUCAACAAGGACUCAAGAUUGAUGACAACAACUUGAUACAAAAAUUAAUCUAAUUUUCUUAUUCUAAUAACGUACAUAUUUAAUACGUUAUUAUUAAUUAGUUUCAAACCAUAAGUUUCAUUAUCUAUUGUCUGUUAUUUUAGACAUACAUUUAUGUUUUAAAUUUGUGGUUUCCACGUACAGAUACAUGUGAGAGAAUGUCUGAUAUAUUAUUUAUAAUUGCAAAUUGUAAUUUUAUUUUUAAAAAAUAAAAACAUAAGUAUAAAAGAAUAAAAAGUCUCCUCCUAUUAAAUAACAAUAUUUUUUAAUAGAAUGAAAAAUUAGUGAAAACAAUUUAUUAAUUGCAAAAACUUCUCGGUAAUUGAUAAUUAAAUUAUCCUGAAGAGUUAUAUAUAUUAUAUUUAUGAGAUUUAAAAUUUCCUAAAAAGAUUAUAUUUAUCAAUAACAUUAUAAAAUCAUUGCAAUAUUUUUAGUUUUAGCUUCAAUUAUGCUUUUAAGUCAAAAGAAUACAACCCUUAAAUAAUAUAUAUAAAUCGGUUUUUGAGUUGUUUGUUCUUUUCUUUUUAUUUUUUAUGGUACGUCAUUUAAUGGCCACAAUAGUGUAUCUAGUGGACAAAUGUUGAUGUAAUCUUUUGACAGCAUAUGUAUUUCUUUUCACUUCUUCUUUCUAAUUUAGAACACCAACUACAAAUUAUUUAUUGUUUAUUUAAUUAUUAAAUAAAUAUUUUAAUUUUUAUUAUUGGAAUUUAUCAAAAUUUUAAUUUUAAUUUUAAUUAUUAAAGUUCUCAAUACAUCCAGAAUAAACCUGAAUAAAUAGUUGUCCAGAUAAAUUUGAACUUGAACAAAAUUUGUCCAGGUUCAUUCAGAUAUAAAUUUGAAAUAUAGUAAAAAAUUAAAAAUUAUUAAAAUUAUUACAAUGGUAAAAAUAUAAAUAAUUAAAGAUAAUUAUAAAAAUAAUCUAAGUUUUAAAAAUAUAAAAAAUCCUAGAAAUUAUAAAGAAAUUAUUAUUUUGUUUGUAAACUUAUAUUAGAAUGAGCCUGCUGGUUCGAGUGGUAAGGAGUUAAUUUGUUGGAGGUCCUGUGUUCGAAUUAAUGCGCGAGCGUGGGUGAUAAUUUUUGGCGACAGCGGUUGAUAGUGGUUUGGUGGUAGUGGGGUUCUUAAUUAGUUGGAUGGUUAAGGGAUGUGGAUGUAGUAGGAUUUGACUUAAUCUUUUUAUUUUAAUUUAUUCUAUGUUCCCAAAAAUUUCUCCCUCUUCUAGUUUCUGAUGUUGUACUUUUCUUUCCCCACCAAAAAUCUUUUUUCUCUUCCCUUAUUUUUGUCAAAAUCUCCCUUCCAAAAUUGCGAUAAUACGAAUCUCUGAUUACUUUGUACGUUUAGGUAAAGGAAAGUGGUGAGUUUCUUCUUAGAUUGAGGGCUUUGGUUAAAGUUUAUUUAAGUUAGUUUUGUUUUUUGUUAGUUUGAUUUUAUGGGUUUGACUACAGUGCGAGGAACGUGGUUCUUCUCUUACAGAAUUAUAGUCGAAAUUGUUCGGGGAAUCGGGUAAGUCUUGAAAACUUGAAUUUCACUAUUGUUGAUUUCUUUAGAUCAAUUUAAUUGAGGAAUUAGACUGAUUUUGAAAGCUUGUUAUGUCAAUUUUAGGUUCUAGUGGUCUCGGGAGUGUUUUCACAUCAAAAUCGUACCAGGUGUGUAUCCUAAACACAAAAAAUUAAGGUUCAAUGAAAGCUAAAAAAGGGUAUUAUUGACGCCACACGAGCAUGUGCUCGACCGUGUGAUUGGCCAUGUACAAGACACGGUCAUGUAAAUGUCAUAGGUGUGGUCGUGCACGAGACAUGACCAUGUGACGGUGUGAGCCACAUGAGCUAAACUAGAUUGGGUGUGUGGGCCACACGAGUAUGUGGGCCCAUGAUUUUAAAAUUUUCCCUAGGGUCGCACGGGUCGUUCCAAUCGACAAUGGGCCUACCGUAGGGACAGUAAGGGUCAACCAAACCCUAAUUCAUGUGACCUGAUAUUCUGAUAGUCUGAUCUUAAUGGGACUCUGAUAUGUAUGUCUGACUGUUCUGUUUGAAUAUAUAUGUUAUCUAUAUACGAGCAUGUUAAGCAUGUUAAUUCUGUAUUAUGUAUCUGUGUUUGGGGUGGGAUUUGCAUAUGUGAAUGAAGUGAUCUGUACGACGACCUUUCGCCUACAUUCUGGCAGCUUAACUUAAUAUUAUUUGUUAUGUAUCACAUCGAUGCUAUAUGGUGUGUAAGGAUGGGUGGGUGUUUUUAACCUCAUAUGCUGUGAUAGGAUGGAAGGAGAUGGUGUGUAGAGGAGGGGGUAGGAUUCUAUAUAUCUACUCUAAUUAUCUUAUUCGGGAAUCUAUAUCUGUUAUGUACUUAGGUCUGAAUCUAUAUCUGACUGUAUAUAAAAUUCUAUGUAUGUUACAUGAUUAUUUCUAUUAGGUUACACAUUGAGUUUAUGAAAACUCACAUCUGUUUUUGUCUGUUCUGUUCAGGUAAUCCAUAGGCUUAAGCGGGUAGGUACGAUGGAGACUCAACGGUGACCUCUCGACAAAGAAUUGUUUUUAUUUAGUGUUAUCAGUUUUUUUUUAAAAUCUGAUUUCUUUGAGAAUUGUAAUAUUUGAGACUUUCUGGACUGUAUGGUUUUAACUUUUGGAUUUGGAUUUUGUUUUGCUUUUUUUUCGCAACGUUGACAAAAAUACUUUACGUAAAUAAAUGGUUUUUGGAAACACGAGCUUGGUUUCAAAUUCAAUGUUUUUCAAACUUUCGUUGCAAAAUUCUUGAUAACUUAAAAUGGUUUGAAAUUAGAUUUUUAAACCCAAUUUUUUUAAUAUUAAGACUCUGAUUAGUAAACUAAUAAAACGAUACGAUUUAGCUUAAGAAAUAUAAUUUUAAAACCUUUCUUCGUAACAUGCAUAGAUUCAACCAUAACGUCUAAGCUGAGUUAGGUGUGUUACAUUUAGUGAUAUCAGAGCCAGGUUACAAAACUCAAGCUGUAAAUUUUGGGUUCCAAAAUUAUGCUUUGAAAAAGAACUAGUUUUCAAAUAAUUUGGAUCAAUUUGAGUAAGUAUAUCGUACACUGAGUCUCCGGCGUCGAUCCUGUAAGUACCUUUGAUAACUUGAGCAUAAAAUAUCUGCUAAUAAACACUAGAACUAAUGCAUAAAAUUUUAUAAUGUAGAUAAAACUGAAAAUACGAUGAGCGCUCGUGGAACUCGCAAUUGUGGUAUUCGUGGGCGCGGUGGGCACCGUAGGGGGCUCGAGCUGAGUCUUUCUUUUUAGGCAGUAUGCCAAAUUUGGAUACGAGUGAGACACCGAUUUCACCUGCUACUGAGGCUAGGUCUUAAAGCAACACGGCUAGGGACGACGCACUGUCGCAAGCCAUGUUGAGAGUGUUGAAGAGGGUUGUUGGACCCUAUUCUGGAUUUGGAAGCCAUGGGUCGAUAAUUGAAGGACUCCGGUCCAAUAGAGCUAAAUUGUUUAGGGGCGUCACUAAAUUUAUCCCUAUUGUGGUUGAGUAUUGGUUGGAGGCUACCAAGAGGAUUAUGAACGACAUUGACUGCACUCUUAAGCAGAAACUGAAGGGUGCAAUUUUUUUGCUUCGCGAUGAGGUAUAUCAGUGAUAGUUGUCGGUUGAGGAGGGUACUCAACUAGAUUGUUUGAACUGGGACUACUUUAAGACUUUUUUUAGGGAAAAUAUAUGGGGUACGAGUUAUGUGGACGCUCGUAGGCGUGAAUUCAUGAAUUUUACGUAAGGUGAUAAGUCUGUGAUCGAGUGUGAGGUUGAGUUUCUAAGAUUGAGCCGCUACGCUCGAGGCAUGGUAGCAUUCGAGUGUGAGAAAUGUGUUCAUUUUGAAGAUGAUUUGAGGGACAGUUUGAGGGCUCUGAUUGCUCUGUAGAGAGAGUGUGAGUUUGUUAUUUUGGUAGAUAAGGCAAAGAUCGUUGAGAAGGUUAAGCGCGUGGAGUGCCAGAAUAGAGACCAAGAGAGAGGCAAGAAUAAGAGGGAUUCAGAGCCCUCUAGUUCUGUUUAGAGGUCUAAGAAACGGGCCAGACCUGAUGAGCCUGUUAGAGUGAGAGGUCCAAUUGUUCCUGCUAAGAUUCAGCCUUGUGGUGACUGUGGUAGACGUCAUUCGGGUGAGUGUUGGAGGAGAUUAAGGGCUUGUCUGCGGUGUAGGUCUUUGGAGCACCAAAUUAAAGAGUGUCCAUAUCAUGCUAAUUAGAUGCAAGCUUUAGGACUGGACUUUGUUUAGCCUCAGAGGGUAGUACAACAGCCACCUAAGGACCGUAGACCGGCUAGGAGUGGUAAUGGUAUGGGCUAAGGUCAGAGAGCACUAGGAAAAAGUGCUAAUCAGACUGAGGUGAGCCAGCCUGCACUAGUUUAUGUUGCUCGAUGCCAAGAGGACAACAAUGCCCUUGAUAUGAUCAUGGGUACGUUUUUAAUUUUUGAUGCUUCAUAUAUUGUUUUGAUAGACAUAGGUUCUACACAGUCCUUUGUAGCUAGUUCUGUUUCCGAGAACUUAGGGAUUUUUGUUGAGUGUACUUCUGGAGAGAUUAUUGUACUGACUCUAUUGAGACAGUCUGUUAGGGUAAAUAGACUUUAUAAGAAUGUUUCGUUGGAAGUAUAAGGAGUUGUGUUUCCGACAAAUCUGAUAGAGCUACUGUUUGGGGAGUUUAACUUAAUUCUGGGUAUAGAUUAGUUAGUUGAGCACCGAUUUAGUUUGGACUGCAUGACUAAGAGGGUCAUUCUGAGGACCGAAGAUGAUAAGGAAGUGGAUGUAAUUAGUGAGGGUCGAGAUUACCUGUCUAAUAUGAUCUCUGUUCUAGCGGUUGAGAAAUUGGUUCAAAAAAAGUGUGAGACGUAUUUAGCCUAUGUCAGUGUUUCAGUUUUUGGGGACUCUUCUAUUGGGGAUAUUAAAACAGUGAGGGAAUUUUUAGAUACUUUUCCUGAGGAAUUACCAGGUUUACCUCUAUAUCGAGAAGUUAAGUUCGACAUUGAGCUUCUACCGGGUAUAGUUUCGAUGUCUAUCGCUCCAUACCGUAUGGCACCGAAGGAGCUAACAAAGCUUAAGGCUCAACUUCAAGAGCUUCUAGAUCGUGGUUUCAUCCAUCCUAGUGUGUCUCCAUGGGGGCACCGGUUCUGUUUGUGAAGAAAAAGGAUGGUACCAUGAGGAUGUGCAUCGACUACCGGCAGUUAAAUAAACUGACUAUGAAAAAUAAGUACCUACUUCCAAGGAUCGAUGACCUGUUUGAUUGGUUUUGUAGGGUUGUGGUAUUCUCAAAAAUAGAUCUCUAUUCUGGGUAUCAUUAGUUUAGGGUUAAAAAAGCUGAUAGUCAUAAUAUGACAUUUAGAACUCAUUAUGGGCAUUACGAGUUCUUAGUUAUGCCCUUUGGUUUGAUGAAUGCUCCGAUUGUAUUUAUGGAUCUGAUGAACCGAGUUUUUAAUUGUAUUUAGAUUAGUUUAUCGUAGUCUUCAUCGAUGAUAUUCUGGUGUACUCUAAGACUGAGGAUGAGCAUGAUGAGCAUCUUAGAGUAAUGCUACAGAUACUCUGAAAGAAAUAGUUCUACGCUAAGUUGAGUUAAUGUGAGUUCUGGUUGCGAGAAGUAACUUUUCUAGGGCACAUGAUUUCUGCUGAGGGUAUCUGAGUUGAUCCUAGAAAGAUUGAGGCUAUGCUUGAGUGAAAACAGCCUAAGAAUGUCUCUGAGAUCCACAAUUUUUUUGGGUCUUGUGGGUUAUUAUCGGAGGUUGUUUAGGGGUUCUCACUAAUUGCAGCUCCUUUGACUAAGCUUCUAUGCAAGAAUGUUCCUUUCAUCUGGACUGAUACACAAUAGUCGAGCUUCGAGAAGCUCAAGUCUGUUCUCUCCUGUUCUAAUACAACUUGAAUUUGGUAAGGAGUUUGUAAUGUAUAGUGAUGCGUCACAUGUUAGUCUAAGGUGGUGGCUUAUGCGUCCCGGCAGCUUAAGUCACAUAAGAGAAAUUAUCCGAUGCAUGAUCUCGAGUUAGCUACAGUAGUAUUUACGUUAAAGAUCUAGAGGCACUAUUUAUAAGGUGAGAGAUGUAUUAUCUACACCGAUCACAAGAGUCUCAUGUACUUCCUUACUAAAAAAGAAUUGAAUCUUAAAUAGCGUCGAUGGAUUGAACUACUCAAAGAUUAUGACUGCAAGAUAGAGUAUCAUCCCGAUAAGGUCAAUGUGAUGGCUGAUACUCUCAGUCAUAGAGCGAUGACUGGUUUGAGAGUGAUGUUCGCCUGUCUUAGUUUGUUCAAUGAUGGGGGUCUGUUAGCCGAGUUGCAAGUUAAGCCGACUUGGAUUGGAAAGAUUCAGAAAAAGAAUUUAGGGGAUGAGCGGUUUUGUUAGGUUGAGAGUGGCAGUACUUUUGAUUUUGGACUGAAUAAGAUAAAGUUCUAUGUUUUCCAGGACGGGUUUGUAUACCGAAUGAUUCUGAUUUGAGACAGUCGAUUCUGAGGGAAGCGCAUAGUAGCCAUUAUGCUAUAUAUCUCGGUGAUAAUAAAAUACAUCGGGAUCUUCGUAAGUUGUACUGGUGGCCGGGAUUGAAACGUGAGGUAACAGAUUUUGUUGCUUAUUAUUUAAUGUGCCAGCAAGUUAAGGUUGAGCACCAAUUGCCUUCGGGUUUGCUUCAACCUGUUAAGAUUCCAUUAUGGAAAUAGGAGCAAGUGACAAUAGACUUUGUUAGUAAGUUGCCCUUGACACCCAAUAAGAAGGAUUCUGUUUGGGUUAUCGUGGAUCGAUUGACAAAGUUCGCAAAAGUUAGCGAAGUUUUAUAUGCUGAGGUUGAGAGACUACAUGGGGUUCUGAUUUUGAUAAUAUCUGAUAGGGAUCCUCGCUUCACUUUUCUGUUCUUGAAGAAAUUGCAUGAAGCUAUGGGUUCAAAAUUGGAUUUCAGUACUGCGUUCCAUCCUCAGACUGAUGGUUAGUCUGAAAAGGUGAUUUAGAUAUUGGAGGAUAUGCUUCGGAGCUUUGUGAUUGAUUUCUGAGUAACUUAGAGGAUUUUCUGUCGUUAGCUGAGUUCACCUAUAACAAUAGUUUCCAGUCUAGCAUUCAGAUGACACCUUACGAGGCUUUAUAUAGUCGUAAGUGUCAUACUACACUAUGUUGGACUAAGUCGGGUGAAUGAUGGAUUUUGGGUCCUGAGUUGGUUUUCAAGAUUGAAGAUAAGGUUAGACUGAUUUGGGAUCGUUUGAAGGUGGCUACUGAUAGACAAAAGUCCUAUGCGGAUCUGAAAAGGAGGGAUAUUGAGUACUCUGUGGGUGACUUUGUAUUUCUUAAGGCAUCUCUAUGGAAGAAGGUUCUACGGUUCGAUCGUAAGGGUAAGUUGAGCCCUAGAUUUAUUGGGUUGUAUGGGAUUCUGAAGCAUGUGAGACCGGUCGCUUAUUAGUUAGAGCUACAUCCAGAGUUGGACUGUAUCCAUAAUGUGUUUCACGUCUCAAUGUUGAGGCAGUAUCAGUCUGAUCUAUCUCACAUUGUCUUUAUUAAGGAGAUCGAGGUUAGACCGAAUUUGACGUUUGAGGAGGAGACAGUUCAAAUUUUGGAACGAGAUAUUAAGUAUUAUGAGGAGGAAUUCCAUUCUAUUGGUAAAGGUUCUGUGGCAGAAUCAUGGCACUGAGGAAGCCAUGUGGGAACCUAAGGACUUGAUGAGUCAGUAGUAUCUUUAUCUAUUCGGAUUAGGUAAAUUUUGAGGAUGAAAUUUCUUUUAGGGAGUAAAGUUGUAACGCCUUGAAUAAUUUAUUUCUAUUUUUGUGAAAUCUGACACAAAUAUGUAUCUGCUUCAGUGGUUGAGUGUUAUAGGUGUGUGUAUGAGGUAUUGGGUUCAAGUUCCCCUUUUGGCAAAUUUUGUUAUUUUUUAUCCAAGCAUUAUCUUUGUUGGGUGGGCUUAUAUUAUAUUGUUUGCAAACUCAUAUUAGAAUGAGCCUACUGGUUCGAGUGGUAAGGACUUAGUUUGUUGGAGGUCCUGUGUUUGAAUUCACGUGCGAGCGUGGGUGAUAAUUUUUGACGAUGGCGGUUGAUAGUGGUUUGGUGGUAGUGGGAUUCUAAGUUAGUUGAGUGGUUAAGGGAUGUGGAUGUAGUGGGAUUUGACUUAAUCUUUCUAUUUUCUUUUAUUCUAUUUUCCCAAAAAUUUCUCCCUCUUCUAGUUUCUGACGUUAUACUUUUCUUUCCCCACCAAAAAUCUUUUUUCUUUUCCCUUAUUUUUGUCAAAAUCUCCCUUCCAAAAUUGCGAUAAUACGAAUCUCUGAUUGCUUUUUUACGUUUAGGUAAGGGAAAGUGGUGAGUUUCUUCUUAGAUUGAGGGCUUUGGUUAAAGUUUAUUUAAGUCAGUUUUGCUUUUUGUUAGUUUGAUUUUAUGGGUUUGACUGCAGUGAAUCGCGAUGAACGUGGUUCUUCUCUUACGGAAUUAUAGUUGGAAUCGUUCGAGGAAUCGGGUAAGGGUUGAAAACUUGAAUUUCACCAUUGUCGAAUUUGUUAGCUCAGUUUAAUUGAGGAUUUAGACUGAUUUUGAGAGCUUGUUAUGUCAAUUUUAGGUUCUAGUGGUCUCAGGAGUGUUUUCACAACAAAAUCGUACUAGGUGUGUACCCUAAACACGAUCAUGUGAAUGUCGUUAGUGUGGCCAUGUGUGGGACACGAUCAUGUGAAUGUCGUAGGUGUGGCCGUGUGCGGAACACGACCGUGUGGUGGUGUGAGUGUGGUUGUAUAAGCCGCACGGGCUAGACCAGAUUGGGUGUGUGGCCCAGGAUUUUGAAAUUUUCCCUAGGGUCGCACGGGUCGUUUCGAUCAACUGUGGGCCUACCAUAGGGAUGGUAAGGGCCAACCAACCCUAAUUCAUGUGAUAUGGUAUUCUGAUAGUUUGAUCUGAGUGGGACUCUGAUAUGUAUGUCUGACUGUUCUGUUUGAGUAUAUCUAUAUGUUAUUUUUAUACGAGCAUGUUAAGCAUGUUAAAUCCGUUAAUUUUGUAUUAUGUAUCUAUGUUUGGGGUGGGAUUUGCAUAUGUCGAGGAAGUAAUCUAUACGACGACCUUUCGCCUACAUCCUAGUACUUAACUGCAUAUUAUCUGUUAUGUAUCGCAUCGACACUAUAUGGUGUGUAGGGAUGAGUAGGUGUUUUUAACCCCACAUAGUGUGAUGGGAUAGACGGAGAUGGUGUAUAGAGGAGGGGAUAGGAUUCUAUAUAUCUGUUUUGAUUAUCUGAUUCGAGAAUCUGUAUCUGUUAUGGACUUAGGUCUGAAUCUGUAUCUAAUUGUAUAUGAAAUUCUAUGUGUGUUGCAUGACUAUUUCUACUGGGUUACACACUGAGUUUAUGAAAACUCACAUCUGUUUGUCUGUUCUAUUUAGGUAAUCAACAGACUUAGGUGGGUCGAUGCGACGGAGACUCAACGGUGACCACUCGGCUGAGAACUAUUUUUAUUUAGUGUUAUCAAUUUUGUUUCAAAAUCUGGUUUCCGUGAGAGUUGUAAUUUUUGGGACUUCCUGGACUGUAUGGUUUUAACUUUUGGAUUUGGAUUUUAUUUUUCUUUCUUUUCCACAAUGUUAACAAAAAGACUUUACGCAAACAAAUGGUUUUAACAAAUGGUUUUUGGAAACACGAGCUUGGUUUCGAAUUAACAUUUUUCAAACUUCUGUUGCAAAUUCUUGAUAACUUAAAAUGGUUUCAAAUAAGAUCUUAAACCCAAGUUUUUCCAGUUAUUAAAACUGCAAUUGGUAAACUAAUAACACGAUACGAUUUAGCUUAAGAGAUAUAGUUUUAAAACCCUUCUUUGUAACACACCCAGAUUCGGCCAUAACGUCUAGGCUAGGUUAGGGGUGUUACAAAUUUUGUUGUCGUCCUCUCUAGUUUGGUGAAUACUCGAUUCUUUUGUCGAUUUUUGCUCGCCACUUUGGACCAUCCGAGGUUGAUUUCAUUAUCAUAUUAAGUCCUUGCAAUCACUCCAGAUAUGUCGUGCUUGAGUUGUGAUUAAGCCAAUUGUCAAUGUGUCAUAAUGUUCUAUUGAUGCUAAGGCUAAAGCCUUUGUUGUGUUGAUAGAGCUUGUCCUUCACCAUCUGCGAUGAGUGUUUGUUAUCUUUUAUCUCUGAAUUGUAUGGUUCCAUUCAUUGAAUAAAUUAAUGAAUUUACCUUUCAAAAAAAUAAUUUAACAUAUUUUAUUUUAAUUUUUUUCUUAAUUAUUUAUUUUACAUAUACAUAAGUUUUUUUUAAUAAAAUUGGAAGUGGAGUAUAAGAUUACUUGGGAUUGUACCUAAACUCUCAUGCCUAUAACAUAGUAUUCUUGCCACUAAGUCAAGAGGUUGUUGGCACAUAAGUUGUAACUUAAUGACAUCAAUAACCAUUUUCCAUUUUCACAUCAUGGUUAUUAUUUUGUUUGAAUCCAAACAUAUAUCACAUUAUUAAUUUUAAUCUUACCGCUAUAUUAACUAAUCUCAUCAUCAUUAUUACUUUUAGUUUCACCAAAAAUUAACUUUACUACAUAUCCAAAAAGAGCAUAAGCCGAAUAAUUUCCAAAGAAUAAAUACAAAACCAAGAAAACUACACCGGUUUCAUAGACAUUAUUUAAUUUCAAGUCAUCGUCAUUAUAUCAUGGGCAUAAUGAUUUAUUUAACCCUCCAAUUUUAUAAAAAAAAAAUUUAGCCUUUAAUUUAAUUUUCCGUAUCUUUUAACCCUUGAAUUUUUAUUGUUUGUCAAAUCACCUUAAAAUGAAUGAAAAAAUUAACACUUUUUAACUUUGUUAAUAUGACAUUCACCUAGCAAUUAAUUAUUUCUUAAAAUUUCCAAAACAUAUAAAAACAUUUAUAUAAUUUUAUUUUUAAAAUUUUUUAAAAUUAUUUUAAAAAUUAAUUAAGUACUUAUGUGGCAUUCAAGUGACAAUUCACAUGUAUGUCACAUCAGUAAAAUUAAUUGACAUUACAUUUUUAUUCAUUGAGGUGAUUUGAUAAAUAAUACAAAUUUAAAAUAACAAAAAUUAAAUAAAGAACGAAAAAAUAAAUCAUUAUACCUAAUUUUAGGAUAUUGGAUCAUAUAAAAUUAAUAAAUUAUCUUUUAACUUAACAAAAAUCGUAAAACAAUUAGUAAUUAAACAAGCUUCAAUUAUUACCUAUAAUUAGAUCAUUCAAUUGAGCGGCCGGGUGAUUUGGAUCAAUUAAUUCUGAGUUUUAACAUUUUUAGGAUAUUUUAGUUUAAAAUUUUUAGAUUUGAAUAAUUUUGGAAUAAGAAUUUUGAUUUGAAUAAUUCUAAAUUCAUAUAAUUUAAAUAUGAGGUUUUGGGUUUUUUGGUCGGUUCAUUUUAGAUUUAAUUUCUUUUUUCGUUAAAAUCAUUUUAAGUUCAAAAUAUUUCGGGUUUUGGUUAAUUUGGAUUUGGAUUUUUGAUUUUUGAUUUUUUAUGAUUAAAAUUUUAAAACAAUUAAUUGUUGAGGUAGUAUCCACAUGGCAAUCAUGUUAACAAAGUUAACAUAUAUUAACUUUUUAAUCCAUUUUAGGGUGAUUUGGUAGAAAACGCAAAUUUAAGAGCUAAAGGAGACAAAAACUUAAAUGGAAGGCUAAAAUGACUUUUUUAAAAAAAUUUAAAAGAUCAAAUAAGUCAUUAUGCCUAAAAAAUUCAUCUUCAGAAGCUCAAUAAUCAAAUAAUUAUAACCCAAAUUUACUUGAUGAGUGAGGAUGUAAAACUAAUAUUAAAAAAAUAAUAAGAGAUUAUAAAUUUUGUUUUAGUUUACAAGUACAAUACGGUGUGAUUAUAGUAUAAUCACAAAUACAUGCCUAAACAAAUUAUAAAGUAGAAUUAAACUAAUAUAAAGCACAUUAAAGGUUUUUGGAUGAUUAUUCGAUUUAAAUGGUGAAUUUUUUAUUCCUAAUCUUUUAAAUUCAUGUUUUUAUAUUUAGGAGAGCAUUUGGAAAGGAGCGAAAAUCGGAACAGGUUUUAGGAGCCACAUAGGCUGGAUCGUUCUACAUGGGCUGGACACAUGACCAUCUAAGCCACAUGAGUUGCCACACAGUCAUGUGCCAACCCGUGUGGAAAUUGCGAAUCGCACUCCAAACCCGCGAGAAAUUUUUUUAUAGGUUUUUCGGACAUUUUAAGACCUAUAUAUGACAAAAAUAAGAAGAUGGGAGAAGACUAUCAUUAAAUACUCAAGAAAAUAACUCAAAAAACACCAUUGAAGCUGACUCUGAAGCAUAUUUCCAUCAAGAUUGAAGAUCUCCUUUUGAUUUCUUUGAAGUUUAUUAAGAGUUUCUUUAUUUCUUGUGGUUAUAUUGUCUUUGGAAUGUUUUUAUUUGUUAUCAUGAACUAAUUUUCAAAAUACCUAGGGAGAUGAACCCUAAGAUCGAUUCUGUUAUUUGAUUUCUAUUUUUACGCAAUAAAUACUUAGAUCUUGUUGUAACACCCCUAACCCGUAUCCAUCGCCAAAAUUGGGUUAUAGAGCAUUACUGAAGUUUACAAAUUAAUUUACAGACAUUUCAUUUUAUCAAGCAUUCAUAUUUAUAACCAAUCAAAAUCUAAACAUUAAUGAGCUAACGUUGGCCAAUUUAACUUAUACAUGCCAUUAAAACCAGAAUAAAAUCAUCCAAAAUUACCGAUAGAACCAAUGGAUAGUGUGAUAUAUCUCCGACAAGCUUUCAACCCCAUCGAGCUUCCAAUAAUCAUUUCAAUGCAUCUAAUAAUUAUACAUAUUACCAAUAAUAAUUCAAUUCCAAUAAUAAAACACAUAUUUAUAUAAUAUUCAUCACCAAAUAACAUUCACUUUAAUUAAAAUCAUACAGAAUAUAGUUCAUACGAACUUACCAGGCUAAAUUGCAGAAAUACCAAAAUUCAAGGAUAUUUUGGUAAUUUUUUAUUUUCCUCGAAUUUUCACCCAAUCUAGAUCUAAAUUAAUAUUUCAUUCAAUUUUAUUAAUUUAAAUAAUAAAAUAAUUCAUUUCAUGCAAUUUGGUCAUUUUUUGACAUUUUUACAAAUCUGCCCUUAAAAUUUUACUUUUAUUCAAUUUAGUCCCUGAGCCUAAAACAUGCAAAUUAGCCAUUUUUAAUGAAAACUCAUGCUAGUAGAAUAAUCAUAUAUUUUACUCCUCCUCCUCUCCAUUCCACAUCCUUAAUGUUUAUAACAUGCUUAUAUGUAACAUUAUCUAUAAUUUCACUAUUUAUUUAUAUGUUCAUUCAAAGCUGUCCACUUGAGUCAUGGUCACUAAAUUAUUUAUAUCUUGAGCUAUGGAACUCAAAAUUAAGAUCCGCUAAAUUUAUAUGAAACUAUACUCACAUAUAUUCUUACCAUAAACUUUUCAGAAUUUAUGGUUUAGCCAAUAAGUAUAGUUUAUUCUUUAAAGUCAUCCAUGUUCUGCUGUCUGACAGUUUCAACCCUUCUUCACUAAAAAUUAAUUAUCUCCUCGUACGAGAUUUGGAUGAUGUUCCCAUUUGUUUUUAUCGAGGAUAGACUCAUUAAUAAUUUUAAACAUAUAAAUAACCCACAAUUAUUUUUAGACAAUUUUUAAUUAUUUUCCAAAGUCAGAACAGGGAAACCCGAAUUCAUUCUGACCUUGUCUCAAAAAAUUUAUUAUAUAUCAUGAUUUACAAUUCCAUUACUUACACUGUUUAUUCUAUGAAAAACUAGACUCAAUAAGCUUUAAUUCCAUUUUGUUUUUCAUCCUCUAAUUCGAUUUCUACGAUUUAUGAUGAUUUUUUAAAUUUAACCUACUACUGCUGUCCAAAACUGUUUUAGUGCAAGAUGUUGAUUACUAAGUUUAUAACUCCCUUAUUCCUUUUCUCUAUAAUAUUUCCCAUCACUUUCACUUAUUUCCCUUCACUAAUAUAUCAAGAACAUAAGACCUUAUAUAAUAAAACUCUACUAUAACAUCAUUUUCAUGCUUUUUCAAUAAUAUCAAACUUCAAAAUAUAUUGAAAUCUUGAUGUUCUUAUCUUGUCCUCUUAGUUUCAAACUUUAACUUGAUUUUCUCUCUCCUCCAGCUUCUAUUUCUUGAAUCUAACUUGAUAUUCUUGCUCCCCAUAGUCUCCUUGUUAUCUUUCUCUCUUGAUGGAUAUGGAAAUUUUUUUGAUUUCUAAGUGAAAAUGGUGAAUAUUUAGUGAAAGGAUCAAAUUGUAAAGAAAAGAAAGUUUUUUUCUUUCUUUUCUCUUCAUACGUUGGAUGCAUGGGAAGAAGAAGAUGGUUCUUCAUCUUUCCUUCCAUAUAUAUACUAAAUAGAAUAAUAAUAAAAUAAUAAAAUAUCAUUUAAAAAUCAAAUUAAAAUAUUAAUAAACUAAUAUUUAUUGAUUUAAUUAAUCUAAAAUAUCUCCAACAUCAUCAUUUUCUUCUAGAUUUCUCUUUCUUCUAAUUGACCAUUUUGCCAUUUAUGAUCUUUUAAAAUUUCAUCCUUGAGUCAUCACUUAAUUUGGUAAAUUUAUGAUUUAGUCCCUCAUAAUUCUUCACCUAUUCAAUUUGGUCUCAAUUCAUCCAUUUUCCUUAAUUUCUAGAUUAUUCCACCCUUAAAAUAUUUACACUAUUGAUCCUUUAACUUUUUCAUAUUUACACUUUAACCCCUCAAAUUUUGAAUAUUUACUCUUGGGCAACAAAACUUUUCUCAUUUUUACGAUUUAAUCCUUCAUUGAAUUAAUAUGUCAUAAUAUACUUCCCAAUGUUGACAUAACUCAAAAUUACCCUUUUUUCACUUUAUUUCCUUAUUUUACUAUACCAGGGAUAUUAUAUUACUUUCUUACUGUAGUAAAUUUUCGGGGUAUUACACUUGUUCUCAAUUAUGUGUGCUUAAUUCUUAGUUUGAUAUUUCUAAAUUAUUAAUUCAUGUUUGAUGUGCUUAAACCAGAGGAGGAAUAUACCUUGUUUAAAAGUAGAUCUAGCAUAAUUGAGUGAAGUUGCAUGCAAUCCUAGAAAUAGGACGAUAUAAAUAUAUUACAUUAGAGUCAAAUCUAAUAGGGGGAUUUAUAGAUUGAGUUAAUGCAAUAAUAUGGGUUUUAAUUAGAAAGAAAUUUCAAUUAAUCAACCUAGAGUCAGUUGCUCUUAGUCUUGAAGAGAGAUAUUAACAUAAUUUAGGGAUUUCUAUAGAUCAAGAUACAAAGUGAAGAAAUUACGUAAUUUAGAUUGAUAAUAACAGAUGAAACCUAGGUGAAUUCUUUCUUGGGUAUUGUUUCUCUUCUUGGUUGUUAAUCGUUUAUUUUCCUUAAUUGUUUUUUAUCAUGUUCAUUAGCAAUUAGUUUAGUUAAUUUUAAUUUUCAAUCAAUCAUUCGAAUUUAUCGAUUAAAUAAUACAAAGAUAGUAAUUUCUACUACUUUUAGUCAUCGUGGGAACGAUAUAUUUGCUCACCGUAGCUAUACUAUUAAUUGAUAGGUACACUUGCCUUAGUCAGAUUUUUAGUUGGUUUACGACUAAAUCAUCAGGGUCAAAUUGACAUAAAGUAUAAAAAUCAAGGACCAAACUUGUAAUUAUACUAACUAAAAAGUGUCACUUAAUAGUCAAGUGUCCAAAAAAAAAUCUAGAAAACAUUUGUAAUUAAUUUGUAACUUUUUUAAUUAAGUGACCAAAAUAAAAAUUUACUUAUAAUUUAGUGACUAAUAACAUAAUAUACUCAUUGUUUUUUUUUUCUUUGAUUUAAAACAUUUUGUUUUGGUAGCCGUCAGUACUUGACUCAUACAUACGUACAUAUAUAAUAUUAUAUAUUAGAAACUUAACAUUUACGUUAUUUCAAAUUUAAAUAAUAUAUUUUGGUUGGUGAAAAUAGUCAUUACAAAAUAUACUACAACAUUACAAUAUUUUUAUAUAUUAUACUACAUUGUAUAACAUAAAUUAUAAUAUAUUUUAUUUUAUUACCAAAUUUUGUAUAACAUAAAUUAUAAUAUAAUUUAUUUGAUUACAAAAACCUUUAUCAUCUACUAAUGGUUAAAUUUGAUAGUUUCGUUAAAAAAGACGUUUAUCUUUUUACAAUAUUUAUUACAUGUGAUGCAACAUAUUGUGUAACACAAAUUUGAAUUUCACUAUUGAUUUUUUGGGAUUGGUUAUAUAUUUGUUGACUUUUAAGUGGAAAUUAAUAUUCGAUUUUUUGGAGCGAUUCUUUUAUGGAUCCUUCCGAUCAUAUUAUUUAUGGUCCAUUUUCAGUUAUUUAAUGGCAUUUUAGUAAUUUUUUCAUGUCACUGACAUAUAAUUUUGGUAACUAUUUUACCCCGAACACCAAACUCAGAAUCCAAACCCUGAACCCCAAACUAGAAACUAUUCAAGGUUUAGAAUUUAGGAUUUAAUGUUCAAGGUUCAAGAUUCGGGUUUGGGGUUUAAAGUUUGAGUUGGGUUUAGAGUUUGAUAUUUAUGUUUAGGGUUUGAGGUCAACAUUCAGGGUUUGGGGUUUAAGGUUCCAGAUUCAAGGUUUAUGGUUUAGGAUUUAAGAUUCAUGGUUCAAGGUUUAGGAUUAAAAAAUUACCAAAAUUUUGUCAAUGAUAUGGAAAAAGUUGCUGAAAUGGCAUUAUACCAAAAAUGAAAAUAAACCAUAAAUAAUGUAGUGGGAAAGAUUCAUAAAAUAAUUUCUCAAAUAUUUUAUUUUUCAAAGUUAAUGAUAUACCGAAAUAAAUAAAUAAAUAAUUCAAAACUUAUCUGAAUAGACUUUAGGUGGUUGAGUUUAGUGGAUUUUUUUUAAUCUUAAUUCCGGUAUUUAUAACUGAUCUUAUUUUUAUAUUACAUAUUAUUUUAUACCAAAAAAUAUAUAUAAAAAAUCAAUUAAUAUAUAAAAUAGAAGAUAUUCACAAUGAAAAGUUUGGAAAGAACUUUAUUGAAUUAAUAUAAGCCAAUAAGUACAAAGACAAUAGAUUUGGACUUUCUUUUAUAAUAUAUGAAUAUUAUAAAACAUUAUUAAUUAGAACUUAAUAACUAUUUCUUAGGAAACAAGCUUGGAGAGGAAAAAUUAACAUAAUUUUAAAGUGCAAUUGGUUCAAUGAGCAAUGAAGUGAUUCCACCCUUAGCCGCUUUUCCAACAUAUGUAUAUCCAUCUCCUUCCCUGUAAAGUACAUCCAUCACCCUUGCAAGGUUUAGGCUACGAUUUAAAACUUCUGUUGGCAUUUCUGUUGGUUUCAGAAACUCUUGAUUCACAUCCUUCCAAGCACUCUCAACAUGCUUGUUGAAUACAUCGUAUGCCUCUUGUGCUGAUACGCCAUAUUCUUCCAUGUAACACUCUAUUGCUGAGCAAUCGUCUUCUCUCCUAUGCUUAAACUGCAGCCAUAAUAAAAUCAAAAUUAUUCUAUCACUAUAUACCCUAAAAUCUAUCAGUUUAUUAAACUACCAUUCUUUGUGACGAUAAAAUACAUUUAUUGACAAUACUUCCUCACUAAAAACCCUAAAAUGAAACUAGAUUUCUUUUCUUAUUCUUCAAUUUGAGACUAAACAUUUUAUAUAUAAACAUUAAACUUUAAUUUUUUUUAGAUCAUGAUAAAAACCAUCGUCUGAUUGUCACAAAGACAUUGAAUUAUUUAGUUAAGAGUUCGGUUUCUUAUGGUUAUCUAAAUAUAUUAUUAUACCUUGUGUUCCGCAACAUCAUCCAUAAACCUACAAAUAAUUGUGGAAGCUUGAAUGAUCUUAGGGUCAUUGGCUGCCCAUUUAAAGGUCUCUGGUGUUACGAUAUCUCCCAUGCCGACGAAAGAUGUAAUAGCAAGCAUGGCAUAACCACAAGUUGGCAAUGCAUUAGCCUUAAACUCCUCGAAUGAUGGUUUGUAGUUUUGAAGAGUCCAUCUGGCCUCCACAAGGUAAGAU
rnacentral:lncRNA from 1 species